CAAAAUCAUAUCUUCUAACCACUUGAUCCAACUCAAUUUAUUAGAAUUUCUAAUCUUUUUAUACUACAAAUUUUUAUUCAUAAUAUACAAUGUUGCUUUUAUUGUACCCGAAAAUAUCUAAUUGAAGUCAAACAUUAUAAUCUGUUUGGGUCAUUUGUUUGCUGCUGAACAAACCUCAAUAAUUUAUCUUUAUUAAAACUUGAACCUUAAAAUAUUUUGGUUUAUUAGGGCAAAAACUUUAAACAACAUGAUUAUUUUUCUAAAAAGAUAUUUUUGAACCUUUUUGGUAGCUUGUUCUAGUUAUCCUUAAUCUCUUUAUUCCCUCAACUAAAUUAUCUAACAUGGUCUUUGAGGACAAUUCUAAUCUUAAGUCAGAAAAGUUUAGAGGGGUAGGCUUUGUGGAGGUGGCGAGAACAAUUGGAGGUCUAGCUUAUUAUUCUAGGCCUCAUAAUUGCAAUUGGAAAAGCACCUCCCUAUUCUACUUCUAAAACUUCUUCAGCUGCUACUCCUGCAGAUUCUUCAAAACCAAACGAUUCUUCUAAAUCUGCUAUUACUUCAGUUACCGAACCUAAACUUGUUAGAUCCCUCAAGGAAAUUGAAUUUCAUUGUAGAUUUAGAAUACUUAGUUACCUAUUUGAUGAACUUUAUGAAACUUAUGAAAAAACCAAACGGGCAAAGAUUAUUGUAUGCCCUACAAGAUGCCUACAUUAGAGAUAAUGAGGGCGCUGCUAGGUUUUCAAUUAUUGAUUUUAACAAUUUUAGAAUGGUUUCUAUAAAUAAUUAGAUCCACGAAUUUCAAAAUUUUAUCCAAGAAAUUCACAGAAAUGGUUCAACCUUAGAUGAUAUCUAUUAGAAUAGAACCCAGGAAACUCUUAAACUUAGGUCGGCAAUCCAAGCUAUUAAAAUAGAAGACCAAUACUGACUUGGGGAGAUUAAACCGACCCAUAACCGAUCUAACAUAAACCUGGCUGAGAUUCAAAACCAGAGCCAUGAGCAUAAGAAAUUUUAAAUCUAUGGAUAAAGACUUUAAGGAUAGAAACCUGAAUUGAAAUUGAACCAUACCCAGAAGUCCAAUACCAACCAACUAGUGGGAAUAAAAGAAUGAUGGUUUUUAUUAUGUCUGUGGUCGGGGCAACCAUUUUGCUUCAAAAUGCUUUUAUCGAAAGCACGAGAAGAUUGCCUACGAGAACAAUCAAAACAACAAUCCUAAAUCCCAGGUUGACAUAAUUAAAGAUAAACCUUUCAGUUCUUAUUUUAGAUCAGUCUUCUAUAUACCCUGUAACGCUCCAAUAGUCCGAUAUCAGAUGGAAAAAUAAUUAUGAUAGAACAUAUGAGGUCUCUAUGCAAGCAAUAAUAACUAGACUUAAGCAUUUUUGACCGGUAGUUUGGGCCCGAUAAGUUAUUAUUGCUAGCGGGUCGGGUCAUUACAAUUAGUAUCAGAGUUGUAUACCAGCCAGAAGUGUGAGAGCUAAGUGUUAUGCGGGGCAAAGUGCGACACCAACGGGUUUGGUGCGAGCUACCUUUUGAACCCGUAAGAGCCAUCUCUAGAAUCUCACAUCACCUGGUAUAUCUGGUUUGUCUAUAAUCUAGGUUUUGACCCGACAAGGACGUCAGGAUCUAAACGGGGGGAGUUUGUAACGCUCCAAUAAUCCCACAUCGGAUGAAAAAAUCAAUUCUGAUUAGAAUAUAUGAGGCCUCCAUGCUAGUAAUAAUAAGUGGACUGAAGCAUUUCGGGCCGGUGGUUUGGGCCCGACGAGUUAUUAUUGCUAACGGGCCCGAUCGUUACAUACCCAAUGUUAACCUUAUUUAUUAUGAUUUAAAUUGGUGGUUAAACUCAGAAGCCAAUGUCCAUAUAUGUACUAAUAGGUCCCUAUUCUCCUCUUACCAGGACACAAGUGGAGGAUGUGUGACCUUCGGAGAAGAAAAACAGUCAAUGUGCUAGGGAUCGGAACAGUUAAGCUACAGUUAACUUCUGGAAAGACUCUGAUCCUUCACAAUAUGCAGCAUGCCCCCGAGAUCUGACAGAACUUGAUCAGUGGAUCUUUAUCAGUGCAGUCAGGAUAUAAGAUUUUAUUAGAGUUCAAUAAAGUUAUAAUUUUUAGAGGGAAAAUAUUUAUUGCAAAAUAUUUGUAUUUGAGGGAUUGUUCAAACUGAAUGUAUUUUUUUUUGCUAAUAAUAAAAAUUCUUCUACUUUUACUUCUUCUAUUAUUGUUUUAAAUACUAAAUUUUGUGAUGUAUGGCAUAGUAAAUUAGGGCAUGUGAAUCUAAGAUCUAUUCUGAAAUUAACCAAUCUUAAUCUUGCACCAAAACUCAAGAUUGAUCUUAAGUCCGAAUGUGAAAUUUGUGUGCAAACUAAACAGCCUAGAAAACCUUUUAAAUAUGUUUCUUAUAAAGAUACCCAAAUUCUUGAAUUGAUUCAUAAUGAUGUCUGUGAUUCUAAUAGGGGACUUAUUGAGUAGAUAUGCUAAUUACCCUAGUGUGACUCAUUGGAUUGUUUUUGAAAGAGUAUUUCAUUAUCUUAAAAGUACUCUCUCUUAUGCUCUUAGAUUUGUUGGCUAUCCUGCUAUAAUUGAGGAAUACAGCGAUGCCAACUGGAUUUCUGAUUCCUUAAAUAUCAAAUCCACUUUUGGUUAUGUACUUAUUGUUGGUGGUACUGCAGUUUCUUGGCAAUCCACCAAAUAGACCAUCAUAGCCAGAAGCAUAAUAGAGACCGAGUUGGUUGCUCUUGACUUCACUUAUCUUUAAGUCGAGCGGCUCACGAACUUUUUGUCAUCGAUUCCUUUAUUUUUCUUUCCUAUUCCACCUAUUUCUAUUAGGUGCGGCUCUCAAAUCGCAAUUGAUUUUUGUAGAAAGAAAUUGAUGAAUUUUAAGACUAGCAGACAUAUUAAGUUAAUACAUAAAUCUGUUAAAUGGUUAUCUUCUUAUGAUGUUAUUUUUUUGAGUUUUAUCAAAUCUUGAGUAAAAUCUUGAAAAUACCUUGACGAAAGAUCUGAGUAGGACUAAGGUCCUAAAGUCAUCGAGGGGGAUGGAACUUUGCAUAUAAAAGGCCUUCUUGCAGUAGGAGCUCAAUCUUUCUGAUAGGAGAUCCCUUAAAAAAAGUUCAAUGUGGUAAAAAUAAACUACCAGUUGGCCAAAGAGCACUUUCUACAGUUUUAUACAAGAGUUUUAGCUCCAAUCCCAUACCUAUGGUGACUAGUGCUAUGGAUAGUGGUUGAGGCUGAGCUUAUAGCUCUUAAUAGGAUCCAAGGCAAUAAUUUUCGCUAGACGUGACUUUACACAUAUUUUUGAAAAAGACCACCUAUAUAAGAGUAUCCGUAUAUGGCCGCGGCUAUGAGAUGUGGAUUAUCUAUUGAAACUCUUAUAAAAAAUAAAAAAGUAAAGAUACUGUGUAUGGCUAUUAAUACACAUACUCGCGAUGAAAAAUUUUGUACUGUGUGUUUGGUAGCUAAAAUUAGAACGAAAGAAAUGUAAUUCAAUAACUGAUUCAAUCCAAUUUCUUCUGAUGGAAGCUAUUUACACAAAGUGGGGUUAAGUCUUUUAAAGACACCUAACACAUUGGCAUUGCAUAGUAUAAACACCCAUUACUUUUUAUUUUAAUUCUUGUUUUUAAAAUUUUAAGUUUUGUGGGGGAUUGUUAAAGAAAAACUCAAAAUUUUGAAUUUUGAGUUUAUUUCAUUUGUAUUUUAUAUAUAUUUAAUAUUUACUAUUAUUUAUUAUUUAUUAUUAUUUAUUUAUUUAUUUUCUUAGUGUGAAAAAAAACCCAACAUGAAUUGUUUUUAUUCCAUUUCUUGCACCUAAACGUGGGUCGAGCAUUUUCUAACGUUUGACUCCCUUAUCUCCUAUAUAUUUUCAUCCCCCGUUCUUGAUGAAAGAUAUUAAAAGAAAAAAAGAUUAUCAUCUUCUCUCUGUUCUUACUAUUUUUCACAUUCUUUUUAUUUAUUAGGUAUUGAAAGAAUCUUCGUCAACCUCUGCCAUGAUAGCGCUCGCAAGGGGAACAAUUAUUAUCGUACCUUGGGGUGGUGUUUUCGGUUAAUCAAUCACGCACGAAGGACGGAAAUACACCUUAGGUCAGUGCUACGCAAGCUUCCGGAUCAAUUAAAUUUUUCCUGAAUUUUAGCAUUUAGAUGUAAGUUUUAAUUUUAUCUUUUCGUACUUUUACUACUAAAUUAGUUAGAUUUUGAUAACAAUUAGAUUUAGUAGUACAAUUUUUUUCUAUCACAAUCAUCUAUCACUCGUAGCAUGAACCAGGAACCCAAUUUCACUACAAGGAUUAUAAAACUUGGAAAAUCUAUAUAAACAACUAAUAAUUGGAUCAGCAGGGGAACUAUUGCAACAAAAACAGUAAUAUAUAAAAUAUUUGAACUCGCAUGUCCUUUUACGCUUAUGCAAGGAAGUACCUAACAUUUUAGAGUUUCUAUGGUAGGAAUUUCAUUACCAACAAGCUUAACAAUAGUGAUUUAACAUGCUACAUAAGAUUUUUCGACUUUUUGGUGACGGAAACUUCCGCAAAGACUAUGAAUGGAACAAUUUGAUAGUUUGCGCCUUUGUGUACAACAAAAUCAAAACUUAUAUGAGUGAGGCUACUAUGCUAUCGGAAGCACGGAGCCUUCCGUGCUUCCAGCUCAUUUUCGAUGUUGCGACUUUCGAAUCGUCGAUCGGCUCUGUUAAACUUGAUCUAGAGUAUUUGAAGUACCUAGAAAAUAAAUUUUAUGAUUUUACGAUAUCAUUUGCCUAGUGAAUGAAGGGGCUCAAAAUCAACGGCUGAAAAUAAAAAUCUUACAAAAUGUAAUAAUAUGACAUUAAAAUUUUAAAUCAAAGAUAUUGAUCUUAUUUUAUAUAGUAUAAAGAAUUUUCUAUCAAAAUUUCACGUGAUUUGGUUAUUUCUACACCGUUAAACUUGCAAACGGCUCACUACGGCCAUUGAAAUUUGUUGAUUUUGAGCCCAUUCGAUCACUACGCAAAUGAUAUCAAAAAAUAAUAAAAUUUAUUUUCUAGGUACUCUAAAUACUCUAGAUCAAAUUUAACGGAGCUGAUCGACGAUUCGAAAGUCGCAACAUCAAAAACGAGCUGGAAGCACGGAAGGCUCCGUGCUUCCGAUAGCAUAGUAGCCUCACUCAACUUAGGGAUCAAAGAUGAAACAUGAACAAUAGAUAUGCAUGCCCUAAUCAUUUCAUAGUGGCAUUAAAUCGAACACAAAGCAGGCAUAAUUUCUCAAUCUUCUUGCAAAAGAUUCUGGCGGUAGGACCAAAGAUCAAGACAAUUUUGAUAGUUUGAGGCUUUGAGCCCUCUAAUGCAACAAAAUAGAACUUAGAAAUCAGAGUGAAACAUGAUCAACAAAUUCACCCUAGUUAUUUCACACCGGCAUUAAAACAAACACAAAGCAAGCACAAUUGCUCAAACACUUUUACCAGUAUAUGAUCCGGCCGUAGGGAUCGAAUAUGUGCACCGCUUGCCCCAUCAACUGCAGAACCCUCAAGCACUGCCUCUCCGACAACCCACACGACACCACCGCCGGUGUCGACGCCGACCCCGCACGCGGCCUCACCGAACGCCCCGAGGGCACGGGCGCUGGCGCCGGCGCCGGCGUCGCAUCGGGAAGCGCGGCGCGGCCCAGUUCCGGGCUCCGGGAGGCGCCGUCGCCGCUCUCCACCUCAGCGGCCGCGGCGGCGCCGCCGGGGAUGAGCUUGGAGAUCUGCCGCUGCAGAAGCGCCUGCCCCGCCUCGAGAUCCUGGAUCUUCUUCAUCAGCUCCUCGGAGGGGCUCUCCAUGGAGGGAUCUAGCUCGAGAAAACCCUAGCUAGGGUUCGUUGCGAUCGGGGCUUCAUGGCCUCUCUUUGGGUUCUCCUCCUCCUCCUCCUCCUCUCUCUCUCUCUCUCUUCUUUUCUUUUUUUUUUUUAAUUUGAUAUUUUUUGUUGUACUUGUUGUGAAGCGCCUGUGCUCUUUUCUUUGUUGGUUAUUGGCGGUGGUUUUGCUUUCUCGAAAAGAAACACGUUUUAGUUCGUUGCCAUUGGAUUUGAUGUUUGGAUUUGUAUGGGGGGAGUUUUUGGGGGUAGUUUUAGGGUAAGCGUUGGAACUGUACAAUUUUUUUUCGCGGGAAAAAAUUGCGUGCACACACUCUGUUUUGACCGCGAAAUAAAGUUGCGUGGACGAGGCGCACUACACCAUUUGGUGGACCACUUAUUAAUUUUUAUUUUAUUUUAUUGUGUAGCGUGUUAUUUAUUAUUGAGAUAUAAUUAUUAGUGAAAACUACAAAAAAAACCCUCCUGUGGUUUCGCACUUUUUCAUUUUAGUACCAUGUGGUUUAAAGUGUAUCAAGUUAGUAUCCUGUGGUUUCUCACUUUAUCACUUUAGUACCCUGUGAUUUAAAGUGUAUCAAGUUAGUAUUCUGUGAUUUUAUUUUUGUAUCAAGUUAGUACCAUGUGGUUUUAUUUUUGUAUCAAGUUAGUACCCUGUGGUUUUUAAACCACAGGGUACUAAAGUGAUAAAGUGCGAAACCACAGGGUACUAACUUGAUACACUUUAAACAACAGGAUACUAAAGUGAAAAGAUGCAAAACCACAUGGUACUAACUUGAUACACUUUAAAUCACAUGAUACUAAAGUAAGAAAAAGUGAAACCACAAGAAGGGUAUUUGAAGUUUUUCCUAAUUAUUAUUGCCAGAAUAAAUAUAAUAAAUUUCGACAAUUUCUUCGUUCCUUAGAUAUGAAUUUUAAUGAUUAUUCUUGUUAUACUAAUAUUACAGAACAUUAAAAAAUUUAUAUAAUAUUAUUAUAAGUAUUUUAUAUUUUAAAAAGUGUUAUAACAUACUGAAACCGUAUAUUAUUCUUAUUGUACUUUACCACAAAUAUUUCAAAAAUUUUUCUUAUCCAUUAUUGAUAUAUUACAACACACUGACAAUCUAUAGAAAACUCUUUUGGAGGACCAAAUAUUUCUUAUUAUUUUAAAAUUUUAUUUUUAGACGAUACUUAUAAACUUUAUAUUAUGAGGCACCUGAAAGAAUUUAUGUAAAGGCUAUCGCGCACGUGACUUUAUGUAAACGGUUAGUAAUUUAUCACGUCACCAUGUUAAUAUAUGAUGAUAAAUGGCAUAUCAAUAAAGGAGUCUAAAAUUAGUAUUUUAGACCAAGUCCACUGAAGUUUCUAGGCUCUACUUUUUUAAUUUAUUAUUUCCUCAAUAAUGCAAGAGAUAUUGUGACUGCCCAUAACUUGUGAGAUUAAUACAAAAUCAUAUUUUUAUAUUUAUUUUUUGCCAUUAAUGUUAGUGUUUACUAGAUUGUAGUUUUUGAUUUUUCCCAAUACAAAAUGCAUCUCCCUCUUUAGAUAACUUUUAUUUUAUUUUUUUUACUUAUAAUAGAAUUAUUAUGAAGAGCAGCCUUUGUCAUCAUUUUAGAGCAAGUCAAUCAAAUACUAACACGUAAUGUAAAAGACGAAACAUUUUCUAUUUUUUUUAUAUUUCAUUCUUAUCUUGUUACAAUCAUACCUACUCAGGAUCUAAAAUUAUUAUUAGGUUUUAUUUGGGAUUACAGAGAUAUUACGUAGCGUGGGGUAAGAAGGUAUGAUAGAAAAAUAUAAUAUUUUGUCUUCGUGCAUAAUAUUACAUUAUACAUAUCGAAAUAAGUCAAUUACAGUAUAUUUUAUAGUAAAGUAUACGUUGCAGAAAUUUUUUAGGUAGGUGAAAUAUUUUUCAUCUCACGCUCUAUUUGUUGAGAGCCACACACAGCAUUUAAACGAAAAGCUAAUUUUUUUUCCAAAAUAUUUAAAAGUACUUUGCAUGAAAAGUAGUUAUUAGAAAAAUAACUAAAAGAAUUUUUUUUCUUUACACUAGAGACUAUUUCCCCGUUUAUUUUUACAGCCAACCAAAUACACCUCCCACAAAGUAGCAUAGAAGAAAAGGGAAUAUUUGUUGCAUUUAGAGAAAUUUCUCCAUGCAACGGGUGUAUAUAUGCAUCCCAUUUUACAUUCAAUGAUUAAUAUUUUAAAUUAAAAAUAUAAUUCAGUAGAUAUGAUCUACAAUACAUAUGUAAAAAUCAUCAAUUCUAAAGAACUACUGCUAAUGGCAUUUAACUUGUAAGAAAUUGAAAGCACACCCCCAAAUUUUCUUUUUUUAAAAAAAUUUGUGUGGGCUUUUUAAAUGCCACAUAGCAUAUUCAAUAAGUUUGAUUACAAUUUUGAGAUAUUUGUCGUGCAAUUUUACUAAAUUCAGCUAAAAAUAUGAAACAAUUACGUUUCGAAUUUGGAACCCUCGAGUACCAACCAUCAUAUAUAUUCUUAGCCAAUUGCACUAGGCACAGUCUGUGAUUCUAAGGCAUUUUAAAUGCUAUAUAAUGUUUUAAUGAGUUAGACUUUGAUUUUGAGAUCUUUAUCACGAGAGUUUUAGUCGUGCGGUGUAUAAGAUGAAUUUAUACACCUUGUCCAAGCAAUAAUUUCUGGUUGCAUUAACACCAGCUAUUAGUUGUUCAUUGAUAGUUACAUUAAUACUAACUACUGUUUAUUAAUUCCUUACCCUUUUCUUUUCUCACCUCAUUGGAUUUCUCUUUCUCUCCCUUUCUCAUGUCUUUAGCUUUUUGCUCCCUCUCACAAGCAAGUGGUUUUGUUUCUUCUAUUGUCCACAUCUUUUAGGUGGGGUUCUUAUCCCAUUUUUGGCCAUAUUUGUCUCUUUUUAUUAGCCACAAGUUAUUUAGAGGUGGGAAUAAAAGCAACAAAGUGGAAUAAGCAUUUUCUAAUAGGAAAAACUUCAAAAACCCACCCUAUUAUUUCAUAGUUUCUCACUUUGCCCCCCUGUGGUUUAAAAUGUAUCAAAUUGCCCCCCUGUGGUUUCGUUUUUAUCUUUUCAGUAGCUUUUUUGUUAAUAUUUCAUUAAAUUAUAUACAAAAAACUUCAGAUACCAUAUAGAUUUAUCAAAUAUUCACUUUAGUACCCUUUAAUUUUAACUUUAUCACUGAUUUAAGAAAAAAAAAUAAUGAAAUUGAUAAGAAAAAGAGAAAAAAGAAACCACAGGGGGGGCAAAUUGAUACAUUUUAAACCACAUGGGGGCAAAGUGAGAAACUAUGAAACUACAUGGGUGGUUUUUGAAGUUUUUCCUUUUCUAAUAAGGCUUCACAUGCUUGAUCCUUUGCCCAGUGCUUUUUGGCUAAGCUCUCAAUAUAGCUUUUUUCACUACCAAAAGUAGUUGGUUAGUCAUAUAAAAUAGGCCAAUUUGCAUAAAAUAUUCACUAGUUUUGGGCUUUCGCAAAACCGGGUCACAUUUUUCGUUUUUGCAGAUUCGGUCCGCUUUUUCAAAAAGAUGACCAAACUAUCCCUCUUUUAAAAUGCAUAAGAAGUACAUGCAUUAAUUAUAUUAAAAAAUACAGCUGACAAGUCAUUAUUACAGUUACCUUUUUCUUGGAAAAUGAAAUUCUUAUUAACAUACAAAUAAAAAACUUCAAAUAAUAAAAGUAAAAAAGAAAGAAUGGAAUACACCUUAAAUAGUGCAACAUCGUUUCAAAUUGUGCAAUAUUUCUUUCAAAUAGUGUAAUAUUUGUAUAAACAGUGCAAUGUUUGCACAAUUUAUAUAAUGUUGCACAAUUUUUUAUACUAAAUUACGAAUACUAUAAUAUACUACGGGCAAAUAAUAUAACGUAUUACAAUAUACUAUAAAAAUCAUGUAUUAUAUGUAUAAACGUGAAUAUUUUAUACUAUUUGUACAAAUAUUUACACCAUUUGCAUAGAUGUUACACUAUUAUGAGAUAAUGUUGCACCAUUUAGAUGUUAUGUUGCACUCUUUCUUUUUAAAAAUUAAAGUGCAUUGUAUAUUAAAUAAAAUGUUAAAUUCCUUGGAAAUGACAACUGCUAAAUCAUAAUUACAUGUACCUUUCUCGAGAGACGAGAAUCCUCAUUUAAUUAAUAUAAAAUAAAAAAUAAAGUAUCAUUAAUACAAUGAAAGAGUGCAACAUCCUCUUAAAAAGUGCAACAUAGUCUCAAAUAGUGCAACAUUCUCUUCUAAAUAGUACAAUAUUUAUGUAAAUAGUGCAUUAUAUGUAUAAACGGUGAAUAUUUUGCACUAUUUGUACAAAUAUUUACACCAUUUGUAUAGAUGUUGCACUAUUAUGAGAUAAUGUUGCACUAUUUAGAUGUUAUGUUGCACUCUUUCUUUUUAAAAAUUAAAGUAUAUUGUAUAUUAAAUAAAGUGUUAAAUUUCUUGAAAAUGACAGCUGCUAGGUCAUAAUUAUAUGUACUUUUCUCGAAAAACGAAAAUUCUCAUUUAAUUAAGAUAAAAUAAAAAAUAAAUUAUCAUUAAUAUAAUGAAAGAUUGCAACAUUAUAAUGAAAUAGUGCAAUAUUCUCUCUAAUGUUGCACCAUUUAAGAGGAUGUUGCACUAUUUGAGACAAUGUUGUACUUUUUCAUCUUAUUAACAAUACUUUACUUUUUGUAUUUUGUUUUAAAUGAGCAUUCUCGUCUCUCGAGAAAGGUACAUGCAAUUAUGACUUAGCAGUUGUCAUUUCCAAGAAAUUGCACUCUUUAUUUAAUAGAUAAAUACUUUAAUUUUUAAAAAGAAAGAGUGCAACAUACCAUCUAAAUGGUACAACAUUUUCUUAUAAUAGUGCAAUAUAUAUACAAAUGGUGUAAAUAUUUAUACAAAUAGUGCAAAAUAUGCACCGUUUAUAAUAUAAUAUAUAAUUUUUAUAAGAUUUUGUGAUAUGUUAUAUUAUUUUCGUGUUAUUUUCACGUAAUAUAUUAUAUUAUUCAUAAUUUUGUAUAAAAAAUCAUUCAAUAUGUGUAUUAACGAUGCAUAUAUUGCACUAUUUAUAUAAAUAUUGCACUAUUUGGAAGAGAAUGUUGCACUAUUUGAGACCAUGUUACACUCUUUGAGAGGAUAUUGCACUUUUUCAUUGUAUUAAUGAUACUUUAUUUUUUACUUUAUCUUAAUUAAAUGAGGAUUCUCGUCUCUCGAGAAAGGUACAUGUAAUUAUGACUUAGCAGUUGUCAUUUUCAAGGAAUUUAACACUUUAUUUAAUAUACAAUGCACUUUAAUUUUUAAAAAGAAUGAGUGCAACAUAACAUCUAAAUGGUGCAACAUUAUCUCAUAAUAGUGCAACAUCUAUACAAAUGGUGUAAAUUUUUGUCAAAUAUGUGGCAAAAUAUUCACCGUUUAUACUUAUAAUGCAUCGAUUUUUAUAGUAUAUCUUUAUAUGUUAUAUUAUUUCGUGUAUUUUCACGUAAAUAUAUUAUAUUAUUCGUAAUUUUGUAUAAAAUCAUGCAAAUGUGUAUUAACGAUGCAAUAUAUUGGCACUAUUUUACAUAAAUAUUGGCACUAUUUGGAAGAGAUGUUCACUAUUUAGACUAUGUUACAUCUCUUUAAGAGAUGUUGCACUCUUUCAUUGUGAUUAAUGAUACUUUAUUUUUUACUUUAUCUUAAUUAAAUGAGGAUUCUCGGCUCUCGAGAAAGUAACAUGUAAUUAUGACUUAGCAGUUAUCAUUCCAAGGAAUUUUACACUUUAUUAAUAUACAAUGCACUUUUACUUUUUAAAAAGAAUGAGUGCAACAUAACAUCUAAAUGGUGCAACAUUAUCCUCAUAAUAAUGCACAUCUAUGCAAAUGGUGUAAAUUUUUGUACAAAUAGUGCAAAAUAUUCCCCGUUUAUACAUAUAAUGGCAUGAUUUUAUAGUAUAUUUUUAAUAGUAUAUUAUUUUCGGUUAUUUUCACGAUAUAUAUUAUAUUCGUAAUUUUGUAUAAAAAUCAUGCAUAUAUGUGUAUUAAUGAUUGCAUAUAUUGCACUAUUUACAUAAAUAUUGCACUAUUUUGGAAGAGAAUGUUGCAUCUAUUUGGACUAAAUGCACUCUUUAAGAAGAUGUUGCACUCUCAUUGUAUUAAUGAUAAUUUUAUUUUUUAUUUUAUCUUAAUUAAAUGAGGAUUCUCGUCUCUCGAGAAAGGUACAUGUAAUUAUGACUUAACAGUUGUCAUUUCCAAAAAUUUAAACAGUUUAUUUAAUAUACAAUAUAUUUAAUUUAUUAAAAGAAAGAGUGCAAAUAAUAUCUAAAUAGUGCAACAUUCUCUCAUUAUAAUUGCAACAUCUAUGCAAAGGUGGUAAAUAUUUAUACAGAAUAUGCAAAAUAUUCACUCGUUAUACAUAAUACAUGAUUUUUAUAGUAUAUUGUAAUACGUUAUAUAUUAUUGCGCGUAGUAUAUUAUAUUAUUCGUAAUUUAGUAUAAAAAUUAUGCAUAUUAUAUAAAUUGUGCAAAUAUUGCAGCUGUUACACAAAUAUUACACUAUUUGGAAGAAAUAUUGCAUAAUUUGGACCCGAUGUUGCACCAUUUUAAGGUGAUUCCUCUUUCUUUUUUACUUUUAAUUAUUGAAGUUUUUAUUGUCACGCCCCGGGGCCGAUUUAAAAGUCUUUUUAAAACAGACGUGCGGAAAACGUGCAAUUUUUUUUUUUUAUAAAAUAACAUCUUUCUCAUCCUGGCCCACCGGAACGUACAGACCCCCACAAAUACAAAGUUUCUCUGUCGCACAUCGGACAGAACUCCUUUGUAUUUGCACGGCGUACCAACGAUACAACAGAAUCUCACCACCAACCUACAUUUACCCAAUCAUACCCACACCAAGGCAUGAUAGGCAUUUCCAUACAGCUAACAAUCCUUAGAAUGAUGACUGCGGACAUGUUAGCCUCCUUAGGCAUACUGGAUGAUGCGAUGCACAAUAAGACAAAACAUCCUAUUUAAAAGUGGCUCCCCGACACGGAUAGCUUUUGUUUUUUAAAACUCUAAUUCAAUCAUUAUAAAAACAUAUCGAAAACGAGCUUUUUAAAACUGUUUCCCAACACGAACUUAUUUAAAAACCGACUACCUCGAGCGGUAGAAAACCACAGAUGCAUGACUACAAGAAACCAAAAUCUCCACAGAACCUAAAACCACAGAUCGAAAACUCAUCUCAUGUAUAUAUGAAAACAUCCAUAAAUCUCAUGCAAACGGAAAUCAACCACAUUCAAAUAGUCUAACUGAACGAUUAUUAAGAAAACUACUUAAGGUGCGGGAAAGAAAUAACCAGAGGGUGACGGUCCGGCUAACUUGCAGCGUACCUAGAUCAUCCUCGUCGUCGAGCCCAAAAUCCAAGUUCCCUCGUCUCUUGUACCUGGGUGGGGAAAGGGGGUGAGAAAACCGCACCAUGUUCUCAGUGGGGGUAUCGACAGCAGCCACAACAGGCAAGUCGUAAUCACCGGAAACCAAAGUGAGAUAGAUUAAAUCAAAUAUAUAUCGUAAGCUGAUAUGAAUAGAACUACAGUUACUACAAACAGAUAAAUAGGAACAAUAUAAUAAACCUGCUACUGUAAUAGAAACAAUGCAAAGAAUGCCUGAAAUGUAACUGAAUCCAGAAACUGUACCCAAUCUGUCCUGCUGUAUCGGUCCGGAGACCUCAAGCGCAUACUGUUCAUCAACUGGCAGUCCGACCUGAUCCAUUACGCGCCCGCCAGGAACGACCUACUCCGGAAAAGUACACCUCCGAUCGGUUGGCCAAACCGAUCCGCGUGUCAUGAAUACCCCCAAGGCCGUGACUAUCAUGCUGUAUGCUCAAACGAAAACAACGCCGGCUAAUAGCCGGUGCUAGCCGAAGCCAACAACGAGGCGAAAUGCACAAACUGAAUAGAAGACCUAGGGCGUAACAACCCGAACCUCGUAUCAACAGAUCGAAAUACACGACAAAGAGAGUGCGAGGUUUGCCUGGACCCAAGUCCACAGAGAAAUACUGAAAUACAAAUGCAACCUGUCUACAUGUCUUCCACAACUAUACCAAUGUCAAUCAGGGGUACGAAUAACCAAAACGACACAGCAAUGAUCAUUAGAGUCUAAAACAGGAAAUGGAAAAACAAGAAGAGAAGAAUGUAAAACCUCUCACCGACCUACCAAGCUUCGAAGUCACCCCACCUGUCACUGUCGCGGUCGGAAACCCGCUGGAAGCUACGCACAAGCUAACCGGACUAAAGAAGAUCCACAAGUUCAGUAUCAACCACUAACGCCACAAGCACGAGACUCACAAACCCCCACACAGGAUCCCCGUAAUCGUUUCCGGAAAACCGAUCCCCGUAACUAUCGCGAAGUCCGGAAAACACACACCGGACGCCAGUCGGACGCCACUAAGUGUCCCGCCACUCACCGACGUCGUACACCGUAUCACCUGCUGCCCAAGAACAUUCGCAAUUUGGAUGCCCUGGGCAGCGAACACAAGAGGUACAACAAUCAUCGAUCAUCGCCGGAUAAUCGUCGAAUCCGGGUUUUUUUUUUUUCCCGGAAGUGUCUAUUUUCGACACGAACCUCCGUCGCUGCACCUAUGCAUCAUCGACCACAAAAUGAUGUGUGACCACCAACAAGCUCAGCGACAAAACGGAAGGCAACCAAACACCUCGGAAAGAAUCCGAACCGAAACCGCCACGCGCUUCUUACGGCGAAUUUCGCGAAAACAGCGCCGAAAUCGACCCUACCGAUUCCGCGAAAGUUUAACGCGAGUCAUGACAAUCAGUCCUAGCGAUCAAUACAAACUCUACCACACUGCAGGCACAGUAGCCACGGCGAAGCACAAAUGCAUACAAAACCCUCUAAUUAUCAUAAAAUAUCAUCAUUUAUGUCAAUUUGAGGCGAUCAAGCGGCUCGUUCACAGUGCAAACCGAGGACUUCAAAAAGUCCGCAAGAACACGUACUGACAGGUCUCGACGUACGCGGAGUCCGUGCUCACGAUCCGGAGCACAGCGCUCGCUGUGGAAGCGCGGAGACCCGAAGGUUCAGCGAAUACGCGCAGUCAGGGUAAAGAUCCGCCGCGACCAGAAUAACCGGACCACUAUGUUGAUCCAAGUGAUGGAGCACUGUGGGAUCAGACACUGACGCAACGAUCACCGUGCUCCACCUCCGGAGUGCAUCAGGACAGGCCUCGGAUCGCCGGAUAACGUGCGCGAAAACCCAAAAAGCAGCCAACAGGCUGAAACGGAAGCGAUCAACGCCAAAAAAGUGAACGUGAGUCUGCCCGACAACUAAGGUGAGCACGAUGAUUCAGCAACUUGCCAGAUCAUCGGUGCUCCCUCCGUACAGAUACGGGGAGGCUCGGUGAAGUUUCAGAGCGAGGAAACCACUGCCAAUAAGCUCCAUUUCAGGCUUGGCCGGAGCAACCUUGCUCCGGCGCGGCCUCCCGGCGGCACGACUGCAUGCUGUGGGGACCCUGAGUCGGUCGAGGGGGAGGUGAGGAUACACCGUGCCACCUCAGGAGCGGCUGAAGCGGCGUACGGCGGCGGGGAGCAAACCGAGCCCGCACGGAUCGGGCUCGGUGUCAGAGUUGCUGCGGCACGGCGGCGGCGGGAGCUCCGGACGGCAGAGGCGGGCUGGGCAGAGUCGGGGGAGUGCCUCGGGUGCUGCGCCCAAGCGGCCGGCGGCGCAGGCGAAGAAGACCCGAGCUCGCUACGGGCCGAGCUUGCCCAAGGAACCGCGCCACCGCGACUCAGCGCGGCGGCGGCGUUCGGCGACGCGGCUGGCGGCGGGGAAGGACGGCCUGGGCUCCGGAAAGCUCCGCCGAGGUGGUCCACGCUGGCGGCGGCGCAGAAGAAAAGGCGCCGCAGGCUUGCCUCGGCUGGGCUCGGCUGGGCGGCUGCAGCCGGCCGAGGCGGCGGCGGCGGAGCGCUGGGGCGGCGGGACCGGCGGGAAGGGGUGCCGGGCUUCGUGGAACGCCGGCGGAGAGUUUCCAGGCGGCGGGGAGUCGCGCUGGGUGGCUGCGGCACCCGGUUCGCGGCCAGCUCGGCCUGGGCUGCUUGCAGGCGGCAGAACGCUGCGGCGGUGCAGGCCGACGGCGGCGUCGCGGCGGGAAAAGUGCCGGAGCACGGUUGAAGUCCAGGGGGAGGUCCUGCAGAAGGCACAAGCCCCGGGCCUUCACACAACGCCGAGAGGAAGAGGGGAGAGAAAGAAUGGAGAAAGAGAGAAGUGGUGGCUGUCGCGUGGUUGGCUGGCCGGGGGCUCGGUCGCGGCGGGCCUGGCACGCGCAGCAGGUGCCCAGGGGAAGGAGAUGAAGGUGCCUGGGGCGACUAGGUGUAGACUAGGGUGAGGUUGAGUGGGCUCUCAAACCUAAAGAGACUUAAUACAAGCCAGACUUGCAAAAAGGGUCACCAAAACACGCGAAUUUUCAAUCGAUGCCCUUCACGGAAACGACUAAAAACGCAAAGAACGCCCUCCACGUGCGAUCCCUCGCGAAACGGUACCUAAAAUAUCCGCGAUGUUCGCGAAAAUACGUUUUCGCACACCGACCUCUCCUCGAUCAAACUCGCGAUUCUUCCACAGAUCCGUCCGUCAGAUUUGCGAACGGAUUGCACCGGUGCGAUCAGCACCUCGGAGACAACAAAGCUGCGAUUUCGUUUCGUCUUGAUCGACCACGGAUUCACGACAAGAUCCAACCUUCUUCGAAUAGAAGGAAACACACACAAAAAUACAUAUAAAACACGUAUUUUUGGAUUUUCUCGAGAUCCGUGCGUCAAACUCAAAAUCCGUCAGCGCCACUAGUUCCAGAAUAGCUGAACCGGUCGAAACGAGCUAUUGGACUGCUAUGAACAGAGUCCGGUACGAGCCAGAAGCCAACUUCUCACCGCGGCUUCUCCGGAAAAUCGAGUUACUAUUCACUUUAAGUGAAACUUGGAAAUCGCGUAGAAUUUCCGUUUUAAUUCGAUUUCGCCCGAAACUUGACGAGUGCUUUUGUAAUUAAAUCACACACAAAAACAUCGUCAACUGAGAGUUUAGCUACACUGCAAAAAUCUCAGUCCUUACAUUUAUUUGUAUGUUAAUGAGAAUUUCAUUUUUCAAGAAAAAUGUAACUGUAAUAAUCACUUGUCAGCUGCAUUUUUCAAGUUAAUUAAUGCAUGUACUUCUUAUGCAUUUUGAAAGAGGGGUAGUUUAGUGAUCUUUUUGAAAAAGUGGACCGAAUCUACAAAAACGAAAAAUGUGGCCCGGUUUUGCAAAAGCCCAAAACUAGUGGAUUUUUUAUACAAAUUGGCCUAUAAAAUAUAAUUAAGUUGUGUUUGAUUCGACAACUAAAUUUUUAACAAUAAUUUUUUAUUAUUGCUGGAAAUAGGGGAUAUUUCGGUAUAAACUAAUACGAUUAUAAAUUUGUGUUUGGAUGCAUUCAGGGAUAUUAUAAAAGAUAUCAUUAGUAGUGUUUUCAUAAAAAAAAAAAAGAAAAAUAUCUAAAUAUGUUUUUAAAAAAUAAAAUAAUUAAUUUAUAUCAAUAUAUUUUGUAUAAAAUUAAGGGGAAACUUUAAAUACCCCUGUGGUUUUGCACUUUCUCACUUUAGUACCAUGUGGUUUAAAGUGUAUCAAGUUAGUACCCUGUAGUUUCGCACUUUCUCACUUUAGUACCAUGUGGUUUCAAGUGUAUCAAGUUAGUACCCUGUGGUUUCGCACUUUCUCACUUUAGUACCCUGUGGUUUAAUAUUUCGUUAAAUUAUAUACCCAAAAUGGAUAAUAAAAAGAGAAAAUUGAAACCACAGAGUACUAACUUGAUACAAAAAUGAAACCACAUGGUACUAACUUGAUACACUUGAAACCACAGGGUACUAAAGUGAGAAAGUGCAAAACCACAAGGUACUAACUUGAUACACUUGAAACCACAGGGUACUAAAGUGAGAAAGUGCAAAACCACAGGGUACUAACUUGAUACACUUUAAACCACAGGGUACUAAAGUGAGAAAGUGCGAAACCACAAUGGGGUAUUUGAAGUUUUUCCUAAAAUUAAUUAUAAAUUUAUUUUAGGGUAAUUUGCAUAAAAAAUUCACUACUUUUGAGAAUUUGUAAAAGUAGGCCGUUUUUUGGAUUUUGCAGAUUCGGGUUGAAUUUUCAGAAAAUUGACCAAAAUACUUUUAUUCUAUUUUCUCUCCCCUUUUUUUUUUCUCUCCAACCCCUACACCACCUCUGCGGCCCUCCGUGAUGGUAACGAUGGCAACGCUGCAUUCUCUUCCUUCAUCUUCACCGUCGCCGAAAAAAGAGGACUUGGAGCGAGCGUUGGUGAGAGCAGAGUGGACGAAGGCGGUGAGGUCGUGGCCGGGGCAAUGCUCGCUGUCGCCUGUGAGGGUGAAGGCGAAGACGUGCCCGCACUUCUCCAAGAAGCACUUCCGACGAGAGCGGUGGCCGCAGUAGAGGGCGAGGGAGAGACCACGAUAGUGAAAAAAGAUAUAGAUGAUAAAAAAAAAAGAAUUAAAAAGAAUAAAAGAUAAAAAAAAAUGUAAAGAAAAAUAUUUUUUCUACAAAAGGUAAAGAAUCAAAGAAAAAAAAAAAGAUAAUGAAGUUGCACUGUCUUAGAAGAAUGUUGCACUAUUUUAGACAAAAGUUACACUCUGAGAAAAAAAUAUAUACUUUUUGAAAAAAACAAAUUUACACUUUUUGGACGAAAGUUAUAUUUUUUGGACGAAAGUUAUAUCGUUUCUCCGAUCCUCCCCUUCCUCUUUUCUCUGUGUUUUCUCUUUUUUUUUUGUGCCCAUCUCCUUUUCGCCAUCCACCUCCACCGCAGUAGAUCCGCCACCCACCAAACCCACUUCCAGAAACUUGCUGUCCCACCAUCGCCGUUGACGACGAAGAGGAAGUACUUCUUGGCGCUAAAAAGCUCACAGACGAGGAAGGGGACAUGCGUCCCAUGGUGCCUACAUAGGGACGGCGGUGCACGCGGUGCAGAUGGAGGAGAAAACGGUGAUGUCAAAGAAGAGAGCAAGCAAUGAGGGCAGGGUUUACGGUUUGGACCCCCCGCCCUCUUCUUCGGCAUCGCUGUGCUCUCCUCUGUUUCCACCGCAUGCCUUGCCGUCCCCACGUUGGCGGAGUGGGCCGUGUGCCCUUUUUCUCGGCACCGAGCUCCUCUGCACCGAGAAUCACUUUCUCUUCAUCAUCGGCGACGUCAAUGGGGAUGGCGAGUUCCCAAAAGUGGGCUUGGUGGGUGGCAGAUUUGCUACGAUGGAAGUAGAGGGUGAAGAAGAGAUGCGCGCAGAAGAAGCAUGAGGAAGCAGAGGGGAAAGAGGAGAAAUGAUGUAACUUUCGUCCAAAAAAUACAAUUUUUAUCCAAAGAGUGCAACUUUUUUCUCAAAAAGUAUAAUUUUUGUCUCAAAAAGUAUAAUUUUAGUAUAAAAUAGUGCAACGUUCUUCUGAAACAUUGCAACUUCAUCUUUUUCUUCUUUUUUCUCUGAUUCUUCACCUUUUUGUAGAAAAAAUAUUUUUUUUAUAUUUUUUAUCUUUUAUUCUUCUUUUUUCUACUAUCUGCAUCUUAUUUCGCUACCACAAUCUCUCCAUCACUCUUUACCGCGGCUAUCGCCCUCGCCGGAAGCGCUUCUUGGAGAAGCGCGGGCGUGUCUUCGUCCUUAUCCUUACGAGCGAUAGUGAGCACUGUCUCGAUCACGACCUCAUCAGUUUCGUCCCCUUCGCUCUCACAUGUGCUCUCUUCGAGUCCUCUUCCGCGCCGGCGUCAGUGCCUGCAUUGGUGAAGGGAAAAGAAAAAGACGCGGUGCUGCCCUCGUUACCGUCGCGUAGGGCCGUAGAGGUGGAGGAGCAGGGUCGGAGAGAGAAACAAAAAAUAACAAUAGAAAAAAAAUGAGAGAGAAAAGAAAAUAAGGGUAUUUUGGUUAGUUUUUUUUUAAAAUUCGGCCAGAAUUUGCAAAAUUCAAAAAGCCGACCUACUUUUGUAAAAUCUAAAAAUUAGUGGAUUUUUUUUUUGUAUAAAUUGGCCUUUACAAUUUAAUUUAUAUCAGUAUAUUUAAUUUAAUUCAUUUAAUAAUUUAUUUUAUAUAAUUUAUCCAUGUAAUGAAUCAAAUAUGAUACUAGAAAAAUACUUAUAAUUAAUAAUACUAUAAAUUUAAUACAAAUUUAAAAGAAAUAUAUAAUAUAUAAAAAAUAAUUUAAUAUAUAUGAUGCUUAAUAUAAAUAAAAUAAGUAAAUAUUAAUGUAUAAAUUGAUAAAACUUAAUAAAGUAAAUAAUAUAUCACAUUUAAUUCAUUAUAUUAUAUAAUAAGAUUUAAGUAGAAACAUAUNAAAUUUAAUACAAAUUUAAAAGAAAUAUAUAAUAUAUAAAAAAUAAUUUAAUAUAUAUGAUGCUUAAUAUAAAUAAAAUAAGUAAAUAUUAAUGUAUAAAUUGAUAAAACUUAAUAAAGUAAAUAAUAUAUCACAUUUAAUUCAUUAUAUUAUAUAAUAAGAUUUAAGUAGAAACAUAUUAUCACAAAUAUAAUAAUUAUAUUAAUAUAUUUAUUUAUAUUCUUAUCGUCUAAUAAAAUAAAGAGAAGAAUAAAAUUGUCCCUAGUUUUUCUUAGAAACAAUUUUUAACAGAUAUUCCAGAAACAACUUUUAACAGAUAUUCCAGAAUAAUCCGCUUUGGCCGGAACAACCUGUUUUCCCCAUUUCUCCAUCAAUUUGAUACGAGUUUGGGGAUAUCCUCCAUAUUUUGGGAUAAACCUAAUCAAACGCAGCCUUAUGAGUGUUUAAUUUGAUGUAAUUAUAAUGCAAUAUAGUUAGAAAUGCAUAGAGUUACAGAUACUAUAGUUACAUGUAGCUAUGCAGAUAUUUUUUUAUUGGAUGUAUUAUAAAGUGGUGCACCUAGAAAUAAUUUAUUUGCUUGCAUGUGGUGAGAAUUAUAGUUAUACAAUUUUAGGUAAAAACGUACAGAACUUAUAUGAACUAUGGACUAUUUUGAAUUGGCUACUCAACCUUUCAAAAAUUUUAUUUUAUUAUAUAUCUAACUUUUCAAUUUGUUUAAUUUGAGAUAUUUUGACUUCAAAAAUUAAGCUAAUUUUACUUUAAUAAAUUUAUAGUUUCAAGAAGUAUGUGAAGUAUAUUAAUUAAAUCUAUAAAAUCAAACAACACAUUCAAAUUUAAAGCUAAAGUGUCGUUAACUAAUUCUAAACAAAGUAAUUGAAAGAUUAGGUAAUAAAAAUAAAAUUUUAAAAUGUUCAAUAGCCAACUUAUAAUGGUUCAUAGUUCAAGUAAGUACUGCACAUUUUUUACUUAAGUUUUAUCAAUUAAUUUAUAUACUGGAUAGUGAAAUUACCUUCUAGAAGCAAAUAUAUAUAUAUAUAUAUAUAGAGCAGGACUGCUGUGCUCUCAGGAGCACGGAGGCCUCCGUGCUCCUGAGCCGUUUUCAAUGAUGGAAUUUUCGAAUCGACGAUCGGCUCCAGUAGACUUGAUCUAGGGUAUUUGAAGUUUCUAGAAAAUAAUUUUUGCGAUUUUUUGAUAUCAUUUACCUAAUGAUCGAAAUGAUUCAAAAUCAAUAAUUUUUAAUGGUUGAUAUCUACCGUUUUCAAGUUUAACGGUGUAGAAGUAUUCAAAUCAGAUGAAAUUUUGAUACAAAAUUCUUUAUACUAUCUACAACAAGAUUAAUAUUUCUGAUCGAAAAUUUUAGUGCUAUAUCACCACUUUUUAUAGGAUUUUUAUUUUCAGCCGUUAAAAAUUAUUGAUUUUGAAUCCUUUCGAUUGCUAGAUAAAUGAUAUCGAAAUAUCACAAAAAUUAUUUUCUAGAAACUUCAAAUACACUAGAUCAAGUCUAACGGAGCCGAUCGUCGAUUCGGAAAUUCCAUCAUCGAAAACGGUCAGGAGCUCGAAGGCCUCCGUGCUCUUGAGAGCACAACAGUCCUGCUCUCUCUCUCUCUCUCUCUCUCUAUAUAUAUAUAUAUAUAUAGAGAGAGAGAGAGAGAGAGAGAGAGAGAGAGAGAGAGAACUAGGCUACUAUGCUAUUAAUAACACCAAAUCAUUGGUGCUACCAAGUUUUCGGCCAUUGGAUUGAGAGAUGUGCGGUUAGGAUGAUGUGGGCCUUCUAGGGUUGAGUAGGUGGUUGGUUGAAUAGUAUGAUCUAACGGGUGAAAAUGAUCAAAGGGGUGGAUCUAACGGCAGAAAACUUGGUAGCACCGAGUGCUUCGUGCUAUUGAUAGCAUAGUAGCCGGACUCUGUAAGUCCAUAUUUUAUUUAAAAAGUAUUGAAUAGAAAAUUAAGAAAUGUAAACAUUAUUUUUGGUUAGUUUAAACUUUUUGGAUAAAAACAAUUGCUUUUUAUAAUUUAAUAUGAUAGUAAAGUAGGAAAUUUUGAGUUUGAGCCAUGUCGAGCUCCUAGUUUUAUUUAGUUUUCUCCUAUUUAAUUCAAGUUCACAUUUUUUGCCGGUUGGAGAAAAAGAAGGAAAGAGGAGCAAAAGAGGAAAGAGAUUUUUUACUUUGAUUAUUUUAAUCUCCAACAUUAAAAAUUUGUUAAUCUAGAAGGUGGAGGAGAUAAUACAUAAAAAAAAAAUAAUAAAAUUUUGACACUUCAUUCUCUUCACUUCUCUUUUUUGUUGAACUUCUCUUCAUUUCUCUCCUCGCUUUUCUGACAAUUCGUUAUGAUUGUUGAUGCAAAUUUUUAGAAUUAUUAUAAUUAAGUCGUGCAAUCUAAUUUUGAGGGCUAAAUAUUGAUAAAUUAUUAAUAUUAACGUAGAAGUGAUAUAGAAAUAUUAUGAUUAAUUAUGCAUUAAUAAUUAAGAUACUAUAUUAUGUUUACAUCACCGAUGUGGUAAAUAUUUAGUUAACUAAAUUGAGUUGUGAAAUUUAAUUAUGAUAAUAAUUGUUCAGAUUUGGUCAGAUUUGUAGUUGAUUUUUUAGUUUGAUAAGAAUUAAUAUAUUUAAAUCUAUUGGAGAUAAGUUAAGAUUUAAAUAUUAAUUAGAGUAUAAAUCUAACCCGAAUAAAUAUUUAGAUAUAUUGGAGAUAAACUAAAUAUAAAUUUAAAUAUUAUUUGGAGUAGGAAUCUUAAUUAUACUAAAAUUGCGGUAUGUUCUAUUAUAAGCAUUAUAUAAGCACCAGUUGGGUUGGUUUUGAAAUAUAGUACGACAGGAGAGCGACCGCCUCUUGGGUGGUGUCGUACGGGAGAGAGAGUUGGCCAUGGUUGCAUGCACUUAGUGCAUGGGUGUGUUCAACGAUAGAAGUCUUUUAGAUUUAUAAAAGACGAGAGAAGGAUAAGAGAGAUUCAGAAAAAGAGCUCGGGUUUGAAGUUAGAAGUUACUAGAAAUCAGGUGUAAUAUUCUUUUAUUUAGACUUAGUUUGGUAUUGAGCUCUAUCUAACGCCAUUAGAUAAAAUAGAGUUGAGAAAAAAGCAUAUAGGGAUAUGCUUUUGCAUUCUCCGAUUGGAGCGCAGAAAAUAUAUCAUAACCGAUUCAUUACGUACGGAAAAUAUUUUUUCAACAUACUUUCUCACCGCACGUAACGCAAUCUCCCCACAAUCCCAAAGGAAGCCUUAGUAAAUCUUAUUUUAUCCGUAUAUUUUCUAUUUGAUUUUUUCUUUUUUGUAAUUGUAUCAGCUUUUUUUUGCCAAGAAUGCGAGUUUAUGGCAAAAAUUCGAUUCAGAUGCUUCCGUUGCGGAAUUCCAACAUUCAAUUUCGAAUCAACACCAGUCGGUAUCAGAGCGGAUUGCGAAUUCUCAAAAUCUGAUAUUAAGGCUGAGUAUUAGUGUCACGCCCCGGAUUACACUUUCCCCGGGCGCGCCGACAAAUCCGCCGUAUACAAAGGAAUUUCCCCUGUAUACGAAGCGAUAACUGUACCUGUAAAACAAACACUACUACGAACAGUAGUAGAGAGCUGCUAGAGAAAACAGAAGCUAAACAAACUGAGUUUCAUAUACAUAGUCCAAAUCCAAAAUACAAAGCUACUCACACUAGCGAGUUAAGUCCACUAUGUACAUAAACUCGAAAUAAAACAUCUACCUGCAGUAAGGGCACCUCUAGCUCAGCACGUCGGGAAGGGCUCUAACUCGCGACGCCCUUGCCUCGAUCCUGAUCCGCGGACGGUGCAGCAGCCAGAACCUGUGGCUCUGCAAAAACAUAGGUAACAACUGGGCGUGAGAACUACUGUAAAAACAAGUAGUCCUCAGUGGGUACCGCCCAAAACAACAUCGGUCCACCCACUAAGUCUACAGAAGGGAGCAAGAAUAGUAGUAAAAUGCAGGAAUAAAGUCUACCGCUAUCAAACACUACACUAUCAUGCUCUACACUAACCAACUGUAGAAAUAUCCAACCUGACCCAAUCCAAUCGGGACUGUAAGCAUACCCGUCCCCGGGACUGUGAAUACACCCGUCCCUGCCCCGUUGCGACUAUCGGGCUCUAUCCACACUAACUGGUCCGUGGAGAGCAAGUCCAACUGGCAUGAGCGACACCAACGCGAAAGCACAAAGCCUGACUCCGGAGUGGCACUCGUGGGCGCUACCCAACCGAGUAUGCAGCGUAUCUCUGUCGAGCUCAAUCAGGCUCCAACUAGCCAAAGUCAAGUAAAUAGGGUCAAAACUAGUCUACAAACCAAACCCACGUGCCCUCGGCACAAUCUGUGACCAAAACAAGAAUCUGGGUCCACCGCUAACCCGAACGGCACCCAACGACCCGAAACAGCCUAUACUCUGCUGAAAAAUAAGCUCGGCACCCCAGCACGAGCGUAAAUGCCUUCUAAACUACCCCAGAUAUCCAUCGCACUGAUACUGCAACGAUACAAUCGAAUCACGGCUCCUAGAGCUAAAUCUGGUAGUUUAAGCAUAUGACGGGUCAAAACGCAGGUUUUCUCCUAAGUCAAAUUUCAAGUCCAACAUGUAUAAUUUAAAUAUUCAUUUCAGCAUACUUCUACAUUCAUAUUACAUUCAAGAUGCUAAUCGAUGAAUUAAAGCAUGAUAUACAAAAAUCGAACUAUACACAUCGACUAAACAUGCACUUAGGAGCGAAACCGAUGAUACACCCACCUCGAGAGCAAAUUCCUGGCAGCACGGAACUCCCUCAGCUGCGGCACAACCUGCUGGAUCGACUGAAAAUGUCCGAGUCUCAAAAUCAAGCUAUCUCCAAGCUAUCAACAUCAAAAUCCACAAUUCAGUCCAAGUACACAGCAGCAGAGAAGGGAAGGGUUUAGACCAAGCUAACCUUCACCAAAAUCCACAAGUAAGGACUUCGUGGAUUCCUCUCGCAGUCCCUAAACCAACGAAUCAAGUCUUGUCAAAAUCCGAUGCUCCUACGUCGAGUACGAGCUGAAAUACUAACAGUCGACGAUGAAGUUCAGCAAAACAGCACUUUAAGCUUAAAUAUCUCAAUUCCAAUGUCAAAACUCACCUAACGAACUCCAAAUCAGGUAAGGAGGGUCCCAAUUCCAGUACUGGGUGAUAGGGAAAGUGACUCAACUCCACAAAGCCCCUGCUUCCAAAGUUCACCCCAAGAAAACUCAAAAAUUGGUAAAUUCUGCCCAAAGCAACAGCAGCAGAGGAAAACCUUAGUUCGACUAAGCUAACCUCAACUAAAAUCUGCAAUUCAGGGCUCCGUGGAUUCCUCCGGAAGUUUAGAAUCCAGCAAACCAAGUUUCGUCGAAAUCUGACCUUCCUACGUCGCGCACGAGCCAAAACACUGGAGGUCGUCGCUGAAGAACUGCAGAAUCAGCACCUUGCAAUUCUUGGAGAGGUGGAUCUUGAUGCAAAAAUGGAAAGAUUGGAGGGAUUUGGGAGUAAAAUCUAAGUCCUCUGUGAAGAACAGGUAAAAGAGCUCAAAGGGGGCGCUUCUCAGCUAUUUAUAGGGUGAAAAUAGGGUCAGAUGAACCUCAGGAACAAAGGCUGAAAUCUGCUGUCCCUGCAGAAAAUCCGAGAUCUGGGCGCCCUAAACUCAGUUCUGGGCGCUCAGAACUUCCAACCUGCACAAAACCGCCCUCAUCGGUUCCUUCGCCUGCGGUAUGCUGCACCCUUAUCCUGCUCCGGCGGCCCACACCUACCACCAGCCACGCGUCAACACGAUCGAUAUUCACGAUGUAGAAUUUCCGGACCCACUUCUGGGCGCCCAGAACAUAGGAUCCGAAUUGGCUUCCAGUUUCAGUAAAAUUCAGCACUCAGUACUGGGCGACCUAAAUCCAUUUCUGGGUGCCCUAAACUUCUGGGCGCCCUAAAUCCAGUUCUGGGCGCCCUAAACUAGCAAAACUCCAGUUUUGCUUAUUUGAGUGCACCGAGUCCAAUUCUGCAUCCAAUUCGUGCAGAAUUGACUCCGACUCAGUCCGACACUCUCCAGAGAUGUCGACCAGUCUAUAAUACUGAAGCCAAUCCUAUCCAAAGCUCAGGAACACUACAAUUAGAUUUCCAACAAUAAUUUUAAAGGUUGGAUUAAAAAAUUAUAAUAAGGACCAAAUGUGCCAUUUAUCCUAAAUAUUUUCCAUUGACAAAAACUCGACCACGUUCAUUGAAUCUAAACCGUGUUUCGGCUCAUUCACGCUCGUUCUGGGUGCGGGGUAAGCCACAGUACCAUGUCAUCUAUAGACCACCAAUCAAAACACAAAAACGUGCUUACGAAGCCACAUCUUCUCUCCUCUCAUUGGAUCGGUGUAGUAGACCCUGUCCAUACAAUAAUCCCUCAUCCAUUUGCAUCAAACGCCUCUAUCGAUGUUCGCUAGGGGUCUGUUUGGAUUGACGAAUCCGUAAAUCCAACGUAAGUCAAGUGCAGUGGUGUUUGAGUUUUUCUGAAGUGUGAUUAUUUUUUGGUUGUUUGUUUUGACGUAAAUCGUAUAGCCUGAAAGUUAAAUUCAAUUAUUUCUUCUGUUUGUUUUGAUGUAAUUUGGUGCUGGUGAAAUUAGUUUUGUGAGUUCCGUUGUUUGUUUUGAUGUAAGUAAGUGGAUCUCAUUAUCUCCUAAAUAUAAUAGUAAAUUUACCGCUAUAAAAUUUAACUUAUUAUAUAAUUAAUUUUUUUUAUUAUUAUUUAAAGAUAAUCCUAAUUUAUUAUAAAUAAGGUAAUUCUAAUCUAUUAUAAGGGAAGUAGAGUUUAGGUUUUACUGUUUAAUAAAUAUUUUAGAGGAGGUUGAGUAUGGUGGAAGUCGAGUUUGACACUUUAGAGGAGGAAGUCGAGAGUAGGUGAAGUGGAGGUCUAACGUAACUUGAGUUACAUUAUAUUUUUCACUUACACCAAAAUAAAUAACGAAAGUGAUGGAACUUGAGUUCCAUCACUCCACUUACACCAAAACAAACAUGCCCUAGAAUGUUCCGAACGAACUGUGGAGUUCGACGUCCGCACGUAACACCAUAGACCGGGCCCACGUCCCACUCUCUGACUUGUGGGCCCGCAGUUGUACAGCUGUUACACUGUAGUCCUUCCACGUGGACCUGUCGUUCCGCAUUAAAAGAUAUCGCCUGCAUCACAAACGCGCCGCAUAGAAAUCCAUAUGCGGAAAACAACUGACCCGUCCAUUUUGGUAUUUUCACGGCAGUUCGUUUCUCGCAUGUAAUAUUUUAUAGGUUCCUGCGUAUACGAUUUCAUCCGAUCACCGCAUAGAGGGGAGGCUGAUGUCUUUCACGUUGAACCCUGUCUACCACGUCAUCCGUAAGCCCGUACUAUCACGACCUCACCUUUGGUGAACCUACAUUAUAUGAUAGGCUAGGCUCGAUCUCUUAGACCAGGUUCACGAACCGUGUCUCCCCUCAGCGAGAGAUCCAAUGAUGUAAACUGAUUCGUAGCCGUUGGAUCUCAAACGAACGGUCACAAUAAUACUAAAUAAUUCCUUUUAUAUUAAUAUUAUAUUAUUCUUAUUUUUUUCCUUUUUGGCCUUUUUCGUUUCCUCCCCGUUCGGUUCGUUGCUACUGUGAAGAAGAUAAGGGGAGAGAGAGAGAGAGAGAGGAGAGAGAGAAAACCCUAAUCGUGAGCUCGGAGAAACCCUAACCCUAAUCAAAAUCCUAACCCUAAGAGGGUGGCUGCAUGAGUAGUCGGGCGGAGGAGGGGCGCGACGUCAAUCCCAGGUUCCUGAAGCAUCCAUGGGGUUGGUUAUCGUCGUCUCUGCUGCGCAUCCGCCGCGGCUCCUCCGCGCCGCCGCGUUCUCCACUCUCCGAGGAGGAGCUCCGCCGCAGCCCCUCCGCCGCCGCCGCCUCCACGGCCUUGUCUCCCUUCGACGGCCGAAGCUGAGGAGCCCUUCUCAAAAUGAUCCCUGCGGCAGGUAAUUGGCGCAGUCUCUUCGUCUUGGAGACACUGAUAACCUUUUUCCGCUUUCCGAUUGGACCAAUUUUGAUCUCUGAUUGAAGCUCUUUUGGUUAGGAAAUGGGUUUUAUUUGGAAAGUUCGCACCUUUAGUAGUUUGAAUUGGAAAUGUGGGAUAUUGGAAUCUGUGCAUGGUUAUGCUGGUUAGUAUGGAUUGCUCUUGUGGUGGUUUAGUUCUCUGUCUUGUAGAAAAGAAGGAUUAAUUGUUCAUUGUAUAGUCGUGAGAAAAGAUAGUAAAACAUGGGCUCUUAUAUAGUUUGAGCAUCGAAUUCAGAUUAUGGAGUUAAGCUCCUCUAAACUUCACUGUCAAUAAUGUAAACAGCGUAUGUUAGUUUAUGUAAGAUGUGUGUUCAGUGUAAUUUCUUUCAUGAGCUGGUCUCAAGCCGUAAUAAAGGAGUUUCGCAUAAUGUAGCUUGACAGCAGGGUUAUAAUUUUUGCCAGGAAAAGCAAUAUAUUGCAUUUCCGGCGCAAAAAUGCGAUGGUGAGGAAAGAGUGGGAUAAAUGCACUGGGGCUCGGACGAAAUGGUGUUGAAUCAGAAUUUGAACGAAAACAGAUCAAAGUGCUGAAAUAAGAUUUAUAUAUAACCGAAAACUUGGGGUGAAGAUUUCGCUUUUCCUGCCGGUAGAACUUCUUUUUUUUUCUUUUUUUUUUCAUCGGAAAUGGUAUGACUUCUUUAUGGCUGAGUUGUUUGGUGAAAAUUUGGCAUAAUCUAUAUAUUUGGUGUCUUUUCUUGUACAUAUCAAUAAGGACAAGAUGUGGUCUUUUGAUAUCUUUGGAAACCGCUUCUUCAUGCUUCCACUGAAGUUUCACUUUGGAUUAAGGGAGCUCCAAUCUCCCGAAGGAUGAUAUAUUUGUAGUUAAAGCAAUCAUUUUUCCUAUUUUGUGUGCUAUGAUGUGAUUUGGUGCUUUUUUGUCUUUCAUGAGUACCUGAAUUACACCUCAAUGACAGCUUGUAAAAGUUCUCUACCAAAUCAGUGGACUAUGUAAUAUGUAUAUAUAUUGCUAUCAUUAUGUGUUCCUUUGUUUAAUCUCAUUUUGUUGGUUAUGUUCAGUAAGAUCCGUACUAAAGUUUUACUAUUGUUGCUCAGUAUUGACAACAUCUAUAGCUCAUCAUGCCAGGUGGGACAACCUUACAUCGAAAUGUUCUAUGGCAAAUGUCGAAGUUGAUUUCAACCAUGUAGAAACUAAAGAUGAGGCUGCGGAUGAACUUUCAUCUCUUUCAUCUGGUUGCUCUAUUCCUGUUGUUCAUCUCUCAGCUGAUGUUCUUGAUUCAGGCUCUCUAAAUCUACUAACAGAGGAGACUUGCCAGAGUUCCAUCUUUACCGAAUUGCCGGUAUCUGUUCAAAGUUUACUUGCUUUUGUAUUUUUUUUUCUUUUUUUAUCCAGAAUAUAGUUAUUGUUUCUUUUUAUCUUAUUUCAUCUCUUCAGUUUUGUAUGCUACCAUAAUCGUUAUAUAUCCAAUAUUGUGCUGUGCAGGUUCUAUCUGAAGGUGAACAAGAUACUCUUGCAGCAACUCCAGUUCACCCUGCAGGACUCCAUGGUAGUAAAUAUUCCCAAUUCAAGAUGACAUUAGUUUGUUUGUUUUAUUUUUGCCAUUUUAUAGUACUGUUUCUUAUUUACAAAAGAAAAGAUUAGGAACUAUCAUAGUAUAUGAAGUAUAUGAAUAAUUAAAUUUGGAGAUUUAGUGUCUUUUAGUCUUCUAAAUAAACAAGACCUUUCAUUGUAGAUUAAUUUUGUUGAGUCCCAAUAUAAACUUUUGGCUUGCUAUUAAGUACCAGUGUUAGUUUAUUUAAGUGUUGUAGAAGUCACGACCACUACUCUUCAUCGUUGAUUCAGAUGAUUAUAAACUUUAUCAUCAUGUUAAUUGAGCAUGCAUUGCAUGUAAACCAGAAAUUUUUUUUUUCUUUAGUUGGUAUGGGAUUCUUCCUAGUCUGAAAUCUGAGCCUUUGUUGUCCUUGAUUUAGCAACAAUAUGUUUGCAAAGAUUUCUAGGUUGGUGAAGGCAUUAUCUAUGAGAAAGGAGAGCUAAAGUGAGCAUGUUUAGGCUCACGCAUUUCUCACAGUUGUUCAGUUUAAUUCUAACUGUAGGAUGUGUAACAUUAAUAUCACUGGAUAGGCUUAGCAUGUAAAAUUAUUUAUUCUCUAUUUACAUUUAUCAAGAUCAUUGUAACAUCAUUAAAGAUUUUUGCAGCUUUGUAUGCUAGCUAUGUAUUUGGGAAUUUGGUGGAGCAACUUUGGAACUUUGCUUGGCCUGCUGCUCUUGCAAUUCUUCAUCCAAGUCUGUUGCCUGUGGCUGUUGUUGGUUUCUUUACAAAGGUAUAGAUGCUAUAUUACAAUAUUUAUUAAACUGCCUAAAAGUGAAGGGAAAUUCCUAAUCCAUUUUAAUGACAUUGGCAGCUUUCGAUCUUCAUUGGGGCCCCAAUUGUUGGUAGACUUAUGGAUCAUUUCCCUAGACUCCCAACCUAUCAAAGUUUGAAUGCUAUUCAGGUGUGCAUAUGCCUUGUUGAUAUCUUCUAUCUUAUGCUUUAUGGUUGGGGAAAUAUGGAUUAUACCUAGAGAUUGUUGCUUGCGUUUACUACAAAUUUAUUUCUUGGAGUUUGACCCAGAUUUCGGUUACAUUCUCAGGUUUCAACUUUUAACUUCCUAGUCCUUGAAGUUUGUUCAAUGUAACAACUACUAAGUUCCGUUGUUAUUUUGUAGUCGAAGAACCAAAAAAAAAAAAAUUUGCCAACGUAGUUUACUAACAAUUUACUGUUGCUAACUCAAAGAAAGUUGCCACACUGACAGACUCUGAUGAUGGCGCUAAUUUGGCAUCUUUUCUCAAACAGUAGGCUACAAAGAAAGUUGCCACACUGGCAGACUCUGAUGAUUUGCGCUAAUUUGGCAUCUUUUCUCAAAGAGUAGACUACAGAAGAACUAAUUGUCAUGUGAAGAAACUUUAAGGACUAAGGUGUUAAAAUUGAGACUCUGAAGAUGUAUAUGCUGUCAAACUUUGAGAUUUCUAAAUUUAUAAUUUACUCCAUUCAUUUCUGACGACUUAAUCUUAUAUAACUUCAUCUGUCAGGCAACUACUCAAUUGUUGUCAGCUGCGAUGAUUAUAUAUGCUCUCAAGAAUGUAAAACACAUAUCUACGUCAGCUGUUCUUCUCCAACCUUGGUUUAUUGUAUUGGUCGUAGCUGGGGCAAUUGAAAGACUAUGUGGUUUGGCACUGGGGGUCACUGUGGAGCGUGAUUGGAUUGUACUGGUAAUCUACACAGUUCGCUUAGUUAAUUUUGACCAUUUUAUCACCUUUGAAUUACCUAUCGCCCUUAUACAAUGUUUUGUGCUUCUUUGUGAAGUUAGCAGGAGCAGAUAGGCCAGUUGCACUAGCUCAAGCUAAUGCUGUGCUUAACAGAGUUGAUCUUCUUUGUGAGGUGAAAACACUAUGCUGCUUAUGAUUAGUAUAAGUGAUAGGAAAUUCACAUGACAGGUCCCUGACUUUUAAAGCAAUUUCAAGCAAAUCCGUUAGUUUUGUCUACUUUCAGUGGAAUCUAACUCUUGUAAACGUCAUAUUUGCAUUCCUUUUAUCCCUACGAUUGAUGCCCCUGACACUCUACACCCAGCAUUUACCAACUUUAAAGACAAAAACUUAGAAUACUGAGACUAAUGAUUAGACAUAAAAGCUUAGAACCAGAUUUUAUAUGGAAAGAUGAAUAGUUAGGGAUUUCUAUAAAAUUGUCUAAAGAAGAUAGGGACUUGCACGUAAAUAAGAUUUAAGUAAUACUUUUCAGUUUGAUAAUCUGGAGAUGCCUGCCUAUUUGAUGCGAAAGUAGAUGUUUAUAUAUAUCCCCAGGUAGCUGGUGCUUCAGUUUUUGGCUUUCUAUUAUCCAAGUUCGACCCUGUGACCUGCUUAAAGAUGGCUUGUGGUUUAAUGAUAUGCACCCUUCCUAUUCUGGUACGCCAAUUUUUCCCUUUCUGCUCAACUCUAUGUUACUAACUUUUCAUUCUUCAGCCCAUAAUUAACAUAUUUGGUCUUUCCAGCUUAUACUAGGUCAGAUUAUAAAUAUUCUUUCUAGUCGUGCUCUUGAUCGCUAUAGAGUUCCUUGUGAUAAAUCUGCUGCAGCUGAUAUUCUUCUCGAUGCCAGGAAAAUAGGUGCGGAUACUAAUUCUUUGGAACACCUCUCCCUCUCUCUCUCCUUGCUUCGAAUUGGGACCUAUUAGGGUUAGGGUUAGGGUUUGGCGCAGGGUUUCGCACUUGCCGAGUCCUUUUUUUNAAUGCAAAGACCUUACCAAAUAUUCCAUCAAGCAAUGGAGUAUUCCAUUAGGUUACCAAACAAUCCAUCAAUAAGUUUAUAAAUACCAUUAAUGACUAUGAGAAAGUUAAAUAAAGUAUUUGGCAAGGUUGAGUAGUAAAAUCAACAUGUCAAAAGUUGAAGUAGCCAUUUCAAAAUGUGCUAUGGUCUGUUACAGAUUUACCAUAUAUCUCUUACUAUUUUUUAUUUUUCUCCUUACGUAGUAUAUGCCUAACGUUCUUGUUAUUUCCAGUUGAAAAUGGAUUAGAGACCAUUAAGCAUGGGUGGAAGGAGUACAAACAUCAGCCUGUUCUUCCUGCGAGUGUGGCAACUGUGCUCCUAUAUUUUAAUGUAGCACUUGCCCCAGGUGCCAUUAUGACUGCACUUCUGAUGCAUCAUGGUAAGUGUAAGUGUGUAACGUAUUUGCAGUUUUGCCCUUAUGAUAGUGGGAUUUAGUUAGACAUGAUUUAGUUUCCCUUCAUGGUUUUGGAGUAAAAUUGUAGAUCUCAAAGAACAAGAUGAUGGUUGAGGACUAGGUUUUAUCUAUUAAAUCAGCGCUAUUUCUUCUUGUCAUUAUCUCUUUUCUGCUCAGCUCUCUAUUUUCUUUAUUACAGUGAAGCCUAUUUUCUUUGUUCUGCUCGGAUCCUCUUCAUUAUGAGGGACAAAGCUCUAUGCUUAUAUAGUGCUUCCUGCUUAGUCCUCAAUAUUUGUAUCUAAUACAGAAUUUAGUGCUCGUGAUAUUUGAACAGGCAUAAGUCCUUCUAUUAUUGGUUGUUUUAGUGGAUUAUGUUCUCUCAUGGGCUUCACUGCAACAUUCAUUUCUUCGAGUCUGGUAAAAAGGCUUGGAAUUCUAAAGGUUGGGUUCUCACUCUUACAGUUUUUCCAAUUUCUUUCAUAAUUUCCUCCAAAAUCUGAACUGAAAAUUGCUAUAAUUUAUGACAGGCAGGAGCAGCUGGAUUGAUAUUUCAGGCCUUACUUCUAACUGUAGCUGUUGCUGCGUAUUGGACAGGUUCCAUAUCACAGAAAAUACCGCUAAUGAUCUUUCUCUCUUCUAUUGUAAGCACUAUUCGUUUUCCCUUUCUAAUACAUAAUUUGCUCUUAGAUAUAGACUAAAAUAUGGAAAACCUUCCACAAAUUGCAUAAUUUUCACAUUGCCUCCUUGAAAUGUUAAAAUCUACAUUUUACCCCAUUGACCUAUUUAAGCAUUAUUGUUAUAUCUUUUGUCUAAGGAACACUGGUGAAAGGCGGCUAACUGGCAAAAGAUUUUAUGGGUAUAUGUAGGUUUAUAAAUUAUAAUGUUAAAGUUUGGCGACAUAAAAAUGAUGAUAUUUGUACGUGUCAAUGUAAAUGCAGAGCAUAAUCCCAUGUAUAAUAUACAGGUACUAUCUAGGUUGGGCCACAUGUCCUAUGAUGUUGUGGGGACUCAGAUACUUCAAACGGGUAUACCCAUCUCGAAAGCAAAUCUGAUAGGGACAACAGAGGUGUCGAUUGCCAGCCUGGCGGAAUUUCUAAUGCUUGGGGUGGCGAUCAUUGCGAAUGAUGUCUCGCACUUUGGUUUCCUCGCUCUGCUCUCUGUGUCUUCGGUUGCGGGUGCCUCGUGGAUGUUCUGCCGGUGGUUGGCGAAUCCGACCGAAGAGCAGAGGAAGCUUUUUGUGUUUGAUUGGCAGUUUGAGGCCAUGUAAGUGCUAUUUUUCUUUGUUUGUGAUCUUUGCUCAUUGAAUGGCACAUCUGGUUUCCACAUAAAUUCUGCAGACACAACUUCGUUUAUUCAGAGUUUUCCUGUUUUUCUUGGAAAAUAGAGCAUAAAGUCAGUUUGCGGCUCAACUAUUAUAGGAAUAACUGCAAGGAAUGCAAUGAUAGUGUUAUAACAAAUCGGCAUCAAAUUCUGUAUUGUGAUCUUGUAAUUUUAUAUGCUUGGAAGUGAAACCUAACACUUGUUUUACCCUCAUCAAAUUAUUAGUACAACAUUGGCAUUUUUGCUGCUAAUGCAGUUGAAUCCAAAGGUAUUUAUACAAAAUGUGGAUACCUGAUAAUGUAAACCGAGCCAUUACUUAUUAAUUCUAUAUAAAGAUUCAUAACAGUUCUGAAGCCCUUAUGUUCCAUUUAAGAACAAGGGUUAAUUGCAUAUAGGUCCCUGCAAAUAUAGUGAAUUACAAAUAUAUUUCUACAAAGUUCAACUUUCAUUUGUUGUCCCUACAAAAGUUCUAAUGUUUUCAAAUAUGUCCCUUUGGUUUGUUACUGUUAAAGUACUGUCUAUUUUAUAAGUGAAAUGACUUUUUUGCCAUCACAAAUAUGUCCCUCCAAAGUCCCAACUGUUAAUUGAAGAGGGGUAAAAAAAUCAAUUCACCUCAUUAACUAACUAGAGUUAACUAUUUAACCUAUGGUUAACUAAAAUUUUCUAACGGAUUCUAACGGCAGGAACAUAUUUGAAAAUAUCAGGGUUUCUGUAGGGACAAUAUAUGAAAGUUGAAUUUUGUAGGGAUAUAUUUGCAAUUCACUAUGUUUGCAGGGAUAUGUAUGAAAUUAACCCUUAGAACAACUAUAACUUCAAGUGCUUAAUUGCAAACCACUGAAGAAGUUUACAAUAUACAUCAGUGGCACAUUUUCCAAUAGUCUUUAAAUUCUGUUCUAUGCUCAAUUGAGAUUUUACAAAUGACUAGCAUUUCUGUCUAUUGAACUUCUACAAAUAGAUGCUUGCUUAGUUCAUUUCCUUGUCUUUUCAACAUGUGCAGUGAUUAGCAGCAACCGUUGAAAACAUUUCCAAAUACCCUCUCGCCACUGCGGCAUGUUACUCCAGACACCGCUUCGGCAUUUAGUCGGUCAGUAUAAACAACAUCAUAUAGUUCUUCAAGCUGCUUUGGUAUUUUAUCAUUGCAGAGGAAAGAAAAAAAAACAUAGAAGAAAUGUCAACAUACACAGCUUGUGAUCAAGGGAUGUGUAGGAUAAAUUCGUUUUAUUGCCUAAUUUCUGUUUUUUUUUUUAUUUUUUAAAAGUAGACCCAACACAGUUACACAGGAUAAUACAUGUCGUUUAUUUUACAGUGUCAUCAUAGAUCGCUUUCAAUUGAAUUGUAUUAUACAAAAGGUAGCACAUAAGAUUGUAGCAUUCUUUGGUAAUGCUUUGUCCUUGCAUUUUUGGAAUGAAUACACUAUUGUUUGAACCAAAUGUUUCAUGUGGUUGCUUAUGAAGAACACCUAUCAUGUUGUGGGGACACAUUGAGUUCCUUGCAAGAAAUAGAUGUAAUCUCUUUCUAAAUGUCGGUGACACACUUUUGAUACAUGUGCGCGCGUGUAUGUUUGCGCGUGUGCGUACGCACGUGCACGCGCACACGUACGUGUGCAUGUGCAUGUCUGCGCUUGCGAGUAAAAUGCAGAACACGUUCAAGGUGUCCCAAUAAUUAUGAAUUCAAUCUGAUCGAAACAAGUAUGUCAACACCUUCAACAGUAUGUUUAGUUGAUUAAACUCAUCAAUUAGGUCUAAGCUUGAAAACAAUUAUUUAGGCUCAUAUGCUGUAGCUUGGCUCAUAUUCAGUAUUUUUCGUGCUGAUAAUAGAAUAAAGAACCCAAGCUUUAUUAAAUCUAAGCAACAUAAACAAUCUUCUAUAAAACAUUAUUUAUUAUAAAUUGGCUUAGUAGAGUGGUUAGUUCAAAAGUUUAGCAUCUCUACAAUCAAGUAUAGAUAUUAUCCAUUAGAGUGAACAGAAAUAAAGAUUAUGUUUAAUUAAUUGUAAUUAGCUAAAAUAUUAAUGCAGUGAGAUUAGGUGCUGUGGUGUAGUCAGUUAAUUUGUAUGUAAAAAGGAUAUAGGUUUAAUAUAUAUCAAUGUGUAAUGGCCUUGAUGAAAUGAAUUAGAUGAGGCUGGAAGGGGAAAAAGCUCUUGUACUUAAAUUAUACGACAAUUUGAGAUCGCGACCUGAGCUUAUGUUUUUACUGUACAUAAGCUGAGCUUAUGUUUUUACUGUACAUAACCUCCGUAGGAGGUGGUUUUCGCCGUUAAAUCGUAGUAUUCAGGUAACUUGUGUUGAUUUCAAAGUUUAGAUGGUGAAGUGAAACUGAGCUAAAUUUCGGUGGAUCUCAAACAUUUGUCUCAUGGUUAGUUCCGAGUCCUUGGUAGCAUGAUAUCAUCCAAUGUGGUUUGUUGUGAUAUCAAACUGUAACAGAUCCAAGUUUUGAUUGGGAACAAAAAUAUAGGGCACUCAUUGCUAUAAUGAGGCUCCAUAUGCUGAGUGGAGACCAAGUACUUGCUUUUUGUACUUUUUAUCUUAUGCUUGAUCUCAUUUAACCUAUAACUCUUGUUUUUAGUGCCUUUCCAAGGAGAACUUCUGAAUGUGUAUUAUUUGAACAGAGCUAUUCAAAAUGCUAAUAAUUUUUCGCAUAUUUUUAAAUAACUACUUACUUUACAGAAGUAGAAGUAUUAAAUUGAAACUGUUACCUUUCAAUUCAAAAACUUGUUUUAGCUUUUCGCCGCUUAAAGAGACGUAAAAAUUUUGUUUCCAAAUGUUUGUUGCUGAAGCUUUUAUAGUAGAGAAACUAUUUCAAAAGUCAGGUAGAAGAGGCACUGGUGCUGCAUAGUCGUAAUCUUAGUGCUUAGAACUUGUUAAGUGUGAUGAAGAAGCACUAAUUACUUUCUCUGAGCUCUUUAAUACACUCUCAAUUAUGUUUUUUGACACUAAUCUUAAAAACACUGUGCAUAAGGAGCCCCUAACAAUCAGAGAACUGGGCAUCUUUAGAGUAACUUUUCGAGAUUUCUUUCCUUCUUUCCACUAUUUUCCCCAAUUGUUAGAUUCUUUUCAACAAAUUCAGACAAUACACAUUCUAUUAUGAGAAAUCUUAGAUGUUUCUCCUUCUUCUAGCAUUUCUUUUUUCUGAUAACAAGCACUUUUUAAGUUGAUUGAGGUUCUCUAUCUUAAGUAAGAAGUACUUGAAACAAGAACUCUAAUUAUGUUCAUCAAAAAGAUUGAUUUGAUAGGAAAUGGCUAAGGAAUAGUCUCAAUAUCUCUGCUCGUAUGCUUGAUAGAAAAUUACAGGGAAACUAUAUAUGCUGCAUGCAUUGAUAGAAGAGAUAAUUGAAAGGAAAAAAAAUUUUGAUAUUUAACCCAUGGCCUUUUGGAAAGGAGGGGAGAUUAAUUAGGACCCACUCUACUAUCAUACUACAAAAAAAUACUAAUCUAAUAGAAAAUGAACUAAAAAUAGUCUCAACAAAUCUGAGUAUUAUAUAUUCCAUCUGUCUUGGUAUAACACUGUAAAUGAGUUGAAAUAUUAUCAGCAGUUGGGAAAUAUUUCUCCUAUGAUAAGGAAUAGCCAUCUAUGUAGUUCAUAAUGGGAAACAGUAAUUUGUGUCUAAAAGCUUAAGUUCGACUUGAAUUAAAUGAGAUGAAAUUAGUGAAAGGGACCUGGUAGGAUUCAAACGCAAACAACACAUUAUGUUUUGGUAUUAUGUAAAAUAAUAUGAAAAAAUAUUCUGUCACUAAAAGCUUGCCUGCUGAAGAGUAGUAAACUUAUAUUUGACAUGUAUUUCUAUUUUAUUUGGAGUGAUGUGGGAGUAUCCAACACUAUCCUCAACCUUACUCCCCCACCAAACACUGAAGAUGAAUGGGAGCAAUAGUUGUCAUUCAAAAGAUUGAUUUCAUUGAAAAUUUUGGGUGCAUGGGGCUAUAGAUUAGAUGUUGAAUAUGUCCAAACUGGUUGACAGGUGGUGACUUAGGCAGCAAUAAUGUUACAAGCAGCUUAAAAUGUAUUCUAAAAAUACUAUCAAUGAGUCAGCUUUGAAAAUUGCAGUUUAGCUUCUCAUACUAAAUGACACUCAUAAUAUUGAAAAUCUGUCUCAUCAUCAAACAAUUGGAGUUUGGGGUAUAUUUUGAUGCAGCAUUAUUCACAAAACAAUAGUCAUAAAUUUCUGAAAACACUAGUACAACUACUGUGGAAAGUACCACAGCAUAUAGAAUCAACAUGAUCACCACUCAUUGCUCUGAGGAAUUUAAUGAGGCCUUAUGUGCUUUUUUUUUUUUUUUUUUCUUUCUUUUUUAUAUCUUUUUGCCCUACUCUUAUAGGACAUCUGACCUAUCUAGAUGAUCCAAGAAUUCAUCUGCCAAAUUGGUGUUUUUAUGAGAAAAAGUCUGGAAUGUGAGAGCAACAUUAUGUUAUCGUGUCCCCAACUAAUCAAAUUGUGUUCAUAAGAAAAAGUCUGGAAUGUGUGAGCAGCAACUAAUUAAAUUGUGUUCAUGAAAAAAAGUCUGGAAUGUGUGAGGAGCACCAUGUUAUCAUGUCCCCAACUAAUCAAAUUGUGUUCCUAUAACUCACUGAUCUUAUCAUAUUUUCUUUAAAAGAUUUAUUAUACUUUUUUUUCUCAGAAGAAAAAAUUUAAUUAGUCUAAUAUGAUGCAACUGCUACAUAAAAGAUCACUUUUUUUUUUAUGAAACGCAUACGAAGAAAUUCUUUUGUUGGUGGUGAAGCUCCAAGAGCUCUAUUAAAUCUUCUCUAAUAAAGUGUCAUUUUUUUUUUGGCAAAAACCUCUUUAUUAAUCUUUGAUAAGUUUUACUUUUGGUUCUCAAACUAUAAGGCACGUGAUACUUUGGUCUUCAAAUUUUAAUUUAUUGUAAUUUUUGGCACUAACUUUUGAAUCGUUGCAAGUAAAUUUCACAACCCAAUUUAAUUGGCUUAGUAUUGAAAAAUUAUUAGUAUAGAAGUAAUGUAAAAGUAUUAUGAUUGAUGAUGCGGCAAUAAUUAAAAAUGUUAUAUCACUUUUAUAUUAAUGAUUUAUCAUAUUUAGUUAGCUAAAUUAGGUUAUGAAAUUUAAUAGCAAUAAUUCAAAAGUUCAAGCCAAAAUAAAGUAGAGUUGAGGACCUAAAUAUCAUGAGCUUCUUAUAUAGUUUGAGGACCAAAACUGUAAUUUAUCCUCAAAUAUUUCAUACAAAAUCACUCCAUCAAAAGGAAUGUGUGUAGUUCCUUUUUCACUUUAUUUUUAAAAAUCAAGCAUAGGCUGUCAUUUUGCACUCUAUUCACACCUACAGUGUGAUUCGAAUAAAAAAAACCAAGGUUUUAAGUGUUCGUCGGUACGAGACUUAUCCAUUGUGCCGAAUCGUGCCAAUAAUAUAUCGGCACGAUACAGAUCCCGUGCUGAUGACACAGCUCAAAACCCUUUAUUUUUUAGAGUAGUAAGUAAUUUUCUCAAUAAAAUUUAAAAGAUGUGAUAAAAAAACAUAAUAAAUAGUUAGAAUAUUUUGUUGCUAAAGAAAAUAAAUAUUUCAUAUUAUGAUGUGUCGGCACACAAGAAUUUUUUGAUCGGCAUGUAUCGGCACGUCUCGGCACGCACUGUGCCGUACCGUACCGGCAAGUUUCCGACACGAUCCCGUGCUACGGCACUUAAAUCCUUAAAAAAAAAACCCUUCCAACCAAUCGAACUAGCAAUUGGUGGCGAAAUUUGCACAGAUGAACAAUGCAAACAUUAUUCGUAUCCUUCUUACUUUUUAUUUUUGGCGAAUGAACGCUUCAAUUUGUCUAAAUAAAUUUGAAUAACUAAAUAUAGAAUCUCCAAUCCGAAUACCAUGUAAACAACUAUUUUUUUUUUACUCUUACAGUUCACUCUCAUGGCGAAUUGUGUUCUAAUCAUUUAUACUCAAACAAUUAAAGUAGAUGAGUAAUCUCUAUUAGGGAAAAAGUAAACAAUAAAAACAGUUGAAAAGUGAAAGAACCUACAUUAGAAAGCCCUAGAAUUUCUUUUAAAAAAAAUAUAUAUAUAUACAGAAGUAACAGAACUUACUCAAGCUCGAACUAAAACUAUGGGCCAUUUCGAAUUAGCCAUCUAAGCUAUUAAAAUUUUAAUUUGUUUGAUUUAAGUUAAUUAACAAUACUUUGAUUCAAAAUUUAAGAUAAUUAUUUUUUUAAUAAAUUUAUAAUUGUGAGAACUAUACGAAGUAUACUAACAAAAUUUAUAAACAACGCAUUCAAAUUUUAAAAUCAAAAUACUUAUGACUGAUCACACAAAUCAAUAAAUUUAAAAAUUAAAUAGUAAAAUUAAAUUUUAAAAAAUUAAAUAGCUAAAUCAAAAUAAUCCAUUAUAAUUCAAAUAAGGUUUGUAUGGUUCAACCUUCAAAAGAGAAAAAAAAAAAAAAAAGCCUAUAAGUGGAGCAUUUCUUGUACCAUCAACUCAAAUGGGUAAUCAAAACUAGUACGUAGCUAGUACUUACCAUCAACUCAAGAGAUACACAAGAGAUAUGCUACAUAAAAAUAUGUGUUUAAUAUCUCUUUUCUUUGUUAUUUCCUCAAUCCAUGCUAGGGCCAAAAAGAGAGACACAAUAUAUGUAACGAUCCGACCCGCUAGCAAUAAUAAUUCGUUGGGUCUAAAUCACUGGUUCAAAAUGCUUAAGCCGGGUUAUUAUUACUAGCGUGUAGCCCUCAUAUAAACUGAUCGAAAUUAGUAUCCCAUUCAAUGUGGGAUUAUUGGGGCGUUACAAACUCCCUCCGUUUAAACCCUGACGUUCUCGUUAGGUGCAAACCAAAUCACAGACAGACAGAGUAGGACCAGAUUACCAGGCGAUGUGAGAUUCUAGAGGUGGCUCCUACCGGUUCAAGAAGUCGCUCCCCCAAACCCGUUGGUAUAGCAUUUUGUUCCGCAUAGCACUUAGCUCCCACACUUUCAGCUGGUAUUCGUCUCUGAUACCAAUUGUAACGACCCGACCCGCUAACAAUAAUAAUUCGUUGGGCCUAAACUAUCGGCCCAAAAUACUUAAGCCGAGUUAUUAUUACUAGCAUAUAGGCCUCACAUAAACUGAUCGGAAUCAGUAUCAGCCUAUUGGGGCGUUACAAUGUUCCCUAUAUAGGAAGAGCACUAAAUUAGGAAGGAAUUUCCCACCUUUUCCCCUCACUUUUCUCUCGUAUGUGUAGGCUCUAGCCCAUGCAACUAAAAAGGACACAACAUAGGUGAAGUGAGCAUCUAGGGCUUAAGAAGAGGAACUAAGAAGAGAGAUUCUUUCCCUGCCUUAGUAAACACAAAAAAAUUAAGAGUGUUGGCAAAUGAUUCAUUUCUCUUGUUUGGUCACUAAUUUGUUUUUGAAAAAUAUUAUAUAUGGGAAAACAUCAAAUACCCCCCUUGUGGUUUCGCUUUUUCUCAUUUUAGUACCCUAUGGUUUAAAGUGUAUCAAAUUAGUAGUCUGUGAUUUUGCACCUUUUCACUUUAGUACUAUGUGGUUUAAAGUGUAUCAAGUUAGUACCCUGUGGUUUCGCACUUUCUCACUUUAGUACCCUGUGGUUUAAAGUGUAUCAAGUUAGUACCCUGUGGUUUCGCACUUUCUCACUUUAGUACCUUGUGGUUUCGCAUUUUCGCACUUUAGUACCCGAUGGUUUAAAAACCACAGGAUACUAACAUGAUGCAGAAAUAAAACCAUAAGGUACUAACUUGAUACACUUUAAACCACAUGAUACUAAAGUGAGAAAGUGCGAAACUAUAGGGUACUAACUUGAUACACUUUAAAUCACAGGGUACUAAAAUGAAUAAGUACGAAACCACAGGGGGUUUUUUUUAAAGUUUUCCCAUUAUAUAUAUACAUAAUUACAAUUAUCAUCACUCUGUCAUUAUAGUUUAAACAUAAGUGAGACACUCACAUAUAUGCUAGUUGAAGAAUGAUUAAAACCAUAUUUCAAAAACCCAAUAAAUAAUUAAAAAUUGGAGAAACCAAUACACACACAAUCAUGUGGCAAUAAUCUUAAAUAAAGUGACUUUAGUGUGUUUACUUCCUUUAUGAUAAUUAGUGCUAUUAUUGAUAAUUACUGAUAUUGUAAAUUGGUAUCUGUAUUUUAAACUUACACUCUUUAGUUUAUAGAUUUUGAUAUAUCUAUACCUUUAUACCUAUAUACAUUAAUCUUCAUGGCUAAAUCCUAUAUGUACCCACCCCCUGAAUUUGGGGAAGAGUGAUGCCUACUUUUUUUUUUUUCUUUUUUUUCAUUUAAUUAUUGUGUUAUAGAAAUAAUUUUAUCUAUCUAUACCUCUAUGCCUAUACAUUAAUCUUUAUGGCUAAAUCCUAUAUGUACCCAACUCCUUAAUUUGAGAAAGAGUGGGGCAUACUUUUUUUUCUCAUUUGAUUAUUGUGUUAUAAAAAUAAUUUUAAUUAUCCAUCUAUAUCUAUUCCUAUAUANUUAUAGAAAUAAUUUUAUCUAUCUAUACCUCUAUGCCUAUACAUUAAUCUUUAUGGCUAAAUCCUAUAUGUACCCAACUCCUUAAUUUGAGAAAGAGUGGGGCAUACUUUUUUUUCUCAUUUGAUUAUUGUGUUAUAAAAAUAAUUUUAAUUAUCCAUCUAUAUCUAUUCCUAUAUAUUAAUCUCUAUAGCUAAAUCCUACAUGGAUGUAUCCACUCGCUUAAUUUGGAGAAGAGUGGGGCCUAACUUUUUUUUUUUCUCAUUUAAUUAUUGAGUUAUAGAAAUAAUUUUAAUCAUCCAUUUGCGUGAUAUGCAACUUUUCUCGAACAAUAUUGAAUCAUUUUGUUGAAACGAUUAAAUUCUUUUUUAUUAUAGUUUUAUUUUUUAAAAGUGUUUGUCUAUAAUAUAGACUAUAUAUAUUUACUAUUUAUUGUACUAAACUGAUAUUUUAUUCUUUAUAAAUUAUUACUUUAAUAGUAUCUACCCGCCGUAACACGCAGGUGACUACAUUAGUAUUACAAUAUAAUAUCCUUAUUUUCUCGGAUUAAACUAAAAUAAGUUAAGUGAUUUACAAAAGGGACCAAAUUGUUAUUUAGAAAAUAAUUUUUUUUAAGAAAGAAAGGCAGCAUGCUACCCACUUCAUUUAUUUUUUUAGAAAUAAAUUUAACUGAAAAUGUGAAGCAACUAGGUUUCAAACUUGGAACCUCGUUUGUACUAUUUUUUAACGACUAGGGACUUAAAGUGCAGUGUAUCCAUGCGAAGGUUCAUAUGCUAAACAUUUCAAAUAACAAGCACAAGGACCACCUUGCAAAAUAGAGAUUGGAUAGGGAAAAUCCAUAUAUUUUUGUACUAUUACAAGUAUCAUGCUCUAAGGUUCCAAUUACACACUUUUAAUUAAGUUAUAUAAUUUUUAUCGGUCGUCCCUAGAGCAAGUGGCGAAGGGCUUGGUGGUUGGUAUCCGAGACUUAAGUUUGAAUCCUAGUUGAUUCACAUUUUCAGCUGAGUUUAUUUCUAAAUGAAAUUAACGAAGCGGGUAGCGUGCACUACAACAAAAACGGUCUAUAGCGACACAUUUAAAUGUAGGUACAUGUCAAAAAAGUGCUGCUAGCUAAAAUUACCGACAUUUUUAAAAAGUGUUGCUAUAUGUGGGGUCGCUAGGUAUAUAGUGACAGUUAAAGAGUGUCGCUAUAACCUAAAAGAGUGCUGUUAAUUUACGAACACUUAUUUAAGCAUUUAGCAACCGCCGAAACUCUAUCUCGUUGGCUGCGGUGGCGGAGGAGGACGACAGUAAAGGCUUUUCGUCUAGAAUUUCAGUGGGUUGAGUGAAGAGAGAAGAAAAGUUGGUAAUUGAUUUAUCCUUUUUUUUUUCUUUUCUGUUUGUAAUCGGGCCAAAUGGACUGUGUGUGGUGGGUUUAGCAGAGCAAUCUUUUAUUUUUGGUUGGAUUGUGCUUUAUAUUUAGGCAUUAGUAGAUAUAUUUUUAAGUUUUAGCAUAAAUGGGACACUUACUCAAAAGUGUCCCAAACAUGUGUCCCUAUAACCUAAUUCUGUUGUGGUGGUGCUACCUAUCUCUCAAAAAAAAAAAAAAUUAUAUAAUUAUUAGGCUAGCUAAAAAUCUAGUAAUAGAAGUUUCAAAAUGAAGAUCUAAACCGUUGAAGGUACUUGGUAAUAUAUGAUUUUUGAAAAUCUAGUAUCUUAAAUUUUUCAACUUUGUCCUUUCUUAAAAGUUUUGAAUUAUUGAUUUUUAACAUCACUUGAUGUAUAGAAAAUCGAUUUUAAAAACUUGCGAAACUAUAAAAUUUUGCAUUUUAAACAUUCUUGAUCAUAUUUAAUGGUUUAGAUCUUAUAUUUGUGUAAAAACUUGUGUAGCGUACACAUAAUGUAAUUGGAUUCCUAGCCUUGAAAUUAAGUUUAGUAGAAAAUGAAAACUAUUGCCUUGUGUUCUAUAUAAGUGCAAGGACACCAUUCUCAUCUUAUAUGCUUGAGCAAAAAGAGCUUCAUAUAUUCAUCCCUACUCUCCCUCUUUCUCUCUCUCUCUAAUCUUUGUGAACAAAGAGGAUAAUGGAGCUCAACUAUGGUAGUAGCAUGGAGAUGAGUGUGGUUGUGAGGGAAUAUGAUGGAGAGAGGGAUUUGGAAGAGGUGGAGAAGCUUGAGAGGAACUGUGAGAUUGGGUCCAGGAGAGGCUUUUCCAUCAUCACCAACAUGAUGGGUGACCCCCUUUGUAGGGUUAGGCUUUUCCCUCUCCAUGUUAUGUUGGUAGGUGUGGGGGUAUGGCUUUAUCCAUUUAUAUAUCAUUGCUUCUUUUUUGUUGCACAUAUAUAUGUUUUUACAACCCAUCAUCUUCUUGCUCCCUAUUUCAAUGUUCUAACCAUGCAAGUAUGAGAUCCACAAGAGGUUAUAAUAUAUUGAAUGUCAUACAAUUAAUGGUGAUACUUCACUUGAUUGUUAUAUAUAUAUAUAUACAUGGUUGUUGUCUUUAUAUAAGUGAUUAAUGUGAGAAUAGUUUUUGCAGGUUGCUGAGUUUGUGGGUGUUGGGGAGAUAGUUGGAGUUGUUAGAGGUUGCAUGAAGUGUGUGGGGACUGGUCUUGGUGCAGGGAAUGUGUGGAUAGGUUGCAUCCUUGGCCUUAGGGUCUCCCCUAAGCAUAGGUUAUAGCUCUCUCUCUCUCUCUCUCUCUCUCUCUCUCUCUCUCUCUCUCUCUCUCUCUCAUAUUAUUAUCAUGUAUGAAACUAAGCAUUUCAUGCACAGAAAGGCCCAUAUGAACUCAGUAAUAUUUAAUGCAUUCAAGUUAAUUUGCUAUUACCCUAGAAGAACCAAUGCAUGAUGAUUCCACACCCUGGACAAAAAGAUGUUGUACAAAGUUUACUUAAUGUGAUGUAUGGAUACUUAUGUGCAUAUGCAUAUAAAGCUAGAUUGAUGCAUAGUUGUUGCUAGAAACAUUAAGUUUUGAGACAAAACAACUACUUGAGAGAAGAUCACAAGUAUGAUUCUACUCACUCACCAAUAUCAUUUGAUGCAGGCGGAUGGGGAUCGGAUUAAAGCUUAUGAAAUCUAUCGAAGCAUGGGCCGUACGAAAUGGCGCGGAGUACAUUCUCCUAGCGACCGACGAGAACAACGUCGCCUCGAUAAAUCUCUUCUCUCUCAAGUGCCAUUAUGUCAAGUUGAGCUCAUUGGCGAUAUUCGUACAACUGACCGACACGCACCCAAAGAUUCAUGCCCCAUCUAAUGACGUAGCGAUCGAGAAGUUAAGCAUCGAGCAAGCUAUACUACUUUACAAAGAUCGACUCGCGAAUGAGAAGUUCUUUCCUUUAGAUAUAGAUAACAUUCUCAAUGAAGAGCUAAGCCUAGGCACUUGGGUCUCAUAUUACAAAGGGGAAAGGUGGAGUGGUUUGCAUUGCAAAGGAAAGGAUGGAGAGUUCCUAAACAACACACCAAGUUCUUGGGCUGUUGUUAGCAUGUGGAAAACCUAUGACUCAUACAAGUUCCAAGUUAAAGCCACACCUCUAUUUAGGUGCAUUCAUGCUUCUCUUAAACAAAUAGGACCCAACUUUCUCCAUUGCUUGAGGAUUCCCUUGGCAUGCAAAUUGCCACUCAAGCUAUUUGGGUUCCUCUUCCUCUAUGGGCUUCAUGGUGAAGGGGAUAAUGUAAGGGAACUCUUAAACUCCUUGUGGUGUUUUGCAUUUAAUAUGGUUAGGGAUGUGAGGGAUUGCAAAGCAAUUGUGAGUGAGGUGAGCUUAAAUGACCCUUUGUAUGCUCACAUGCCUUGGGUUUCCUCCACCUCAUGCAUCAAUGAUAUUUGGUUCUUCAAAAGAGUGGGUACAAGUAAAGGAGUGAUGAAGGGUGAGGAGAAUUGGGUUGAGAUGAACCCUAGGGUGCAUUGUUUUGUUGAUCCAAGAGAUUUUUAGCUUAGCUAGGGAGGGAUCUUGUGAAUCACUCAAGUUUUGGCAAUUUGUGGGUUAAAGUUUCUUCUUGAGAAAAGCACUUUUUUUGUUAGAGGCUUUUGAUUCUUAUCAAUGCCUAUGCAUGUGCUUGUCAAAUCUUGGCCAUCAUCUAUAUAUUCAUAUGGUUCUCUUCCAUUAUGUUACUCACAAUUUUUCUACUUUUAAUUAGUUACAAGAUCUAGUAAGUCAUGUGCAAGCUUGAAGGUAUGAACAUUUUGUUCGGCAUAUCUCUUUUAACGUAAUAAUUAGAAGAUGAAAAGUAUAACUAGAUACCUACGACGACAUAUUAUAUUCAACUUUUAAGCUAUUUUCUUGGAACAUUACUUUGUAAGUGGUAUGUAUUUCUGCACAAGAAUUAUGGCCGGCUUUAAGAUCUUAUUGGGGGCUAAAAACAAACUCCAAGAUGAUUAUCAUGAAAUAAUCCUUAAAAAUGCACGAAUUAUCACUAGAUAAUAAAUCAACAUCCAAACAGACUCCAUGAGUUCGUUUGGAUGUCAGAACAAGUACUUAUUCAGUAAUAAUUUAUGUGUUAUGAAGGUUCGUUGGGCCGGGGUUAAAUUGAUGAACCUGAGCUUGGCCUGACAUUUUUCGGGGUUUCAUUCUAUUGCUCAGCACGGCAAAAUAAAAUGGUCCAGGCCCAUCUGUCGGUAUAUAACCAGAGAUGUAUGCAGUUAAAAAUACAAUUGUUAUAUCUAAACCCAUUUUAUUUGGGGGAUCUACCUCCGCUCCUCCAUUUUCUUAGUGGAUUGGGGUGAAUCCAAAAUGUAAUGAUCCAAUCCCGACCAGAACUGUCCACCACGCUCCAUUUUCUUAACGGACUGGGAUGAAUUCGGAUUGUAACGAUUCAAUCCACCAGGACUAGUAACUCAUUAGGCCAAGCCACCGGCUCAAAAUAUUUAUGUUUAAGAUGUUAUUACUUAGGUCCAUACUCUUUUAUAUUCUUAAUCAUAAUUUUUUUUCUAUCAAAUGUGGAACUAUUAGAGUGACGCACAUGAUGAAUUAUUCUUUAUUCUAAUUUUCCGUUUAUAUUUUUCUCCAUAUUUGGAGCAGAUCAGGCGGGGGCUACAUCAAUCCGGAUCCACAUUUGCAUCCAAGUAGGUGCGUCAAUGAGCCGAACACGAGCAAGCUAGGACUGGGUCGCAUCUGACUCGUUUUAUAAAUGAGUCGAACACAAGUUGACUAGUUUAAAGUAUCGAGCCAAAAAAUUCUGCUCAUGUUUGGCUCAUUUAUUAACGAAUCGAACACGAGCUGACUCACAAACAACAAGUUAAAAGGAUUAAAAAAUAUAUAUAUAUAAAGUAAAUUUAUGAGAUCUUAUCGAUUAAGCUUUAAUCUAAUAGUUGAAACUUUAUAUAUGAAUGGAUCUUUUUAUAAAUGAGUUGGACUUUAUAUUUAGAUUGGGUUAAAAAUCAAAAAAUAAAAGUUUGUAUCGUGUAUAUAUAUAAUUAUUUAUUUAUAUAUAAAUUAUAUAUCGAGCCGAAUACUAGCGAGUUGAUCCCAGCUCGUGUUCGGCUCGUUUAUUAAACAAAGUUGAAAAAUUCAGCUCGUAUUUGACUUAUUUAUUAAACGAGCUGAAAAAUUCAAAUUCAACUUAUAUUCGACUUGUACGCUAAACAAGUGAUUCAAUUUCGAGCACAUGUCGAGCCGGACCCGAGCUCGGUCGUGAAACAGCGAGCUGGAUCACCACCUCUGAUCCGUGAGAAGCAUCUUGUGGCUGUUACACCGAAGGAGUGACAUAUAUCCGUUACACCGAAGUAACCCCACUCUCUCUCUCUCUCUCUCUCUCUCUCAAUAAUGCGUAGGCCGAGUCAUCGUCACCGCCCAUCGCUAUCCCUUCGUAGCGCACGCACUCACACACACACACACACACACACACACACACACACACACACACUCUCUCUCUCUCUCUAACGUCUCUCUCUCUCUACUUUUUCUCUCUCUCUACCUUGGCUCGAGCUCUCUAAUGGCGGAGAACCUGGUGCGCGGCGGCGACCACCUCGUCCUCGUCACCGUCCUCAAGGAGGCGCUCUACGAGGAGGGCGAGAUGCAGCUCUGGGAGGCCACCGGAUCUCGUACGCAAACCCUAACCCUAACACCAACCCUAAUCCUAGCCCAAACCCUAACCUCUCUCCCUCUCUCUCUCUCUCUCUCUCUCUGUCUUAUUUCCAAGCCCUUGUUUGAUGAUCUCUUAGUUGAUUAAUGAUUCGUGUUUGAUGUGUUGUUUAACUCUUUGUAUGGUUAUGAGAUCGAGAUGGGAUUGGAUUCAAUUGGAUUGGAUUCGAUUCGCAAUUUGAUGGAGCCUGGAGGGACAUGCUUUGUACGGAGAGUAGUAUCGUGUAUGCUAUUGAUGUGUUGGUAAAUUAAUGUAGGUUUCUGAACUGCGUGUCUGAAUUAAUCAAAAUCCUCUUUAUCAUGUUUGCUAAUAAAUAAUCGGCCUAGAAAGGUAGCAUUUUGGGGGCAAAUCGAGGCAGUUCUCCGGACUACACGAAUGAACUAAUCAAAAUUGUUAAUUUCGUGUUCGUCGAUAAAUCAACGGCCUGGAAAGGUAGCAUUUUCUAAGCAAGUCGACAUAAUUGUUCGGACUACGCACAUGAAGUAAUCAAAAUCCUUAAGCCCUGGUUGAAUGCAUGAAUAUCUUGUUUGAUAUACCCCUUGAUUUAUUCAAGAAAUUUGUAUAUUUGAUAGAUAAGGAGUAUAAUCAAAUGUUUAGAAUAGAAAAUUAUCUUGGGUCUAUAAGUUAUUUUUUCAGAAUAAAAUAAUUGCUUCGUACGUGAAAUAUGUUAUCCUAUCAAAUCAUGGAUAGCAAGACCUUCGAAGAAGUAAAAAAAUUAUACUUCCUAUUUACAAUCAUACUAGAAAUUCUUAUACCGAAUAAGUUAUUCUUGAAUAACUUAUUUGGACAUCAAACAAAGGUUGCUAAAUCAUUGGGAUUUUCUUGUUGUAAGAUAUGGGGAGGGAAGGUGACUUCUUGGAAAUCGAGUUCCAGUUGGGGGGACUCAAGAGGUUUGAGUUUAGGGUGGCUGAGCUCCCGAUUCUCGAAGAAACUAAGAAAAAAGAAUCAUUUGAGAUUAAAACUUCUGUUAUUUGGCAUGAAAUGUGAUUUGAUUGAAUUGGGGUUUUUACCCCAGUGAUGUUUAGAUUCUGUUGCAAGUGAAAAACGGGGUGUUAUGUAUUGAUAACUUGAUUAUUUAGGGAAUAGAGAGCCAAAAUUAAUCAUUUGAAACUUGUAGUACUAGAAUUUGGGAGGAAGAAAAUGCUAAUAUCUUGUGCUGGUCUUGCUAUUUUCAAUGGAAUCGGCAACAGAUUUGACAUAUGCUGUAAGUUGUGAUGAGUUGAGUUUUUCACGUCAUCAGUAAUUGAAUUAAGAAAUAUUGAAGCAGCUUUCGGUGAACAUUGAAGCAGAUUUCAUUGAGCACGAUCCUUUUGAUGUCAUAAUGAUAGCGCAUUCAUAGAGUCCGGUCAUGUUAUUUUACAACUAAAUCAGAGUAGGCUAAGAGUACGAUUUCUGUUUACAUGAGUUCGAAGUUCACUUGGGUUUACAGGCAUGUGAAGAAAAUUUGCCAGAAAUCAGGGCUAAGUGUUUGAUUGAGAUCCACAUAUUUUUCAUGCAGUUCUUGUGAAAUUUUUAAAGUUCAAAUAGUGAGAUGCAAUAAUAGUAAAGUUUAGGGGGGAUCUGGGGCAUCGUUUGCCAUAUUGAAACGUAUGUAUUACUCGCUUUAACCAUAAGAGUUCGUCAUUGUACUUCCACGAGUGUUUCGGUGGAUGAUAUCCAUCACAUUGCUCAAAACUCGAUAGAGUAAAAUGUAGACUUUGAAAUCCCAGGGCAGUGUGGAAAUUUUGAUAUCGAUAAUUAAUUUCUAAAGUUCUCAUCGGAUAUCAUGAGUGAUGCUAACUCUACUUUUUUUUCACAUACUAUAGCUCUUACUUUUUUAUUAACGCCAUCAAAAGUUGCUAACAACAUGGUGUGAAACUACACCUACACCUAUACUUAACAUAUUUGAAAUUUCAACUAUCCUUUUUCCAUUUGCAUUAUGUUUGUGGCUAUGAUGUGGUAUAGCUCUUGUUGUUGUUGCUACUUGUAGUUCUCAUUCUUUCAGAGUUUGACCGUAUACUUCCAUUUUUUGGGCUCUAUUAUGCAGCAUUCAUCCCUCUCUCUGAGUUCUCUGACCCUGGUAUUGCGAAGAAGUAUGGAGUGAAGCCCGAUGCUGAAACACUGGAUAUUCUUAACACUCUAGCCAGGCAAAAGGAGGUCUCAAAAUUCGUAUAUGCUGUCUUUUUUUUUGGGUGAAAAACGUACAAAACUUGCAUGAACUAUGGACUAUUUUGAAACGGCUACCCAACCUUUCAAAUUUUUGAUUUUACUGCCCAAUCUUUUAAUUUGUUUGAUGUCAGUCAGUCAGUUGCACUUUGACUUUAAAGUUUUAAUACAUCGUUUAUUUUUUUAGAUUUAAUUAGUAUACUUUAUACAAUUUUUGCAACUAUAAAUUCAUUAAAGUAAUUAGCUUAAAUUUGAAGUCAAAAUACCGUUGACUGACUCAAAUUAAAAAAAUUGGAAGGUUGGGUAGUAAAAUCAGAAUUUUGAAAGGUUGGGUAGUUGUUUCAAAAUGGUCCAAAUAGUUCACAUAAGUUAUAUAUGUUUUUACCCUUUUUGAACUAUAUGUUUGGUUUAUUAUAUUCCUCACAUGGAUUUGACAUUUAAGGUGGUGGUGGUUAUGAAAAUCUACUGGGGAGAUGCCCGUGAAAAGAUUUGCGAAGCUAUCAAUAACAUUCCCCUGAGCUGCAUUGUUAUGGGAAGCAGAGGGCUCGGCAAGAUAAAGAGGUAAAAUUAUAACAUAUUUGCUUCUAUACAAUCUCGAAAUACUCAACUAAAUCUAACAUUAAUUUUGAGAUUCUGGGUGUUUUAUUUUUCUUUUUUCCCUUGGUGAAAACCUAAUGACGCUCCCUGAACCUUUUCUACAUUCUGAAAUGGGUGCCUAAAUAUUUUAUAAUUUUGAUUUUGCUGCCCAACUAUGUUGUAUGUUUGAUGAAAAAACUUCUUGGGUACAAUGUAAUGGUAUUUUCAUCCUUCGGUCAGAAUAUUCUGUAACCUAAUGGAGUGUUGAAUUGCUUUUGCAAUGUAAACAGUCAAGUUCUAUCUGAACUUGACGGAAUUUUCUGACACGAAGGGAAUGAAAAGGUGAAACUAAUGAAAGAUGUAGCAAAACAAAUGCUUUUCAAAGUUCUGUUACAUAUUUCAAAAUAUACCAUAUUUCGCGUGUAGUUUGUAUAUCAUUUUUUCCUUUUUAUUUUCGAUUCAUAUGUGCUCCUUCUGUGGCUGCAGGGUUUUGUUGGGCAGCGUAAGUGAUUAUGUGGUGAACAAUGCUCCAUGUCCGGUCACUGUUGUAAAGGGCACCGAUCGCGAAGCCUAACUCAUUUUCCAAGUAUCAAGCUGAGCUUUACUCGUCGACAGGGCUUUGUUUGGCGCUCCUCUUUCCGGUAAAAUAAGAAACUUUUGAGUUCUUGAAUUAUGCUAAAUGAGUGUUCUUUUUCGUAACUUAUGCUUGUAUAUUAUGCGUGUUUUGUUGUGUAGUAUUUGCUCUGCUAUGUGAGAAACAAAUGUUAUGCUAACCGGUUGUUUAUGGUUUAAAUAAAUGGGUUAUUGUCAUAUAUCUCUCUUAGGUCCAGUUUACAUGCUUCUCUGAUUGUGAUUCUCACUAUAAUUUUAUAAGGUAAAAAUGUAUAAACAUACCUCUAUUAUUAUCUUUUUUUGGAUCCGACUACUUAACCUUGAAAUUUUUGAUUUUUCUAUUAGAUUUUUAAAUUUAUUUGAUUAGAGUCCAUUAGUGACUUUUUAACUUUAAAACUUGAAUGUGCCGUUUAUUUUUAUAGAUUUAAUUAGUAUUUUUGUGAAAUUUAUACUUUUGUAAAUUUAUUAAAAUAAGCAAGUAGCUUAAAUUUUGUAUUCGAAGAAUCAUUAAAUUAUUUAAAUCAGAUUUGAGUACAAAAAUCAAGAUUUUAAUAGGUUUUGUAGUCAAAUCAAAAUAGUAUAUGGUUUAAGUAAGCUUUAUAUAUUUAAUAAUUUUUUAAUAUUAAUGGAAGAAAGAUUGAAAGCGUUUUUAAAAUGUUUAGGCCUUGUGAAGCAUAAAUAGUCUUUAGAGCAGCUCAAUCACACCGUUUGGAUGGGGGGGAUAAGGGGAGGGAUAACCCUUACCCCCUUUUUAUAUCUAAACGCAAUUUUUUUAUCCGAAAAUGGUAGUUUUCGAGUAUCUGAAAUAAGCUGGUAUAACUAUUUUCACCAACACCUUUAUUUUCUAUAUAAAACUAUCCGUUAUUUUUUUUAUUUCAUAUUAUCUAUCCAUACGCUAUUUUUUUUAUCCCUGAAAACAAUUCAAUUUUCAUCCAAACACUAUUUUUUUUAUCCUCAUACUUGUGUCUAUUCCUGUAAUAGCUAAUUCUUAUUUAUACCCGAAUCAAACACUACCAUUAAAUGAGAAUAGUGAAGCUCUGAUAUUUUGCUAUUUAUAUUUGUGAUUGUUGUUGUGCAUCAGGAAGGAACCUCAAGGCUAUAUAAAUGCUUUUUUUUUUUUUUUUUUUUUUUUUUUUUUUUUUUUUUUNUAUCUUCUUAAUUUCAAAAGAUGGAAACUUUUAAAAGUUGAAUACCAGGCUGGCAUAUAUUAUGAUGCUUUUAUUACGAGAGAAAGUGAAAAUAAACUUCCGUGCUCCAAAAGUAGAAGCAACAACUUAAAAAGUUUCUCGAGGGUUUGUGAUUGAUAUUGUGCAUAAGGAAGAAACUUCAAGGUUUGUUUUGAAAAUAGCUUCUUUAUUUCAAAAGAUGGAAACUUUUAGAGGCUGAAUACUAGGCUCACAUAUAGUCUGCCAAAAUAAACUUUUGAACUCUAAAAGCAGAAGCUACAAUUGAAAGUUUUUUCUGCGGUUUCAGCAGCUAGAAAAUAUAGUCGAGAUUUUUAUAGAAAAGCUAGGAGUAGGGAUGUCGAUGGGUAUGGAUACCCGAAAUUUUAUCCGAAUCCGAACCCGAAUGAAACGGAUAUAUCCGAUGGAUAUGGAUAUGGAUUCGGAUAUAGAUAUCAAAAAUAGAAACCCGACGGAUAUGAAUUCAGAUAUGGAUUUUGAUUGUACCCGACGCGAACCCGAACCCGAACCCGACCCGAACCCGAAUUUAUUUUGUAUUAUAUAUAAUAUAUAUAUAAAUAUUUGAUGUUAUAUUUGAAUUUGUAUUUUAAAAAUUUAGAUUUAAUAUAAUAUAUUUUGAAAUAUUGAAAAAAAAAAUAAUUGUUUUGGGUUCAAAUUUUCGGGUUCGGGUUCGGGUUCGGGUUUUGGAUUUUUUGUCGGGUUCGGGUUUGGAUAUGGAUUUUUAAAAUCCGUCGGGUUCGGGUCUCGGGUUUGGAGUCGGGUUUGGGUUCGGGUUUUUAAAAAUCCGCCUCGAAUCCGAUCCGUUGACAUCUCUAGCUAGGAGUGAUCAAUACAUUAGUUUUUUUUUCUUUCCUGCUUUCUUUGUAAAUCUCAGGGAAUCUCAUUCUCCUUCUAAAACCCUAAUUUUUUGCAUGUGCUGUCUGCUUGUUACUAUGUUCAACAAUAUAUAAAAACAACAUUCCGCAGAACAUGUUUUAACAUUCCCGAGGACAUGUACCGGGUCUCUCCGAUCAUCGCCCUAAUAUAUUGUUGAUGAAUUGACAUUCAUUGUGGAAAAUUAUGAUUUGUUUUAUACGCACGAUUUUGAAAUACCACAUAUACUUGCCAACACAUUAAUAUAAGUAUAGAAGUAUAAUACUCUUCGGGGGGAUCAAGCGCAUUUCUCUUCUCGCAAACAUGUAGCGUGUUAGAUAUACUCUUAUGCACAAAAAUAAAAUUAUUUAAUUAGGAAUGUGUAUCAUAAUAACUUUAUAUGCAAGAAUUUUCUGACCACCUAAUCAAUGAUCAUCACUUGAUACUAAUGUAUGGGCCCCACAUAAGUGGGCCCAAGGCGGGAAAAACAAAACUCUCUAGGGCCUUGUUGUCAACCUCCCCGUCAUCAUCUUCUUCUUUGUGAGCCUUUUUUUUUUUUUAUUUCUAUGAAAAAUGGCCAAUUUACAUAAAAAAUCCACUUAUUUUGGGCUUUUGCAGAAUCGGGCCACCUUUUUCGUUUUUGCAGAUUCGGUCCGUUUUUUCAACAAACUGACCAAAAUACCCUUAUUACUUUUUCUCUUUCCUCUUUCUCUCUCCUCUUCGUUUUCUCGUUUUUUUUUUUUUUUCUUCGCCACACCAUGUCCGACUGGGUCGCCCGCUCCAUCCACCUCCGCCUCCUCCAUCCUCUCCACCGCCGUCGACCGCGCUCCGCCGUCGACUCCAGACUGCUGCUCCGCAAAUUAAUUAAAUAUUAUAAUAAUUUCUAUUAAUAUUAUCUCCAUCUCCAUCUCCAUCUCCAUCUCCAUUCCAUUUCCACAGCCCCCAAAACUUCGAUCGUCAGAGUCCGUGGGUGACUAAAGUCCUCUCCAACCCUGUAGCCCCCCGUCGCCGACCCGGACUCGACGCUCCUCUCCCCCCUCCUCAUCUAUCGCGCGCCGAUACGCGCGCAUCUCCGGUACGAAUGACUCCAGGUCUUCUUCCGCGCUGGCAGCGCGGCACCGUCCGCCCCAUCAGAGGAGUGGUUGCCGCUCAGGAGAGGCUCCCUGCGUCCCGCGCCUCGUCGCCUAGCUUCCCCGUCGCCGCGGGGAUCAUCGGAGGUUCCCCGGCGAGCCCAUGGUCGAGGUGCUCGCUCGCGCGGGAUCUGGUUCGUCGGAGGCGUGAGCGAUUGCCGCCUGGACGACGUUGACCAGCGCACCGCGAGAAGCGGCGCUAGCUCCGGCUAGAGGCCUCGGCCGGUGCGCCGCGGCGGAGCUCCACCUGCGGAGUCCGCUGAUAUCGUAAUGGUGUAAUGGUGCACGCGGGCCGUGCACAGCAGCGAGGCGGGCGGGCCACUGCUGGGGGCGCUUGCGGCUGUUUCUUCUUCGUCGUAAUGGAUGUAAUGGUUUGCCACCAUUACGACCAUUAAUGUGUAGUAAUGGGGUAUUACACCAUUAAGGGUGUGAACAUUACACGUUAAUUGUGUAAUUUCACCAUACACCAUUAAUGGUAACCAUUCACCGUUAAUGGUGUAAUUUUACCAUUACACCAUUAAUGGUGUAAUGGUGCUGCACCAUUUACACCAUUAAUGGUGAAAUCACACCAUUACACCAUUAAUGUGGUAAUGGUUGAAUAACACCAUUAACGGUGCACAACGGCCCACGGAGCGGAGCCUUGGGUGGACUCCGACAGGGGCAGCGCCGAGGCCUCUCGAAGCGGCAGCAGGCGUGGCGUGUGCGCUCGCGACAGAACGAAUCGAAGAGGAAAGAGAUAGAGAGCGAAGAAUACGGAAGAGGAUGUCAUUGUGCGGAGAGAAUGCAGCGACAGAAAUGAGGGUUGGAUGAGCAGCGGGCGACCUCCUCUCCCCCUUCUCAUGGAAGCGGGAACGAGCUCGAGCUUCGCCUUGGAUGACGGCGGAGAGUAGUGGAUCGACUGGGCGACGCUGCUGGCAACGGGUCUCCAUGCCGAACUGGAGCCGCUUCUGAAACUGGCCAGACGAACUUAGGUGAAGAUGAAUGCGGCAUGGCAAGGUGUGCCUCAGAUUGGGCGAGCGAAAAGGCGACGGCGAAGGCGUCGUCGGGCAAGCCGGGGGGAGAGCAUCUCGGGAUCUUGUCGAACGGAGGCCACGAUGUUGUCGAAGGUGAGGCGGAAGCAGCAAUCCUGGAGGUCGACUAAGGGUGAGCGGCACGGAUCGGCGGCAUGGAGAGGAUGGGGAGGAGGCCGGAGGUGGAUGGCGGGCGAACCCAGCGCGGGCAUGGCGUGGCGGAAAAUAAAAAAAAAAUAAAAAAAAAAAGAGAACGAGAGAACGAAGAGGAGAGAGAAAGAGGAAAGAGAAAAAGUAAUAAGGAUAUUUUGGUCAGUUUGCUGAAAAAACGGACCGAAUCUGCAAAAACGAAAAAGGUGGCCCGAUUCUGCAAAAGCCCAAAAUAAGUGGAUUUUUUAUGCAAAUUGGCCAUGAAAAAUACUAGAUGUACACUCCAAAAAAAAUAUAAAUUUUAUACCUUUUUAUUCUAAAAUUUAUAAUUUUUAAAAAUUAUUUAAUAUUUUAAAUAAAAGGUUGACAAGAUAAAGGCCAUAUAUUGAUCUUUGGAUAAAGAGGUGUAAGAUGUGCAGUUUACACCCCGAAACCAUUAGUUCGCAAGAUUUGGUGGGAUUUACUGUAAUACAACUCGAAUUCCGCUGUUUAAGAACAGAUUUAGCAAAAUAAUCAUUUGCCGCUACUUGUUGGUUAUAAAUAAUAUUCAUAACCCCAAUAAACUAAAGCUUUUCAAACAAUAAUACGGAGUAAAACCAAUUCGAAAUAGAAAUAUUCAUCUCUAAAUGAAUUGAUUUGAAUUCUUCUAAACUAAAAUAUGUUGGCUUAAACGAGCCAGUAUCUUAUCCCGUGGCAAGGCCUACGCGGGACGAGUCACAAUGAAAGCCUGCGGGCUCGUUACAGAAGCCGGACUGGGCCUAAUCACAAUGGAGACCUUUUGGGCGCCGUGUAUGUACAUUUUAAAUAAAUUAAUUGCAUCUUUCUAAUAGUUCGAACUUUUAAAAUUAAUGAUUAGCAUCCACGAUCUUACAAAAUCGGCUGAAUUCUAUUCAAUUUGAUGCCAAAUAGUGUGAUAAGGAAAUUAUCUGCUCCACAUGGGUAAACCAACCAAAUAGCAGCUUUGGGUAGAUUUACCUUUCUCAUUGGUUACAAAUCCGCGCAAUCCAAGACCAGAAACCCCUUUGGAUUAGCUUCAGGUUCUUGGGUCCUUUUCUCUAGUUUCCCUGCUGAUUGGGUUAAAGAAGCCCUGCUACUUCAUCCUCCUUAGAUGGUUACAUUUCGCUCCUGCGGCAUACAAUACGACAGUAAUCGCUGUUAACCUAAAAUAAAUGCUGUCUAUGGGUGUUCCCCCUUCCAUGACAAAGACUCGAAAGAUUACAACACCUGCAGGAUCAAAAUUCGGACCACACCAAUCAAUGAAAUGACAGCACAAAUGUGAUGAAACUGAAACAGCGAAUAUUACUUCGAAUAUCAGACCAUCCACAACAAGCAUUUCACCACAGUAGAAGCAAUUACAACUAAGAUCGUGCGGCAAAUUACAACUUUGCAGACACUUACUGAAACAUUUACGUCGUCAGAGGAAGACAAGGUUUCAGUUACACUCACUAACAUCACGGCACCAUUCCACUAAAUCAAAAUAUCAUUACGACGACAAAAGCAAAGAACCCUACAGAAGCAAGUAACAAUCACACCACAAUCUUCUUCACCAAAAAGGCUAAGUAGAAUAGAAAUAGAAGGGUUAUACAGCAAGCAUUUCACCACAGAAGAAGGGAUUGCAAUUAAGAUCGUGCGGCAAUUACAACUUUGCAGACACUUACUGAAACAUUAAGUCAUCAAAGGAAGACAGUUUCAGAUACACCCACUAACAUCACACACCAUUCCAGUAAAUGGGAAUAACAUUACGACGACUACCCUACACAAGCAAGUAACAAUCACACAUCGAUAUUCUUCACCGAAAGCUAAGUAGGCUAGAAACAGAAGGGUUCGCACUUCACACGGGAAUUAUAAUACUCAGUAGUUGUACUGCAACGUGUUCGCAGAAGCCGUAAUCGGCUGGACUGGGUAAGGAAGCUUCCACGGCUGAAGCAUCGGGUCGGGCAUCUCCGGGAUGUCCAUUUCCAGCCCACUGAACUCUUCCAUGAACAUAAGAACCGAAUUCACCGACUUCAGCCUCUCGGUCAAUUCCCUAAGCUGGGUCCUCAACACGGCGUUCUCCGACUCGACCUUCAUGUACUGCUCGGUGAUCAUAUUGAUCUGCAUCAAGAUCUGCGUGUUCUCGUUCUUGAGGCGUGCGGCCUGGUUCACCAGCUCGUCGAGCCGCUGCUGCUUCCUCAUCCGCGACCUCCUCGCGGACUCUCUAUUCGAGAGCAUCCUCUUCUGCUUCCUCUGAUCGACAACGACCUGCCGGUCUUCCUCCGACGACAUCUCGCGAUUCUAAUUCCCGGGUUUUUCUUCGGUGGGGGAUUUCGACGAACGGGUGGCGGGCGCGAAAAGUUAAAUAGGGUUCAGAGGAGAUCUAGUUCAUGAGAACACAUAGAACCAGUAGAGGAAGGCCACAGAGAAGGAAUGUUGGAAGCAGAUGCGGCGGAGGUGCGCUUCGGAGUACAUAAAUGCUAGAGAGGGGCUUCUUCUAAUACGAUUCGGCGCGAGAGCAUUGAUAUCAUGGAGAGGGCCCUCCAGGGCAGAAUCAACAACAAGAUCUCACAAUAAAGCACAGCAAAGAUGCGAUUUUUCGACCUGGGUUGUCUCAGAAAUUGCGGAAUCUGCUAAAAUCUCCCCCAAAGGCGAGAUUUUGGAACAGGGUUUGGGGGAUUCAGGAACAGGGGCUUUUCUACAGAGGUGGUAAAGCCCUAAAAACCCAGCAAAAUUUUGGUUUAAUUGGUCGGAAAAAUUUUAAAAAAACCUAAUUUUUGGGAUCUGGGUGUUGCUCUAAAUUAAGAAAAGUUACUACCCUACUAUGGAAAUUAACAAAAAAUAACCUAAAAUUAGAGAAAAAUAGAAAGAGUAGAGAGAGAGAGAGAGAGACUUAUCUUUUGGAGACACCACAGAGGGAGAGAGAGAGAGAGAGCCAAAAGGGGUGAGGAAGGGGCUAUUUAUAGAAGGGGAGAGGGAGGGGCAUUUUGGGAAUAAAAAAAAGGUAUCUUUAGACAAUUGAGGAGUGCACAACUACAUACACUGCACAUACAUUUUAAUUAAUUAAGAUAAUUACUUAUAUAUAUCCCUCAAAAUUUUUAAAAUUUUUUAUAUAUUCUUAUUUUUUUAAUUUCAAAUAUAUUUUUAUAUAUUUUUAAUUAUUUAAAAAUAAUCUAGCUAUUAGUAUCUGUUAAGUUAUCUUGAGUUAAAUCCGAAUUAAAUUUCUACCAGAAUUAAAAAAAUCAAAAUAACUCUUUUACCUCUAAAUUAAAAACAAAUAAGAAAAAUUCAAAAUGGUAGAAAAAUAUAUUUAAAAAAAUAAAAUAAUAAUUUCACAGAUUUACUAACAUAAUUUAAUUUUAUAAGUAUAUUUAAAAUAACUUAAAAUAUUAAAAAGCUAUUUUUAAUAUUAGUCUUUUUAAGGAUGAUAAAUAAGAAAGUUAAAAGUUGCCCCUAUUGAUUGAUUUUAUUUGUUUGUUUAUUCUUCUAGAAGGUAGGUGGAAUUAUAGAGGAAUUUUCUCUUUUUCUUUUUCUUAUUGUGUGACAAAAAUAUUUUGGGUGCAUGCACCAACCUAUUUUGGCACCAAAAAAAUGAGGCAAAAAUGAGAAUUAUAUAUGUCCUUUACUUUAAUUAUAAUUAUAAUAUAAUAAAUCAUUUUUGUUGGUAUAUGUGACAUGAGCAACACUAUCAGUACAUUAAAAUCUGGGUAUAAAUCUUCCACCCUAUUCAUACAGGGCCAAUAUUUUUGUACCAGUCUUGCCGCACUUUUAUUUUUUUAAUAUUAAACUUCUAAAGUAUUGUUUAAACUCAAGUAUCGUUUUUCAUGUAAUUUAUUAUUUAUUUUGGUGUUAUCCUCAGUCAUAUUUAUUAUUUGGUGUUAGCUGUCUCAUUGUUGAAAAGAAUACGAAAGUAAACGAUUUUAUUUAAUUCAGUCGAUAUUCUUACAAUUUUACAAUAAAUUUACUGUUUUAAAAAAUAAUUAAAUUUUUGACUGAUAAAAACAUUAAAUUUUUUUUAGGACAAAAAAGUUAAAGUGAAUUUCUGACCCAUAAAAAAAAAAAAAAAAAAGAAAACUAUAUCGAAAGCUUCAUUACCUACUACCACAAAAAUCAACUGAGAAAAUUUCAAAAAGAUGGUAAAUNUUACCUACUACCACAAAAAUCAACUGAGAAAAUUUCAAAAAGAUGGUAAAUAGCAUCUCAUUUAUAAGAAUAGUUUAAUGUGAAAAUAAAUUACAAUAAACAAUUGCCCCUUAAAAAUUAUAGGCUAGUAUAAUACUUUUUUUUUGCUACUCUAUAAUUUUCUUCUUGUUUUACUGUAGAAACCUGAUCUUAAUAUAUAGGUAGGAGUUUAAAUUGUUAUAAUUUAUAAACCACAAUAUAGCGAAGUAAUAUAUUUUAAAAACCACGUUAUAACAAAAAAAAAGUAUUAUACUAGCCUAUAAUUUUUAAGGGGCAAUUGUUUAUAUACCUCUAAAAAGUUUCCGACUUUCUGGUUUAUCCUCUUAGAAGGCUAAUAUUGAAGAUACCUUUUUUACGUUCCAAUUAGAGUUAAAAUCUGUUAAUGAACUAUGUUAUCUCUAUAAAAUUACUAUUUUGCCCUUUCAAAUAUAUUCUUCUAUCAUCACCGAUUUUUCUUAUUUGCCCUUAAGUUAGGGGCACAAAAAGUAUUUUGCUUUUUGGUCUUUUCAAAUAUACUCUUCUAUCAUCAUCAACAUUUCUUGUUUGCCCUUAAGUUAAGGACAAAUGUGGCAUUUUAAUUUUUUUAACUGUGGUAGAUAUUUAAAUCACGUUUAACCCAAGUUAACUUAAUGGGGGAUAACUGUAGGGGUAUUUUAGAAUAACGGAGGAACAUAUGAGGGGUAUAUUGGAAAGAAAAAAAAAAGUAGGGGUAAAUAAAAUAUUUCCGAAGUUUUGAGGGGCAUAUAGGCAAUUAUCCCCAUUUUUUUAAUUAGUCAUCACAUGGUUUGCCUUAUUUAUCACCUUAUUAUUUUAUUAUUUACAAGUUUUUAUAAUAAAAUAAAAAUAAAACUAUAGGAUGGUAAAAUAAAACCUUUUAAGCAAUAAUAGUAUAUGGUUGAUUAAUAUAAGAUGGGUGCAAAUUAGUGAAUUAAACCUGCAUCAUCCUUAUAAUUAACAACCGCUUUUUAUUUUAAAAGAAAAGCGCUAUUAUUUUAUUUUAUUUAACACGAUAUUAAAACAUAAAAUUUUAAGUUCAGACGUAAAGAAGUGUAUUGAAUAUAUUUAUUAAAAUUGUUUAUCUUUUAAGACUUGAGCUUUGGAAAAAUAUGGUUGGACUCUUUCGGAAAAAUUAAAAAAUAAAAUUAAAAAGCUUAUGUCAAUAGCAUACACAUCCUCUUAAUUUGUUUGGUACACUCAACCAUAUAGCUUAGCUCAUCAAAAAAUGACACAUCCAAUUAAAAAAAUUAAACCAGGUUAUGUAGAGGGUGUCAUCUUUUCUUUUUUUUUUUCAAAAAAAAAUAUUUUAACCCUUGUUUUCAAUUUUGAGCGUAACAUCACUUACUCUUUUUGUGUGUGUGUGUGUGUGUGUGUGUGUGUUUUUAGUGCUCACAACUUUUCUUUUUAUUUUAUAAGAUUUUUAUUUGUGAAAGUUCGACCGACGUUCGCUCCUGUUAUUCGAAAGAAUAAAUUAAUAUACAAUAGAUAUUAAAUAUUAAAUAAAAAAUAAAUAACUUAAAUUUUAAAAUUUUGAUUUUUUCUACAACAGCUAUUGCACUCGACCCUUAACAAUAUGUGGAUUGAGGCUUUUUUUUCUUUUAUUUACUCCAAUAUCACUAUAACAAAAACGGUUUAUAGCGACACUUUUAAAUAUCGGUACAUGUUAAAAAAAGUGCUGCUGGCUAAAUUACCGACACUUUUAAAAAGUGUUGCUAUAUGUGGGAUCGCUAGGUAUAUAGUGACAGUUAAAGAGUAUCGCUAUAACCUAAAAAGAGUGCUGCUAAUUUAUCAAUAUUUAUUUAAGCAUUUAGCAACCGCCGGAACUCUAUCUCGUUGGCUGCGGUGGCGAAGGAGGACGAGAGGAAGGGAUCUUCACCUAGAAUUUCAGUCGAUUGAUUGAGGGGAGAAUAAAAAAUGCUAAUCGAUUUUUCUUUUCUUUUUCAUUUAUGUUUGUAAUCGGGUCGAAUGGGUUGGGUUCGGUGAGUUAAGUAGAGUAACCUUUUAUUUUUGGUUGGAUUAGACUUUAUAUUUAUGCAUUAAUAAAUUUUUUUUAAAGUUUUGGCAUAAAUGAAACACUUACACAAAAGUGUUCCAAACAUGUGUCCCUAUAACCUAAUUCUGUUGUAGUGUAUUUCAAAUAGAUUUUUUUUUUUCUUUUUGUCAGAGUCAGAUUAUAUAUCACGCUCUAUACAUUUGUUAUGAAUUAUGAUAUAUAGGAUAAAAGGAUUAUAUAUGUACCUCUGAAAACUUCUGAAAUAUCGUAUAUAUUUUUAUUUUUUUGUUUUAAAUAUAUCUUUAGUAUAUUUCUCUAUUAUUCAAAAAUAACCCUACUUUUAAUACCCGUUAAGUCAUUUCGAGUUAAACCCGAAUUUUUUUCACCAUAGUUAAAAAAUAAUAAAAAUACUAUUUUACCCCUUCCUUAAGUACUGUAAACAAAAAAUGUUGUUAAUGGUAGAAAGGUAUAUUUGGAAAGAUAAAAAGUCAAAAUAUUCUUUUUUCCUAACUUAAAGGUAAAUAGGAAAAAUUAGUGACGAUAGUAGGAUAUAUUUAAAAGGACAAAUAGUAAUUGUGCAAAGAUAACAAUUGUUUCUAUACAUUCACUAACAUAAUUUAACUUUAUAGAGGUACAUUUUAAAUAACUUGAAACGUUAAAAAAAUAUUUUUAAUGUUAACCUUCUAAGAGAAGUAAAUAAAAAAUCAAAAAUUUUUCAAGGGUAUAUAAGCAAUUCCCCCUUUUUCAAAAGGCACCUUUUAAGCUAUUAAUCCCCUCUCCCAAACAAAAACUUUUACUUACAAAGCAAGUAAAUCACAAGAAUAUUCCUUAAAAACAAACAUUAUUAGGAAACUUGGUGUAAUUAAUGACCAAUUAAUAACAUGAGAAAUCUACUAAUUAAUAGCUAGAGAAAAAGUGUAUUAAAAUGGAGCAUGAUAUCACUGAUCAAUUAAUUAAGUUACUUCUCCUUUUUGUGGAGGAGGUCUCAAAGAUGACAACAUGAAAAAGUUCAAGUCAUUGUGACAUUUAGAUUAAUUAUUAUAAUAAUAAUAAUAAUAAUAAUAAUAAUAAUAAUGUCACCUAAUGGAAAUGGUGACACAUCCACAUCUAAGUGAGAGGAGGCAUAAUUAUUUAGGUCAGUUCAAGAUUGGGUGGAGAUGGGUACCCAUGAAUAAAAAGCUAAUGCUUUUGACUCUUAAUUAUUAAGUAAAUACCAAUAACAACCAUAGCUCAUGCAAGCAAUAGAUUUAUUGCUGGUACUUAUAAUUAAGAUUUGAUUGAUCUUCCAGAUAAUAUAGUAUUAAAGACACUCCUAACCCUUCUUCAUUUUCAGAGAUACUGCGUUUGAUUUUUAUUUUCGUCAUUUUAUGGAGUAUAUUUUCGUCUAUCUGCUGUCAUAUUAUAUGAGCCAUUUGAUAUCCAUCAUGCAUAUGAGCAGUGGUAUUAAAAUAAAUUUCGUGUCGUGUAAUAUGGUUUAGUUCACCACAUCAGCCAUAGACCACUCAUGGUGAUCGUAUGAGCUCCACCCUGCGCUUUUUGAACAUAAAAUCUCUUGUUAGUUAAAUUGCGUCUUUUCCAGAUUAAAAAUAAUUAGAAAAAUAUAUUCAAAUAUUUUGUAACUUUUAAUAAUUUUGACUACUCCCUAAACUUUUUUAAACUUUAUCAAAUAGUUAAUAUUUAGGCCUUUCUACUUAUUAACCCAAGUAACUACUCAAAACAUAAGCUAUUUGUUUUACAUGUAAAUUUUUAAAGCUUCAAAAACAAAUAGAAAACCUUUCUCUUCUAUUCUAAUGAAUGAAAGAAAAUAUAAUAAAACUUAGAAAUAAAUUCAUCCUAUUCUUAACCUCGAUAUUUCUUUUUUAUCUAUUAAAAAAGAAGAUAAAGAUUUUUCUUUAUAUAUAUAUAUAUAUAUAUAUGAAGAUUAUGUGUUCUCGUGAGACUAGAAUUGAGAUUGCGUUACGUGCGGUGAGAAAGUACGUUGAAAAAAUAUUCUGUUUAUUUCUGUAUGUAAUAUUGCGUUCCACAUAUCGCGAUAAGUCGGUUACGAUAUAUUUUCUGCUGUCCAACCGGAGAACGCAGAAGGAUAUCCCUAUAUGCUUUUUCUUGAACUCCAUUUUAUCUAAUAGCGUUAGAUAGACAUCAAUACCAAACUAAACCUAAGCUACCGUUUGAUUCGGGGUUAAGGAAAAACUAAUUAUUCCAGGAAUAGGUUUAAGUUCAGGGUUAAGGUGGGGUUAGAGUAUUUUUAUAUUUGGUUGGGGGUUGGAGUUAGUUCAGGAUAGUAAAAAAUAAUGUUUGGUUGGAGUAGGUGGGAUAAGAAGGAUAGUGGGUUACUAUGAAUAGAAAAUAGUGUUUGGUUGGAGUUUUGUGGAGUUAGGUGGAAUUAGCUAAUCCGGGAUAGCCCAUUUGAGGUGGGAUUAGCUAACCCCACCCAUUUUUGAGGGAGUUUGAAGAUAAUAUAGGGGUUAAGGGGUUAUUCCACCCCUUAACCCCCAACCAAACAAAGGUAAGUGUUUAACUCUGACUAUGUUAGAGGGAAAGAGAUAAUUGUACUAUUACUAAAGUUCACGAGGGUUAAGGGUAAAACGAAGACUUAAAAGGAAGAUAUAUAUAUAUAUAUAUAUAUAUAUAUAAAAUACAAGUUUAAAAAUAGGGGGGAAAAAAAAGAAGAAAUAGAAAAGAAAAUUUGUGAAAUGUUGAACAGAUGCACCAAAAGGGUGCAGAAUCUAGUGGCCACCUCUCUCUCUCUCUCUCUCUCUUUAUGGUUUUUGAUGCUUUAGUUAGGAUAAGACUUAAAAUAAGAGAGUCUAACACCAAAUUUGUUUGGUCAUGUGCAUGCUUUAUCAAAAAGCAUACAUGUUGUGUACGCAAAUCCAACAUUGAGUUAAAAAUAUUGGAUCUGCGAAUAGUCACACAUAGAAUAAUUAAUGAAAAAUAAAUACAUGGUUAAUAUAUAUAUACUAAUUAAUAGAGCUAUGUUUGAGUAAAUAUUUCAGUGUUAAACCAUAUUAAUAUUAAAAUCAUACCUUUUGUCAUGAUUUUUGAUAUUCAGAAUCGGAUUGUGGACGGUGAUUCUUCUUUGUGACUCGUUCUCAUUCACGAUCUACAAAAGAGCGGAAUAUUUUCAGUCUAUUCCCUUAUCCGCUGGUAUUUUGCUGAAGAAAUUGCUCUUCCUGAUAUGACUGAUUCGGUAAUCCCUUGGGAUGAAGCCGUCACAGAAACAAAUAUAGGAUUAGGAUUAAACCAAAACUCUCAUUAUGUUAUAAGAUCGUCUUAAAUAAAUCAUAUUGGCCACAUCCAACAUUCACAUCUUAGGCUUAUAGACCAUUUUGAUUCGACUACCUAAUUUUUUAAAAUUUUAAUUUUCAUACCUAACCUUCCAAUUUGCUUGAUUUAAAUAAUUUAAUCGCUCUUCAGAUAAAAAGUUAAGCUAAUUACCGACUUUAGUAAAUUUAUAGUUACGUAAAUUACAUAAAAUAUACUAACAAAAUCUGUAAAUUAAGAUAAACAACAUAUUUAAAUUUUAAAGUUAAAAAUCACUAAUUGGCUCAAAUCAAAUAAAUUAAAAGGUUAGAUAGUAAAUCAAAAUUUUAAAAGUUAGGUAGUAAAAUUUAAAUGAUUGAUUGUUGAGUUUAGUUUCAUAUAUUUCUAAUUUGUUUUCUUAUACUGUAAUAUCAACCAGAUUGGAUAUAUAUAUAAACAAUUAUUUUCACACCACUAACUAAAUUUGAACUGUAUAUACAUGAGUGAAUGUUCUUUUUUUUCUUUUCUUUUUCUUUUUUGUUGUUUUAACUUUUUUUUUUUUUUUCCCUAUGAAGGUUCUUUGGAAGAUAAAAUUUUUGACUAGAAGAUGAGAAGUCAAAACCCACUUCAUGGCAAUGUUUUUGUCUUCUAUCAUCCAUUCUAUGGGCAGCCUCCAUGUUAUUAGCCUCCCUUCUUGACUUUUUUCCUUCUUUCUUUUAUUNCCACUCUCUAUAGAGAUCAACUAAUCAAAUAUAUAUUUUUUCCUAUUCAAAUCUCUCUCUAUACUCUAAUCUCACAUUUCUUUUUAUUAUUAUAUAUAUACUAAUUAAUAGAGAUAUGUUUGACUAACUGUCCCUAGAGCAAGUGGCAAAGGGCUUGGUGGUUGGUACCUGAGACCCAAGUUCGAAUCCUAGUUGAUUCAUAUUUCUAGCUAAGUUUAUUUCUAAAUGAAAUAAACGAAGCGGGUAGCGUGCUACCUAUCUCUCAAAAAAAAUAGAGAUAUGUUUGAGUAAAUAUUUCACUAAACCAUAUUAAUAUUAAAAUCAUACAUUCUGUCAUGAUUUUUGAUAUUCAGAAUCAGAUUGUGGACUGCGAUUCUUCUUUGUGACUCGUUCUCAUUCACGAUCUACAAAAGAGCGGAAUAUUUUUAGUCUAUUCCCUUAUCCGCUGGUAUUUUGCUGAAGAAAUUGCUCUUUCUGAUAUGGCUGAUUCGGAAAUCCCUUGGGAUGAAGCCGUCACAGAAACAAAUAUCGGAUUAGGAUUAAACCAAAACUCCCAUUAUGUUAUAAGAUCGUCUUAAAUAAAUCAUAUUGGCGACAUCCAACAUUCACAUCUUAGGCUUAUAGACCAUUUUGAUUCGACUACCUAAUUCUUUAAAAUUUUAAUUUUCGUACCUAACCUUCCAAUUUGCUUGAUUUAAGUAAUUUAAUCGCUCUUCAGAUAAAAAGUUAAGCUAAUUACUGACUUUAGUAAAUUUAUAGUUACGUAAAUUACAUAAAAUAUACUAAUAAAAUCUGUAAAGAUAAACAACAUAUUUAAAUUUUAAAGUUAAAAAUCACUAAUUGGCUCAAAUCAAAUAAAUUAAAAGGUUAGAUAGUAAAUCAAAAUUUUAAAAGUUAGGUAGUAAAAUUUAAAUGAUUGAUUGUUGAGUUUAGUAUCAUAUAUUUCUAAUUUGUUUUCUUAUACUGUAAUAUCAACCAGAUUGGAUAUAUGUAAACAAUUAUUGUCACACCACUAAAUAAAUUUGAACUGUAUAUACAUGAGUGAAUGUUCCUUUUUUCUUUUCUUUUUCUUUUUCUUUUUUGUUGUUUAAACUUUUUUUUUUUUUCCCUAUGAAGGUGUUGGAACAAUUACCGCACAGAAAUCUGAUUGUGAUUUAAAUCUAAUUAAAUCUUAUUAUGAAAAUAAAUAAAUCAACUUACAAAUGAUCAAUAAAUCCAAAUAAAUAUUUAAUUGAUCCGGAAGCGUGCGAGGCACUGCCCUAAGGCGUAUUUCCGUCCUUACGUGCGGGAUUAACCGGAAACACCGCCCCAAGGUACGACCGGAAUUCCUCCUCCUGCGAGCACGAUCGUGAAGAAGGUUGACGGAGACUCUUUCGGCACCCGAUGACAAAGAGAUUGAUCAAAAUAGAAUCUAAAAUAAAAUUUAAAUUAUUCUUUGCAAUGUUCAUGUAUUUCCAUGAACAGCAUGCAAAGCUAAAUAUAUAUAGAGGGGUUAUAUGGUGUGACAUUGGAAUCAACCCCAACGUACAAACCUUAUUAUGCACCCUUAAUUCAUGUUUUAAUGUGAAAUAAAGGAGGAAUAAAUUAAAUUUAAUACAUUCAAUUAAUUAACUUAAUAAAUGACAAUAAAUGUAAAUAAUUAUAAAAUUAAAUGAUAUUUAGAGAUUUUGGAUUUUUUCACCAACAAUCCCCCACAAAAUUCAAAAUCACAAAAGAAGAAUUAAACAAACAAAUAAAUAAAUCAUCGGGUGUUUAUACUAUGCAAUAGGCAAGGUGUCUUUAAGAGACUUAACCCUACUUAGUGUAAAUAGUUUCCAUCAGAAGGAAUCGGAGUGAACCAGGUCUUGAACUACGUUCCUUUGUCCCUGACUUCAACUAUCACACACACAGUACAGAAUUCUCCGUUGCGGAUCUGUGCGUUAAUGGCCAUGCACAGUACCUUAAUUUUUCAUAAGAGUUUCUAUGAAUCGCCCAUAUCACAUAGCCGCGGCCACAUACGGAUACCCUUAUAUUGGUGGUUUCCUCCAGGGAUGUGUGUAGAGUCAUAUCUCGCGAAAAUUAUCGCCUUGGAUCCCAUUAAGAGCUCUCAGUUCAACCUAAUCCACUACACAGAGCACUACUCACCAUAGGAAUGGAAUUAGAGCUAAAGCUUCUCUAUAAAAUUUGUAGAAAGUGCUCUUUGGCCAACCUGACAGCUUGUUUUUACCACAUUGAACCUUCUUCAAGGGAUCUCCUAUCACAAAGGUUGGGUUCCCACUGCAGGAAGGCCCUUUAAGGGCAAGAUCCCAUCCCCCUCGAUGACAGCAGGACGAUAAUCCUCUUCAGGCCACUUGUCAAGCAAUCUGCAAGAUUCUUAUUAGAUCUGAUAAAGCUCAAAAAUAAUAUCAUGAAAGGUUAGCCAUCUAACAAAUUUUAGUCUCAAUUUAAUAUGUCUACCAACUUUAGAAUUUAUCAAAUUCUUUUCCAAGAUGAACAUUAAUAAUAAAAGAGAUAAAAAUACGAGAGCAAUCAUAAUAUCAACAUUUAUCAACAGAUAAAAGAUUGCCCCCCACAAGUUCUGCGAUAUAUCAAAACUUAAAAUCAUGAGGUUAAUCAUCUCUAAUGGGGUUUGGUUCAACAGCAAAUAGAUGGCCUAAACAAUUUUUUAAAAUUUUAUCUCAAUUAGAUCCUUUCAUUAUAAAAUACAAUGCAAGCAAUAUGCAUCAAACAAAAUGAUUACAGUAAAGUGGUGCUGUUGGUUACACGACUUUGUUCAAAGACUGUGCUUAAACAAACUGUGGGUGUCAAAUCCCAAUAUUGAAACAAUAACAAUAAUAUUUAAUAAUAAAGCUUAAAGAAAUCUAACCUCUUUUUUUUUUUUAUCAAAACAGUAAAAUAUAUAUAUNAAAAGGAUAGAGAUAUUUUUGUAAAGAGAAAAAAUUCAAAACUCACGCUUUUAUAAAAAAUUAAUAUCUUUUACUAUAUUAUUAAAAAUCACAUAUAAUGAAGAAAAUUUUAUUUCAAAGUCACCUAUAAUUAUGUUGAGAUAUUUGAGAAAUUUACGGAUAUUAUAUUGUGAAAGAAUUGGCGGUGCAGAUAUUACGCGUGAGAAGAAAAAUAUCUAUUCCUCUAUACCUAUACAUUAUUUCUCUUGGAGUUUGCCACGUGGCAAUUCCUCCUUCACCCCUCAUUUUCACUUCAAAAUUUCUAUUCUCCAAUCAUUGCUUCUCUCUAACGUUUACCUCUUCGACUUUCCGUCUCAUUAAUUUCUUCCCUGUAACGUUUGUCUCUUCAGUUUUCCGUCUCAUUAAUUUCUUUUCUGUAACGUAUGUUUCUUUGGCUUCCCAUCUCAUUAAUUUCUUCUCUGUAACGUUGCUGCUUCGACUUCCCCCUUAUUAAUUUCUAUUUUCUAAGAGGCGUUGCCCGAGAAGCCCCUGGGCACAGCAUAUGGCGUCCUCGACAACGACCUCGCCUACUACGUCCGCUCCAACCUCAAUCCCCGCAGGCGUGCCACCCUCGCCCUUGCAGUCAACGUCGAGUGAGUCGAACUCUAACCCUAGCCUUGAAUCUUCCUCCCUCGAUCUCGACUACUUAAAUCUGUAAUAUAUAGUUAUACAAAGGGUGUGUAUCCUUCUCCUCUAAUAGUCUCGGAGGACGCAAAGUAUCGAUUAAAUUAUGGACUUGCUGAAAAGGGGUUGAAGGCACUAUGGUACUUCACGAAAUUAUCCGUGUUAGUAGAAAAUGCCCUAAAUGAGGAUACAAAGUGGUCCGAUUUUUAUGUAACAAAUUUUUUUCUCCUAUAAUUCUUUUUUUAUCUUUUGUUGUUUUUCAUUGAAUUAUAAUUUUAUUUUAAAAUUUUUAAAGUAUUUUUUAUAUUAUUAAAUUUAAUCAAAUAUGAUUAUAUCCGCCGCAUCGCGCGGGUUCCUACACUAGUUUAUCUUUAUUUGGGAAUAAAUUAUUACUUAGUUAAUUAUUUGAAAUGAUUGGUUGAAAAUUUCUGGACAUAAAAAUAUUAGUAAAAAUGGAAAGAGGCAUUUUUGGNUAAUUUCUUUUUAAUAAUCAAAAGGUUUUACUGUAGCAAGAUUCAAACCAACCUCCGUACACAAGAAAUCUAAAAAAAAUACUGUAACAUUUUUUUAAGUGAUUCUAAAUAACAGUAGAAGACAAAUAAAAAAUUACAAGCAAACAAUAUGCAAUUAAAAUAUAAAUAUAUUUUCGGAUUAGCACUCGUUAGAUUUAAUCACAAUCAAAUUGGAAUUAUGCCUUAGAUUGUUGGAACAAUUACCGCACAGAAAUCUGAUUGUGAUUUAAAUCUAAUUAAAUCUUAUUAUGAAAAUAAAUAAAUCAACUUACAGAUGAUCAAUAAACCCAAAUAAAUACUUAAAUGAUCCGGAAGUGUGCGAGGCACUGCCCUAAGGCGUAUUCCCGUCCUUACGUGCGGGAUUAACCGGAAACACCGCCCCAAGGUACGAUCGGAAUCCCUCCUCCAGCGAGCACGAUCGUGAAGAAGGUUGACGGAGACUCUUUCAGCACCCGAUGACAAAGAGAUUAAUCAAAAUAGAAUCUAAAAUAAAAUUUAAAUUAUUCUUUGCAAUGUUCAUGUAUUUCCAUAAACAGCAUGCAAAGCUAAAUAUAUAUAGAGGGGUUAUAUGGUGUAACAUUGGCCCUUAAUUCAUGCUUUAAUGUGAAAUAAAGGAGGAAUAAAUUAAAUUUAAUACAUCCAAUUAAUUAACAUAAUAAAUGAUAAUAAAUAUAAAUAAUUAUAAAAUUAAAUGAUAUUUAGAGAUUUUGAAUUUUUUCACCAACAGAAGGUUCUUUGGAAGAUAAAAUUUUUGACUAGAAGAUGAGAAGUCAAAACCCACUUCAUGGCAAUGUUUUUGUCUUCUAUCAUCCAUUCUAUGGGCAGCCUCCAUGUUCUAAGCCUCCCUUCUUGACUUUUUCCUUUUUUUUUUAUAUUGCUAAAAUAAUUUUUGUUAGAUAAAAAUAUACAUAAUUUAUCUCAAUUAUCGCCCAGUUUGAUCUGAUUAUCUAUUUUUAAAAAAAUUUUAAUUUUACUGUCUAACCUUCUAAUUUAUUUAAUCUGCGUCGGUUAAUGACUCUUUAAUUUCAAAUUUUAAAUGUGUUAUCUAUAUUUAUAGAUUUAAUUAGUAUACUUUUUUGUAAUUCAUAUAAAUAUAAAUUUAAUGAAAUAAGUCAUUAGUUUAAAUUUUGUAUCGGAAGAAUCAUUAAAUGACUUAAAUCAAACAAAUUAAAAUUAAAAUUUUUAAAGAUUGAAUAGUCGAAUCUAAUGGUCUGUAUAUAACUUAGGUAAGUUGUAUAUAUUUUUACUUCUUUACUUUUGUUAGAGUAAGUUAGAUAUAACAUUUCUGUUCUGGCAAUAUCAAAACUUGCUCGACAAUAUCAAUUUAUUUUUGUAAUUCAUUAGGUUUUGGAUCGUUUUUCGCCCCCUAAUUAACUUUCAAUCUCCUUCUAAUUAUUAUUUGAAAAUCAUUAUUAUUAUAUACUAAAGUAGAACCCUUAAUCGAACCCAUGUGACAAAGCUGACACGUGCGUCUACUAGUUUGCCAUGUUCAAGCUUCACAUAUAGAUUUUUAGUUUUAGAAAUAAAAAAAUACAUUUUGAAGAAAAUAAUAUUUUUACUAUAUAGAAAAAAUCUACGUGUCAAAGCUCAAAUACUAGAUUUUCUACUUUAGGGACAUAAUUUCAAAGCUCACCCAUAAUAUACAUUGUGAGCAUUUAACUACUUUAAGGGAAUAUGACCUACUUUAGGAAAAAUAAAAUUAAAUUUUUUUAAGAAAUAAAUUUUUUUACACUAUAUUAUUAAAAAGUACCAUAUAAUGAAUGAAGGGAGAUUUUAUUUCAAAAGUCACGCUAUGAGAUAUUUGAGAAUCACCAGUUUAGCCCGCGUUCUGAUGUGAUAUUACUGUGUUAGGAAAUAACUACCGUGUCAAGCAAAAUAGAAUAUUUUUACUCUAGGAGAAAUUAAAAAGAUUUUUUAAGAAAAUAAUCAAAUUUAGGCGAACAAUAAUUAGACUUUUUUUAUAGAAAAUAAUACUUUAUGAAAACAAAAUAGAUUUUUUAAGAAAAAUAAUAUCUUUACUAAUAUAAAAUCUACCGUCCACAUCCACACACACCCAAUACACCGAUUCUUUCUACUCUAGGAAAAAUAAAUAAUUAAUUUUUAAGAAAAUAAUAUCUUUUAUAUAUGAUUCAAUAAUCACCAUAUAUGAAAAUAAUUUUAUUUUAAGUCACCUAUACAUAUUUUUGAGAUAUUGAAGAAAUCUCACGGAUAUACUGUUGCGAAAAGAAUUGGCGGUGCAGAUAAAUUACCAUGAGACAAAAUAUAUAAUCUUUAUCGGGAAUACAUUACUCCCUAAUAAUUAUUGAAUAUUAGUUAUAAUUACUGGACAUAAAAUAUUAAGUAAAAAUUACUGGACAUCAAAUAUGAGUAAAAAAGGAUAGAGACAAUUUCCUAACGUGGCUUUCUAUAUGUUUUCCCACGUGUCCAUCGAUCUAUUCUAAUUUACUAUAUUAUUCAAAUUCAAAUGAUAGGUUGGAUUAAUUAGAAAUAUUUAAGAAAUUCACGGAUAUUAACGUUGUGAAAGAAAUUGACUGGUCGCGGAUAUUACGCAACGCGUUGAAUGAAAAUAGGAUAGCAAAUGCGAGGGGUAAUAUUGUCAUAAAAAUUAACUUGACUAUUUUAUUUUCAAUCAUUAUAGAUAAGAUUUAAAGGCAAAAAAUUACAUAUCUUUUGGCUAGUAUAUUAAAAAAUCACAAAGGAGAUUUCAUUUCAAAGUCACCUAUAAUUAAUGUUGACAUUUUCAAAAAUUCACGCCGAGGAUAUUAUUGCAAAAAAAAUUGGCAAACGGUGCAGAUAUUAACGCAUCCGAGAAGAAAACAAUAUUAAAUCUUAUUUGGAGAAACAUAGAAGUUAAUACUUAUGUUAAUUAUUGAAAUGAUUGUUGAAAAUUUCUGACAUAAAAUAUUGUAAAAAAGGAUAAGAGAAUAUGUUUUGUAAAGAGAAAAAAUUCAAACUCAGGCUUUUAUAAAAAUAAUAUCUUUUUUAUCUAUAUUAUUAAAAACACAUAUAAUGAAGAAAUUUUAUUUCAAAGUCACCCUAAAUUAUGUUGAGAUAUAUUUGAAAAUUUACGGAUAUUCAUAUUGUGAAAGAAUUGGCAGGUGUGCCACCGAUAUACCGUGAGAAGAAAAAUUAUCUAUUCUCUAUAACUAUUACAUUAUUUUCUCUUGAGAGUUUGCCACGUGCAAUUCCUCUUCCUUCACUCCCUCAUUUUACUUCAAAAAUUUCUAUUCUCCAAUCAUUGGCUUCUCUCUAAACGUACCUCUUCGACUUUCCCGUCUCAUUAAUUUUUCCCGUGUAACGUUUGUCUCCUUCAGUUCCCGUCAUCAUUAAGUUCUUUCUGUUAACGUAAAUGUUCUUUGGCUUUCCCAUCUCAUUAAUUUUUCUCUGGUAAGUGGUGCUUCGACUUCCCCUUAUUAAUUUCUAUUUUUCUAAGAAGCUUGCCCGAAGAAGCCCUGGGCACAGCAUAUUGCGUCUCGACAAACCCGACCUUCCGCCUACUAACGUCCGCUCAACCUCAAUCCCAGUGCGUGCCACCUCAGCCUUGCAGUCAACAUGUCGAGUUAUAUCCGAACACUAACCUUAGCUCCCAUGAAUCUUCCUCCAUCGAUCUCGACUACUUAUAAUCUGUAAUAUAAUAGUUAAAUCAAAUGGGUGUAUCCUUCUCACUCUAAUAUGUCUGCGUAGGACGCCAAGUAUCCGUUAAAUUAUGGACUUGGCUGAAAAGGGUUUGAAGCACUAUGGAACUUCACGAACAUUAUCCGGGUAGUAGAAAAUGCCCUAAAUGGGAUACAAAGUGGUCCCGAUUUUUAUGUAACAAAUUUUUUUUCUCCUAAUAAUUUUUUUUAUCUUUUGUUGAUUUUUCAUUGAAUUAUAAUUUAUUUAAAAUUAAGUUAUUUUUAUAUUAUUAAAUUUAAAUCAAAUAAUGAGUAUAUCCCACGAUCGCGCGGGUUCUCCACUAGUGUUCUAUUGGGAAUAAAUUACUUAUUAUUAAUUAUUUUGAAUAUGAUUUGUCUGAAAAUUCCGCUGGCACAAAAAAAUAUUAGUAAAAAUGGAAAGAGGCAUUUUUGGUAAGAGAAAAAAUAUUAACAACUCCACAUCACUCCUGUAAUUUUCUUUCGCUCUUAAAUAUUGAAUGCGUUUAAAUCGAAUAUAUUAUUUCCUACUAGUCAAACUUUUCUGUAAAUUUUCAUUCAGUAAUUUUUGUCCUAACUUCCACUCCUGUAACUUCCAUCUCAUCGCCAUACAAAAUUUUUCUUUAUAUUUCUUAAAAAGCCAACAUUUAUAUGUUUUUUGAAUCUUAAAAGUAGACAUACGAAACAUAAUAUUAUGUGCUUACUCUAAUUUGGUCAAAUAUGAAAGUUUAAUUGAUACUCAUAUAUCUUUAAAUCAUACAUUCAUUGUAAUUUUUCAUAUCAUUUAAGUUAUUCAAUAGUGUCGUACAUCCGAAUAGUAAAUGAAAUUGUUUGCACAUCAAUUAUAAUAAUAGAAGCAGAUUGAAUUAUUGCAUUUUAAGUGAGAUAUUAUCUUCGCCACAUUUUUUUUCUCUAGCUGUGUACUUAAAUAUGUACUAAAAUAAAACUUGAUAUAUAUUUUUUUAUUUGUAAAAAAAUAAAAAUAAUAAAAUUUUUGUUAUCCAAUCACAUAAUAAUUUAUAUUAUCUAAGUAUUAAUAUAUGCGGCAUCGCACCGGGUGAAAACCUCAGUCUUUUUUCCUAUUUGCAAAGAGACAAUUUCAUUUUUAUGGUAUGUUUAACUUUAAAAUAUUUGAUUGUUAUUUAAUUAUGCACAUAGAAUAAAGUUUAUUCUCAAUAUUUAGAAUCCUUUCUAGGUGAAUGAUUUUUUGUUUUUUGUUUUUUUUUAUUUUUUAGAAUUUUGAAGAAAAUUUUGUAGCUAUUUCCUACUCUUAAAUUUAGAGAAUUCAUUAUAUUAUUAUGCAUAAUGUCCACGCCCCGUUACACUUCCCGCGGCACCCAGAAAAUCCCCGUUACCAAGAAUUUCUCUCUGUAUACGAAUGCGAUAGCCGUACCUUAAAUCAAACACUACUACAACAGUAGUGAGAGAGCUCUAGAGAAAACUGAAGCUAAAUAAAACAGAGUUUCAUUACAAUUCAGAUCCAAAAUAUAGAGCUUCUCACUUGGCGAGUUAAAGUCAACUAAUGUACAUACAACCGAAACAAAACAUCUACCUGCAGUAGGCCUCUACUCAGCACUCGUAGCCUCUAUCGCGAGGUAAGCUGGACCUGCUCGAAUCCUGCUCCGCAGACGUCAGCAGCCGGAACCUUGCUCUGCAAAAACAUAGUAACGAAACUGGCUGAGAAAAUAACUCUUGUCGUAAAAAAUCCAAUAGUCCUCAGGGUACCCGCCCAAAACAACAUCGAUCACCCACUAACCAUACAGAAUGGAGUCAAGGAUAGAAGAAAGGAAGCAGGACAUACUUUACCUAUUAUCUACUACACUAAUCAUGCUCUACACUAACCAAUCUGUAGGAAAUGUCAAAUCAUGACUGCCCAACCAAUGGACCUGUAAGCAAUACCCGUCCUCCGGGACUGUGAAUACCGCCCUCUGCCCCCCUUCGCACAUCAUGCUCAUCACACUCGUCCGUGGAAGCAAGUCCAACUGAGCGUGAGCGACACGCAAACGCAAAAGCACAAGCCCGACUCCAGAGUGGCCUCGUGGUGGCUACCCAACCAAGAUGGCAGCGUAUCUCUUCGAGCUCAAUCCAGCUUCCAACUAGCCAAAGUAAAUAAUUGACUCACAACUGGUCUAUCAACCACAUGUAACGUCUCCUCGCACAAUACUGACCCCAAAAAGCGAUACGGGUCCACGUCACCUGCACGGCAGCCCCAACAGUCCGAAACGACCCUGAACCGACCUGUAAAAAUCCGCCUCGGCGAACUCAGCACAAGUGUAAAUACAUUCUAAAACUACCUGGAGUACUACGUCUCGAAAAACUGCGACAGUACAAUUUCAACGGCUCUUAUGAGCUAAAUCAGGUAGUAACAUCUGGUACAGGUCAAAUCGCAGGUUUCCCUAAUUCACCUUUCCACAUCCAACCAUGUAAACUACUAAAUUAUUACCAAUGCUCCAAAAUUCAGAUAUUGCAAUCCACUAAUUAAUCCAGACUUCGAGCUAAAUAGAAUUACCAAAAAAAUUGAGUUAUCUAUACAUCUCGACGAGUUAUGAACUAUAGGGUCCAAAACCCGAUGUAUACCACCUCUCAAGGCAACUCCUUGUGCCGAAGAAGUGGCCUCGGAUGCAAAAGUGAUCCUCCUGGUCCCGUCGAAGUCGCCCGUCUCCUGCCGCUGAAGAAUUAACCCAUUUACACUUAAAAUCACGAAAUCCUGCCCAAAACAGCAGCAGAAGAAAGUGUUUAAUCCGACCAACGCGUAACCUUAUCCAAAUUCAGCAAAAAGCGGUUCCAACUGUCUCAGAGUCACGAAUCAAUGUCGCAACGGUUCCGCUGAAUUCCGACCUCCUCACGCAGAGAACCGGGGCCAAAUAUGGCCUACGACACGUCGCACGCGUGACGAUCACCGCGGAACAGCACAUCGAUCAAGAAACUCGCUAGUCCGGGCCCAAAGAGGCCCACCGUAGGUAAAACUGAGGGUCGACAGGCAAACCUGCUGCCAAAAAUCGCCGACUCGCUUUGGCGCUCACGAAUGCUGGCUCUUCGUCUCGAAGCUAUGCGCGGAAUUGCCUAGCCACCAAAUUUAGUGCCGGGUUUUCACACUUGCCUACCACCAGACAACGACUUUGAAUUACAAACAGUCCCGCGAGCCGGGUACGGAUCUUUCGAGCAAAGCCAAUCCCAUCCCCGACUAGAAGUGAUACACUAGCCUUGCGAACACAAUCCACAAAAACUGUGGCCUGAAUCACCGUCACCCUCGCGACGCGUCGUACUCGGCGCGACGCAAGAAAUGAAGACGCUCACAGUCUCCCGUCCUAUUAUGCAAAGCUCCCGGCAACCAAGCGCGCUCGAACGGCUUCGCGGCGGCGACGUCGGCCGACGAAAUCCCCACUAAACCGUAACCCAAGGCCGUGCCUAGAAGGAGAGAGAGAAGGAAGAGAAUGGUGAAAAACUAGCCUAACAACUCUCUCUUCCUCAGUCAAUCAAGCAGGUAAAUAGAGAGAGGGAAAGUGGGUGACAUGAACGAGGUGGAAUUUUACUAAUUUAGCCCUCCACCAACUCCCUUGUACCGGUACACGGGAUCCUGUACCGGUACAAGAGCCAACCCGAGAGCAGUUGAGCUGUUUCGCGCUGGUUGUACCGGUACAGCCACCAAGCUUGUACCGGUACAGUAAGCAGAAAAAAAAAACUGCUGUUUGCAGAAUUCUUCGCGAUAAGCUGCCCUCACGUCGCACGGAGUCCGUUUUACGUCUAUUUGACGUCAACGCGACUCAGACUUGUCCCGACACUCUCCAGAGCUGUCGACAAGCCUACACAGUCAAACACCAGGGAUCUCACACAUAAAUUUUAUAUUUUUAUUUUUUUUCAUUUUACCGUAAAAUUAAAUCACCCAUAACUCUACUUUUUCAAAUACCGUAAUUGACUUCACCCUCAGUGGUGCCGAAGUUAACUCUGGAGAGAAAACGACAAUCAAAUAAUAAAAAAUUAAGUGAUGCAACUUUUUUUCAUUCAUUUAUGAUGUAAAAAAAAUUAAAAGAAAAAAGUGGGAUAAUUAAAACUCCAAAACUAGGGACCUUCUAUUAAAUAAAUGGUACUGAAAAAACAUUUCACCUGAAAUUAAAUUUAACUGAAAUAUUAUUUUCAAUUUAAAAAAUCACUUAGGCCUAUUUUGGACUCUAUUGUUGUCUUCGGCCACUAAACCUAUCUAUGAUAGUAUGGGCCUGGCCGGACUCGGACUGCUAUGCCAAUUUUAUCGAGGCCCGAUCCAGCCCAGUUUAAAAUUUGAGGCCCAAGAAAAGCCGUGCCAGAAUUUUAUUUUCUUUUGUUGGUCCGGCGCUCGAGCUGGCAGUUCAGUUCGUUGUUUGCAAGUCAGUUCACACGGCUUAAAAUGAGCUCGAGAUCGAUCGGUUGCUUGAUAAACGAGCAGAAGAUGAGCUGAAUCUUUUAGCUUGAAAUCUUAACGAGACGGAUACGUGCUGGAGUUAGCUCGCUUUUGCUCGGUUUGCCGAUUUUUUUCGUAAUGUAAUUGAGGCCACAUCCAGCCCAAUUCAAGAUUUAGUUCUAAGAAAAUCCAGGCUGGUGCUAGAUUUUUAUUUUCUUUCGUUGGUCCGGCGCUCGGGCUGGCAGUUCAGUUCGUUGUUUGCAAGCCAGCUCACACAGCUCAAAAUGAGCUUGAGGUCGAUCGCUUGCUUGAUAAAGGAGAAGAAGAUGAGCUGAAUCUUUGAGCUUGAAAUCUUAACGAGACGGAUACGAGCUGGAGUUAGCUCGCUCUUGCUCGGCCUGCUGAUUUUUUCGUAAUUAAGGUCCAAUCCAGCCCAAAUCAAGAUUUGAACCCUAAGAAACGCCGGGCUGGUGCAAAAUUUUUAUUUUCUUUUGUUGGUCCAACACUCGGGGCUUGAAGUUCAGUUUGCUGUUUGCAAAUCAGGUCACAUUCGGCUCAAAAUCGAUCGCAUGUUUGAUAAACAAGUAGAAGAUGAGCUGAAUCUUUUAGCUUGAAAUCUUAAUGAGAUAAACACGAGCUGGAGUUACCUCGCCGAUUUUUUCGUAAUUGAGGCCCCAUCCAGCCCACUUCAAGAUUUGAGGCCUAAGAAAAGCCAGGCUGGUGCGAGAUUUUUAUUUUCUUUCGUUGGCCCGGCACUAGGGUUGGCAAUUCAGGUCGAUGUUUACAAGCCAGCUCGCAUUCGGCUCAAAAUGAGCUCGAGAUCGAUCGCUCGCUUCAUAAACAAGCAGAAUAUGAGCUAAAUUUUUUAGCUUUAAAUCUUAACCAGACAAACACGAGCUGUUGUUAGCUCGUUCUUGCUCGGCUUGCCAAUUUUUUCGUAAUUAAGGCCCGAUCCAACCCAAUUUAAGAUUUGAGGCCUAAGAAAAGCCGGGCUAUUCUUUCGUUGGUUCGGCACUAGGGCUGCCAAUUCAAUUCGUUGCCGGCUCACGUUCGGUUCAAAAUGAAUUCGCGAUCGAUCGCUUGUUUGAUAAAUGUGCAGAAGAUGUGCUGAAUUUUUUAGCUUGAAAUCUUAACACGAACACGAGCUAGAGCCAGCUCGCUCUUACUCAAUUCGAUAUAGCUUGAAUAUAUAUAUAUUUUUUCGAUCAAAGACAUUAAUCUUGUUGUAGAUAAUAUAAAAAAUUUUCUAUCAAAAUUUCUAUCACAGUUUCAUCUAAACUCGGAAACAAGCAGAUAUCAAUCAUUAAAAAUUAUUGAUUUGAACCCUUUCAAUAGCUAGGCAGAUGAUGUCAAAAAAUUACAAAUUCUAGAUAUUUAAAAUAUGCUAAAUCGAACCUAACGGGUCGAUCAUUGAUUCAAAAUUUUUGUUAUCAAAAAUACUUAGGAGUACGGAGGCCUCCAUACUUCUAAACGGGGAUUUAUAUUCUACUAAUAAAAUGAGGGAAUCUAUUUUUGUCCAUAAACUAAACUAUAUCUUCUACUAAUUCACUUUUUUUAUCAAUAUUUAUACUUAAAAUUAGAUAAAUAUUUCAAAAUUAAUGACUUGUUUGAGACAAAGCAUAAUUUUUGAGGGAUAUUGCAUUCAUUUGGUAAAAGAUAAAUUGCACCAUUGGCAUGUCACUAAUUUCAGAUUAAUAAGAGUUCAGGGACAAAUAAUAAAAGAAAAUGCAACUCAUACACCCAAAAAAAAAAAAAAAAAAGAGAAAUUGUAUCCGUACACUUCAAAAUGAGAUGUAGAUUUUACGCCCCUAUUUUAAAGUUCAUAAAAAUCUAAAUAAUUUUUAGUAAAAUAAAACAAAAAGUUGAUACGAUAAGUUCAGAAUUAAUGAUCCUUGAAUGGAUUGGGUGUAAGAUUUAUAUUUCACUUUGAGUAAAAAAAAUUAACCUUUUACUUAAUUUAUCUUUAGUACUCAACCUUUUUUAAUAAAAUUUUAAUUUAGUCCCUAAAACUUUCCGUAGUGUUUCACUUUAGUUCUUAUCUUGAUAAAAAGUUAUUGCUUGUAUCUAGUUCAUCUGCUCAUUCAAUAUCAUGAUUUUAUUAUUUUUUUUAUCUAUCUUAUACUUUUAACUCAGGAAUUUUAUUUUUAUACAGAAAAAAAAAAUUAAAACUUCUUAAAAUUGUCACUAAGUGCAUGGUACAUAGAUGCACAAAUUCACUGCAUGCAUGCAAUAAUUUAUUCUCUAAUAAUAAAUAUAAUAAUAAUAUAAAAUAUAGAAAAAGCUUCAAAUACCACCCUUGUAGUUUCACAUUUUUUUAUUUUGGUACUCCAUAGUUUAAAGUGUAUCACUUUCGUAUCCUGUAAUUUUAUUUUUCUUUUUUUGUUAUUUUCUCUACUAAUUUUUUUAUUAAAUCAGUGACAAUAUUAAAACUAAAGGGUAUUAAAAUGAAUAUUCGAUAAACUAUAGGUGGGAUAUCUAAAGUUUUUUGUCUGUGAUUUAACGAAAAGUUAACGAAAUACUGACAAAAAGAGAAAAAUGAAACAAUAUGGUAUUAAAUUGAUACGCUUUAAACUAUAUGGUAGUAAAAUGAAAAAGUGCGAAACUAUAAGGGUGAUAUUUGAAAUUUACCCCGAAAAAAAUGAAAAGGAUGGCUGUGUAAAUUCAUUUUCGUAAGGGUCCUAUUUGCAAAACUCCGGAGAAGAAAACUUUGCCGUUGCCGAGGCCAGAGUAGUUCGUCUUCUUCGUCCCCAUCGAGCACAGAGAGAGAGAGAGAGAGAGAGAGAGAGAGAGGGUUCCAUGGCGGCGACCGAGGCUCCCCCUCUCGACGAGAGGGCGAAGAGGACGCGCGACCUCCUCGCGAGCUUCUACAACACCGACCCCUCCGCCGCCGCCGGCGGUGGCGCCGGCGGGAGCGGAGGCGGAGGCGGAGGCGGAGGCGGAGGCGGCGCCGCCUCUACGGCGAGGGCCGCGUCGCUCGACUCCAUCAACUCCCCCUCCUUCGAUCCCGACGUGUACAUGAACCUCCUGGUAGUACGCAAAUCUGUGUCUCUUCCCUCUUCCCUUUGAUUCCGAUCGGCGUUGUUGUAGCCCUGGAUUUCGCGGAUCUAAUUGGAUCGGUGCGAGAUCUCGUAGGGUGCCCCUUCUACCUGCGCGGAGACUCAAUUUGCUAAUUGAAAUCGUUCAUUUUCUCUAAAAUUUAGCUUGUUGUGAUUAGAUUUGAGAUCAUCGAACGCGGCGAGUGUGGGGAGAUGAUUUGAUUGCUGUAAUGUGCUCAUUUGAUUUCGUUCGUGUUUAGAGAUGGAAUUUGCUUUAAUUAGUACCUGAUUGAAGGUUUUCGCAGCAUCUGAUUGUUAUGAAGUGCUCAUUUCGCGUAGUUGCGUGAACAACUUUGGGAACCAGAAGCCAAGCAUUUGAGUAGAAAAAAAAAAGGAGAAUGGAGAUUUUAGUUGUGGUGAGAAUCUGAGGUUAGCUUUUUGGCUAAAAUGCAGAAGCUGUUGUUGAAGACUCUGCUGCUAGCUACAGUAUGAAGCGUUAAGAUUAUUUAAUUGAAAAGCUAUUAACUAUAUUUUGAAUAGCUCUACUCCAACCGCACUUUUACAGGUUCUCUGGCCUGGCCAAACAGACCCUCUAAAUCUAAUCCAGCAUUAUUGUGAUUUUUCGCAAAUUGUGUUCAGAACAAAUCAUCUAUCAGUAACUAUGGUGUGCCUUUGUGCCUUAGUAACACAGAUUUCACAACACCUGUGCCUGACAUAAGAAAUCUGUAACUUCUUAUAUAAUUUGUUCUGUGUUUUUAAGAACCUGGAAAUGACGUAUCUAAUUAGUUCUUUGUGCCUUUAUAGGUUCAAAAAUCGAAUUUGGAAGGGCUUCUCCAGAAUCAUGUUCAGAUGGCAGCUGAGAUUAAGAAUCUUGACACUGACUUGCAAAUGCUCGUUUAUGAGAAUUAUAAUAAGUUCAUCAGUGCCACCGAUACCAUAAAAAGGUGAUGGUACAUGGCUUCUUUUUCUUGCCCUACUUCAUUACGAAUUUCCUGUAAUCUUGCUCUACUUUCUUCUGUCUUGGUUCCUGGGAAUCAAGCCUCAAGGUGAGAGUUAGACAUAAUUUUGUAAAUUGUCUGUAUCAACCAGGCUAAUGUGAAGAAAGACCCUCUUGCUUGACUCUGAUAAACUCCUGCAAAACCUGAUUAAUAUUAGGUUAUGUAAUUGGUAAUAGGUUGUCCACAUGUAAAGUGAUAUUAAAAACCCUACGCAUACAUAGGUUUUUUGGUGCAGUUGCCCAGGUUUUCUGGUGCAGUCUAGGACUUUCUUGUUUUUUUUUUUUUUUUUCAUGAAAUGCUGGAAUAAUGCAUUUAUCUUUCCAUGUUUAUGUGACGAAUGAAAAAAAAGUAAAGAUCUACCUUGGGCACAUAUUUUAUAGGAUGAAAAAUAAUAUCGUUGGAAUGGAAGCAAACAUGGAGCAGCUCCUCGCGAAAGUAUGCCCAUUUCUCUUUUUUCUGUUUGUUAUCUGCCAAUUGUGUUUGCCUAAGAGAGGUGUCACCUUCUUUUAAUGCUUGAAACAGAUAACAUCUGUCCAAUCGAAAAGUGAUACAGUGAAUGCAUCCUUAUAUGAGAAAAGAGAACAUAUAGAGAAAUUGCAUCGUACUCGAAAUCUUCUACGAAAAGUUCAAGUAAGUAAUCUGAACAUUCAUAAUUCUAAUAUACUCUUUUGCCUGAAAUUUGAACAAAGAAUUUGCCAAAACCAUCUAUUGUACUAUCCAUGUCUGUGAAACUAGUCAUUUCUAUCAAUCUCAAUCUUUUUGGAUAAAUUAAUGCUGUCUCCUUGUAUAUUUCUAACUCAAAAAGGUUCAGUAACCUGCAUUUUCUUUCUUGAGAAAUCUGGCAAGCUCUAAGUUCUCAUCCAGUAUGUUGUGCACUCUAAUAAGCUUCAUUGGUUAACUGCUUUAUAUGUUCAGUUAUUUUGUUGUUGUUCCAUUGCAUGUAAUACAUUACGAAGAUAAUUAAGAGUAUUAUUACUUUGUAAAAUCAUAGUUCAUUUAUGAUCUUCCCACCCGACUCAACAAAUGCAUCAAGGCAGAAGCAUAUGCAGAUGCUGUGAGGUUUUUUACAGGAGCUAAACCAAUUUUUGAGGUGAAAUUCGUUUCUUACUUUUACAAUAUUAAAUCAUCCACUAACUUUUUAUUCCUCUUGUUAUUUACUUUAUUGAUAUUUAAAUUAUGAUGGUGUUAAUCACGCUUCAUGUGUGCUAGGCGUAUGGAGAUUCAUCUUUCCAGGAUUGUAAACGAGCAUCUGAAGAGGCUAUAGAUGUAGUCAUUCAGAACCUUCAGGUAGCUCUUCAUUAUAUCAUUCUAGGCAAUUUUCACUAAUGAAUUCCAUCUACCUCUUCUUUGUUUCAUUAGUUCAUGCAAUAUUUUUGCUUGUUUAGUAUUUGUAGUUUUGUACUUAUAGUUUGCAGAAUUCCUUGUCAAGUAGUAGUUUAUUUCAGAGUAGUUUAUUUUAUUAAUCAACUCAGCUGAUCUUCUUGACCUACAUCAAAUAUUUGUUUUGUUAAAACUGUAAAUGUACCAAGGCAUCUAUCUCAUGCCUCAAGCAUAUGAAAGAACAAAAAGAAAAUGUUGAACCUAAAAUUUUAUCAUCAACCAAGUGCAGCUUAAAUACUUCUCCUUAUUAUUCUUCAUGCGCAAUCAAGGAAAUAAAUGAAAAAAAUUUGGAAGAUUGUGACACUCCUAGAAUUUGGAAUAGUACUAGAUAUAAAGAUAUAAUAGGAUUAAACCUCUUAACCCUGCUAUAGCAUUUUGGGCCGUGACUAGAGCCGAGAAGUUUCGAGGGUUAAGCGUACUAGGGCUAUAGUAUUCUAGGAUGAGUGCCCCCUUGGAAAGUAGGGCAUCAUAGUUGGUAUUAGAGCCAAUCACCAGCCGGAAGUAUGAGAUGAGUUUCGGCCGAGUCAGGGAAUGAAUGGCAGGCUAUACGAUGGUCUGAAUGACAAAACUAGCGAGAUAAGUUUCACAUCGCCUGAUGCUUGUGUGCUCGAACCUGACGAGAAUGUUUUUUUUUUUUUUGAGAGAGAGAGAAAGGUAGCAUGCUACCCGCUUCGUUUAUUUCUUUUUUAGAAAUAAACUUAGCUGAAAAUGUGAAGCAACUAGGCUUCGAACUUGGGUCCUCGGGUACGAACCACCAAGCCCUUUGCCACUUGCGCUAGGGACGGUCGGUAGCUGAUGAGAAUGUUAGGAUUGAAAAGUGAGGGAGUUUAUGAUUCCCUAAGGCUUAAGAAUAGUGCUACAUCGAGUAGUUAUAGUUAGGUGUGGGGGUAUAUAAGCCUGAAUAGGCUAGAUUCAAUAACUGGGUUUAAGUAUUUUGGGCUAGUGGAUUGGGCCUAAUUGGGUCUAGAAUACCCAAUUAAUUGAGCCGCGGGCUCGUUGAUAGGUGACAGCCUGGGAAGCUAGUCGUGACAGUUGCCCAAGAUAAAGUGAAUAUUCUUGAAAAAGAUUACAAAUCUAUUAUUAUCUUUGUCAAGGCGAAGAUAUGACGGUCCCUUUCUUUCAUAAUUUGUUCCUUUAGGUUUAUUUCAUGAUCACAAUCUUCUUUGUUUCACUUUUGGCAACAUUUGCGAUUGCCAUUCGCCUUGACACUUUUUUUCUUGAUUUUCAUUUUUCUAAUAUCCUACCUUAUUGUCCCAGGUGCUGAAGUUCACAGUGAUGUUGCAAUUUGGCAGCUAAUCACAUGCGAAACAUUAUGUUGCCAUGUAGUGGCAGCUUGUUAAAUAUAUAAAGAAUUGCUAGAUGAGAAGGCCAAGCCCAUCACAUUGUAUUGUUUCAUAGAAACUAAAUACUUAUCCAUGAUCUUCUUGCUAUUGAUGCGGGACAAAUUAGGAAAAUCCUAAUCUAUCUUGCAAGUGAUGAGUAGAAUUUUCAGAAAUUUUGGAGUAAUUUUCAGAUUUAUUUACAAAAAUUAAGAAAAUUAAGAGAUAAUUGAAGGAAAUAGCUGAUAAAUAGGAAAAAGUCAGAAAAUUUGUAGAAUUGUUUUAGAAAAUUGGAAAAGCAAAUUUAGAAGAAGAAUAAGAGAGAAAUAGAGGAAAGAAGAAGAUGAGGAAAGAAAGAAAGAUAGAAUCUUUUUAGAAAUAAGAAAUUUGCCGGCGCACACGACAAGGAAAGAGAGAGGAAGAAAAAGAAGAUAUUAUGACCGCAAUCUAAACACAAAACCCAAAUUUUAUUCCAUCAUAACUCCUCUCUAAAUUACAAAGUAUAGGCUAUAUUUAUUACCUUCAAAGUAUAAUCCUAAUCUAAAACAAAUCCCACGAUUUUAGGGAUCAUUUCCUAAUUCGAAAAUAUCUAAAAAAAGCCUAAACCACAUACCUAUCUUUAGAGAUUUAUUUCACAUGAUAAAUCCUAAAAAUCUUUGAAAAAAUGACUAAAACAGAUUAACAAAGAGAAUAAUUCCGCAAAGUAGAAAAAAAAUAAAAUAUACCUAAUCUUUAGAGAUUUAUUUCACAUGAUAAAUCCUAAAAUUUUUUGAAAAAAUGACUAAAAUAAAUUAACAAACAGAAUAAUUCUGAAAAUUAGAAAAAAAAAUAAAAUCUAAAUGACUUAACAACCCUAAUUAAAAAAUUGACUCAAAUAAAUAAAAGAUGACUCGACCGAACCCUCUUUGAAUAUGGUUCCGCAUAGCUAUUGUUCCCUUCCAAGAGAUUAUAAUGAAUUUCUACCCAUGGUUGCCAAGAUUUUCAGUCUCAGCUAGGUUAUGUUUGUGUCACUCUGUCGAACAUAUUUCAAUUGCAACUAAACAAAACACCAUAUAUCUUUUAUCAUUUCUUAUAUGAGGUAGAAAUUCUUAUUAUUGCACUGCACAUAUUGAGCAAAAUUUACUCAACGCUCACUUAAAAUAGAACAGUAUAUGACUAUAUGUUCUUUCAUCAUUGACUUUUUGCUGCAUGACUAGUUUAUUUUCUUCUUAUUUCAGGCAAAAUUGUACUCAGAUUCUGAACCUAUUGAAGCAAGGGCUGAAGCUGUUGUACUUCUUAAACAGCUGAACUUCCCUGUUGGUAGUUUAACCUUUCUUCUCAAUUGGUUCCUUUAACUUGUUUAGUUUGUGUUAUUUCUCAUGACCUUUUUAAUUAGCCAAAUGAGUGAAAUUUCAUAAGAGCUGUUUCCUCAUAGCUUAAGUAGUGUGUUUAUUUCAACUUGGUCUUUUGAACUUGAGUAAAAUUUUUGGAAUGAAUAUAUUGAAAUUGUAAGUAAUGAAUGUUAUAGUUGUCCAAGAGUUCACGAAAAGUAUGAGCAAUUCUUUUAUGAUGGUUACAUUAGGUGACAUGACUGUCCAGCUUCAUGGUACCUCAGCCAACCCCACCACUAUAGUGUUUUAUUUUUUUAACCGUGAAGAGUAAUAUUAUCUUUUUGAUGGCAUGUUGUUGUCUCCUCAUUUUAUUUCUUCAGGAACUUAAAUUGUAGAUAAAAUUGUUAUCAGAAAGAUCAGAUUGCUUGGGUAAAUAUUGAUAGUUCAUUUAAUCGAAUUGGUGCUUGAUUUGGUGUAACUUAGAAACGAGCAAGAGAAAGUGGUCUGAUGUACCUUAUGGUGAUUUACAUCUCCAAAGGCUUAACUAGACUGUCUCCAAGUUCUGAAAGAAGUGUCUAGAUCCUUACUGUUGUCAGUUUCUUUUUUCUGGAAAGAACUUCAAAUUUAAUUUGCAAUUGACCUUUUAAAAGUCAUGAUGCUUAAGGGUUCACAAUGCAAUCUUGUUGCAUGUGUUUGUCAUAGAAAAGUAGCUUCUCCAGUGAUGGGAUAAGAUUGUAAAAAAGAAGAACUGCCUGUGUAUCUGCUUUUUUGUGUCUCUUCUUUGAACUUCUUUUACUCUGUUUAUGUUUAUUAGGUGCAAACGACUUCAAAAGUGAAUUUAUUACUCAUGAUGCUUAGAUCCAAAAUUUUCACAUUAAGAAUGAAGUUUAUAGUCCAUAAUAGACGCUAAAUAGUAAUUAAAAGGUUUUUUUUCGCAAAAUUUAUUCCUUUCACAUAUGAACUAAUUACUACAGGCCACCAUAGAUAUCUCCAAACCUAUAUAUUUGUUUAGUCUAAAGCUUUAUGACUGGAAUUGCCAAAACUGAUCUGAGUUUGCUCAAACUACCACGUGUAAACUAAGAGUCUCCACCACAGCUUACCACUGAAAUUAAAACUUGGAGCAUUGAUCUAAUAGUUGUGCUCUUUUUCACAUUUAGUAUUCUUUAUUUGCUAUUACUGCAUCCUGUACUUAGCAUAAUGAACAAAUUUUUGUUUGCUGUUUUUUGAUGUUUGAUAUUUUUUUUAUAUCUUGGCAGGUAGAAAAUCUAAAGACAAACUUACUUGAGAAGCUUGAGGACUGUCUCUUGAAAUUCAAGGAUGAAUCUAAAGAGGUAAGAGGUUUCAGGAUCAAUUUAGGGAGAACCAUUUAGAAUUAAGAACCUAUGAACUUAUUAAUAUCUUUCUGCAUUAACUGGAUGCUAUCUUUUGAAAUUUGUGCAUUUAAUAAUUUUCUUGGCCUACUGUAACUUUCCGGUUCUAAAGGCUUCUGUCAAGGUCAAAGAAAUUUAGUUCUUUUCCUCCAUUUGGAGUAUGCAGCAUAAUUAUUUUUCCCCCCUUUCACUGAAGCUGUUCACUUGUGAUGUAAUUGACAUAAUUAAGGAAUGUUUACCUUCUGAUACUUCAAUUCAGAAAUAAAUUGCGCCGCCUCCUGAAGAUCGCCUGGAUUUUCUUUGAUAGAAUUACUUGAACUUUGUAAAUAAUACUUAUCAAUGAAACAUGUACUUAACUGUUUUCUGAUUUUCUUAAUAGAUUAUCUUGCUAUUUGUUUAUUUCCUCAUAUGUAGGCUUCCAUUGGUGAUAUAUCAAAGACAUUCCGUGCCUAUCUUAUAAUAUUUCCUGAUUCAGAACAACGACUCAUUGAACUUGCACAGGCUUUGUUUUCCAAGUAAGGCAUUUCUUAUUUCACACAUCAUACUAACGUCCCUAUUCACUUCUAUGGAACUUCAUGUUCUGAUGAUCAUUGUGUUUGAAGGCGUUAUGAAUCAGUACGACAGCAAAUAAAUAAAAAACUGCCAUCAGCGGAUCUACUGGCAAUGCUGCGUAAGUUUUUGCCUGUAAUUAAAUCUGUACUGUUUGCUGUUUGUCUAUCUUUUGGUGAAAAUAUGUUUGGAGAAUGGAAAUGCAAACAGAAAUCUCUAACGUAUCCUACUGCUUCUUAACUUGUGAUUAUUUACUCUCCUUGUGCUCCGCUAUUAUCUUUUUGUUUUAAUCUCCCAUAUCAAAAUCAGUUAAAUUACUCUAUAUAUGGUAUACAAUAUACUAUACAAAUUUUCCCUUUAAUGUCAUGACUAGACCAUUAUGCUUUUUAAUUUUGAAUUAGCCUUUUCUGGAAUGAAUUUAUUAGGCUAAUGAUUUAUAUUUAUUGUUCAUUUCAUUACCACUAUUGUUGAUUCACAAGAUUAUCAUAAAAACGUUUUGUCUUCUUGGAAAUGGCAGUUGUCAAUAUUUUCUUUAGUGGAAGAUCAUAACUUGCCAUUUUCAUUAGGAAGAUUCCCUUCCAAGUGUAGUGAUUAGUGCUGCUUGUUAUAAGUCUUAUAUUAUCGGUGCACAGGAGUGAUUUGGGAAGACAUAAGUACUGUUGAUGAAGUUCUUCCAGAGGCUGCUCUUCCUGCCUUCUCUUUAGAGGUUUUCACUUGCACCUUUUAUGCUUUAAAUUUAUUAUGAAAUUGAUAAUUUCAAGAUUAUAGUAUUACACAUAUUGUCAUUCUCCUUUUUUCCCCCUGAAACUACCUCUUACACAUUCAAGUGUUAGAAUAUGUUUGAUUUCUCUUGCAACAUCUGCAUUAAUCAUGUCACCAUUUGUCAACGUUCUCUUCAAAUCUGACAAUCAUUUUAUACUCAAUGACUUGCUAUCAGGGAAAAGUUUUGGAGUCUUUUAAAUAUUAGGUAAUCUGUAUCUUUCAGAAUGAUGUUAGUUUUAACAUUUUCAGUAGUAAGCAUUUUCCGAAGGGCUUAUAGAACAGAAAGAAUUGGACCUUAGAAGCAGAGCUUCUGUAUAGUAUGCUUGUUGUCAUUGCAAUAGUUGUGAGCUAAAUUUGCAUGGUGCUAUGUAUGUCGACUGUUCUCUCAGGUUAGUCUCAAAGACCUAAAUGGGUAAGGAUGAGCUGGGUUUUUCUUUCGGGGGCUUUUCGGGUUGGCAAAGCCCCUUUGCUACCUAUUGCAUAGUACUUCAUAUAGUUUCUUACAAAUGAUUUACUAAUGCAGAUUUUCUUUGUUUCAUUUUUACCUUUCUUAAUGAAAGGUAGCUUUCAUCAUUGAAUUGUUAUCAUCUAACUUUUUCAUUUAU
rnacentral:lncRNA from 1 species